rnacentral:lncRNA from 1 species
CCUUGGUGCCUCGUGUUCUGCCACUGCUGGCUUCUUCUUCUUCUUGGCCGCCAUUCGGGGGUCGAUGCCUGGUCGCCCCAAAGCCUUGCGCUUUUCAGCUUCAUUGUAUCCCUGAACACAUUUAGCAGCAAGAUCCUUCAUGCGCUCACGAGAACCUUUGGCUUCUUCGCAUUUCGUUCGGAAUGCUUCCUUGAGCUCAUGCAUCAUGACCUGGAAGUUCUGAAUGUCUUCAACAUUGAGCUUGGCCAUAUGCUUCUUGAACUAAGCCUUUUCAUAAUCUAUCUUAUGCUUCAGCUCAACAAUUUUUUGAGCUAGAGCCAGCUCAGUAGCAAUGGCUCCAUGGAAGGCGACGCUGAGGCCAAUUGGAAGCUGAAGGUCAUCAAAGCUAACAUUUGGGCUGUCAAACCACUCAUCAAUGAACUUGUUUAAGAUUUCAACAUCAAAGAGAGGAAGGUCAUUGAAGAUUUCCGCCUCUUGCUUGCUCUUGAUCAGCUGCUCAAGAGCGUCAUCGCCAAGAUCCUCGUCGCUAGACAGAUCAAUGGCGUCAUUCUCGUUGCGCAGAACAGCAGCAAGGGUGAAUGCUUGGCCGGUGGGUUGCAUGGGCAUCUUCACUUUUGAGGGCUUGGAGAUGCGUGACAGAUCUUCAGACUGCACACUGUGUUUAGGAGGUGCAGUGGCCAGAGGCUUCGCCCGUGAAACCUUUGGUGCAGGGGAAGGCUUCGAAGCUUUAGGUUUCUUCAACUUCUUUGGCUUUGGCAGUGCAGGCGCUUCGUCAGAAUCAGCGUCGUCUGCAGGUUCAUCGGUUGUCCCUUGAACCAUAAUAUGAGUGAUGAGACCUUCUAGGUUGUAGAAGGGCCCAACAAGAUUGGGUUCACCUUCGCAUGUGCCAUCGGCACGAGGAGCAGAGGGACCCGGAUUGAAGUCUAAUACCCACGACUUCUUGUUUUCUUUGGCCGAGUUCUGGGCAAACUGGAAGUUGCGCUUGAACAGAUUGUCGUCAUGACACCAUAGCAAUGAAGAUGGGUCUGCAUCUGCAGGUUGUGGUCCACGGACCAUGCAAGGAUAGAAGCCUUGUUCAAUGGCUUCAGCUCUGGACCUGGGUUGAAGGUUUUUGUACAAGAUGUCUCCCUAGGGUCGCUUGAUGGCAUUCUUCUCAGCAUAUUCCUGGGUCACGAACCUGUACUUGAACCAUUGCUCGGACCAGUAUCUUCGAAUCCAUUGGAUUCGUGUCUUGCACUGACCAUAGCUUUCUUCGGGGUCAGUUUUGUACAAUUCAUAAAGAUCUUCGGGCAGGUCCGUUGAUGUACCCCCACGGCGCUGUCUGCCACCCUUCCUUGCAGAUUUCUCUUUUGCCAUGAAUUUCAGACUAAAAGGCUUCAACACUGUCAAAGUCUUCCGUCUACUGGUCAGACAAGAACUGGCUUCAGGAGAAUUUAUAUGAUGUUGUAAGAACUCUGCAAAUAAAUGCAGACUAUGAGAACCAAGGGAUUCUCCCACGGACAUGUACCUAUGACAGCAUUAAAGGUGCGAGGGAAGGGGAAGAGGUCAUAUGCAUUCUCAGAAGAUUUUGAAGAUAAAUCAGUUUAGAAGACAUUGACCUCAUAGUGCGAAGACAUUCACUCAUAGGUAGAGAGUUGGUUCCAGAUUUGUACGAAUCCACGAAUAAGUACAAGUGAGGAAUCUAACUACUUUGUGAAGCAUAAAUGAAUAUACUAGGCAUGUUAUGAGAUGCAGUAUGAGAUAGAUCCAACUUGUGUGAACCGAAACUACUUGUGGUAGAAAAGGAUGAAUCUAUCGGAUCAAAAGGACUGUAAAAAGGAGGUUUUAUUUACCACACGAGGAACUUCUAGAUGGAGUGGGAGAGGAGGCCGAGCAGUUCAAUCUUCCGUGCCCUAACUUGGAGACGGAGGACACCUACGGCGACGGCGGAGAAGACGAUGUCCACGGCCGGCGUGAGGACGGCGUCGGUGAGGUCGCAGCAGCUAAGCGCUUCGUCGCCGGCGUCAUCGAGGGCUAGCGGUGGCACCAAGGUUUGUGCGAGAGUGGAAGAAGGGAUAAUGACUGGGGUGAGGCGUGUAUUUAUAGGGACAGGGACGGCACACUGUUAUUACACAGGUGCCCCUGGUGGUUCACAUCUGAAGGACACGUGGCGAUCAUGCAACACAUUGGAGGUUGUUCCACGUUCCCACGCAUGCCUGGAUUGUCGGGUAGUCGUUCCCACUUCUCCAGGUUUCAGGUCGAAGCAUUUAGCAUUGAAAAUAUAUUAACGUUUGUCUCUGUGUCUUCUGUUGACAAGGACGCAGAGAAGACAUUUUGACAGUGUCAAUAGAAUGCAUAUGAUUUGGAUAGAUAGACUUGAGAUAGAAUCAUAGAGGGGUUAGGGUCCGAUCACAUUCAUUUAGUUCAAAAGAUUCAACGUGAAGACAUAGCUAUGAGUGAAUGUUGUAGAGGACAGAAACCAAAUUGAAGAUAAACAUGAGGCCAUGUUAACAUUGAAGACAAACAGAAAGCAAAGACUUUGCAAAUGUAAUGCCAUGUGAAAAACACUUCUAAGGGAAGAGUUUGGUGGUGGCGUUACCCACCGUAUAGGAAGUAUUAGACCUAGACACGGUGCACAAUUAUCGUGGCGCUCCGAAGUAAAAUUCCACGUUAAUGUAUUCACACUCGGAAUGUAACUCUUCAUUAAUUGAAGACAUAUGUUACUUCGUGUGUUGCACAUCUAAGUCAUCAACAUGCAUAAGUGUUAGGAUGUGUGCCUGAUCACAGGACAUUUGAGGAUUCCAAGAUAUUUAGCUCACACCGUAACUUGCAAAACGUCUUCUCGUCCAAAGGCUUUGUGAAGAUAUCUGCCAGUUGCUCUUUAGUGUUGACGUGUAUGAUAUCAAUAUCUUCCUUCAUGACAUGAUCUCUAAGACAGUGAUGACGAAUUUCAAUGUGCUUUGUCUUUGAGUGCUGAACUGGGUUGUUAGCAAUCUUGAUGGUGCUCUCGUUGUCGCAGUAGAGUGGCACUUGCUUCAGAUGAAUGCCAUAGUCUUUGAGUGUUUGCUUCAUCCAUAGAAGUUGAGCGCAGCAAGAUCCAGCAGCAAUGUAUUCAAAUUCAGUAGUGGAAAGAGAUACACAGUUCUGCUUCUUUGAAGACCAACAAAUAAGUGAUCGCCCCAGAAAGUGACAUGUGCCUGAUGUAGACUUGCGAUCCACCUUGUCACUAGCAUAAUCAGCAUCCGAGAAUCCAACUAGAUCAAACUCUGAGCCCUUUGGAUACCAUAAUCCUAGUGUUGGGGUGUGAGCCAAAUAUCGAAGAAUUUGCUUCACAGCUAAGUGAAGCGAUUCCUUUGGUGCCGCUUGGAAUCAGGCACACAUGCAAACACUAAGCAUGAUAUCUGGCCUAGAUGCACAUAAAUAAAGCAAAGAACCAAUCAUGGAGCGGUAUACCUUUUGAUUGAACUCUUUACCAUUGUCGUCGGGACCCAGAUGGUGUUUAGCUGGCAUUGGCAUCAUGUAACUUUUGCAGUUUUGCAUUCCAAACUUCUUCAGGAAAUCUUUGAGGCAUUUCUCUUGAGAUAUAAAGAUGUCAUUGCGUUGCUGUCGUAUAUGAAGACCAAGGAAGAACUUUAGUUCACCCAUCAUGGACACCUGAUAUUGCUCUUGCAUCAUAUAUCCAAACUCAUCAUUGUAUUUCUGGUUGGUGCAGCGGAAGAUAAUGUCAUCCACAUAUAUUUGGCACACAAACAAUUCACCAUUGAUGUCUACUACACAACCUUCUUCUUGUAGACGUUGUUGGGCCUCCAAGUGCAGAGGUUUGUAGGACAGUAGCAAAUUUCCCUCAAGUGGAUGACCUAAGGUUUAUCAAUCUGUAGGAGGCGUAGGAUGAAGAUGGUCUCUCUCAAGCAACCCUGCAACCAAAUAACAAAGAGUCUCUUGUGUCCCCAACACACCUAAUACAAUGGUAAAUUGUAUAGGUGCACUAGUUCGGCGAAGAGAUGGUGAUACAAGUGGUAUAUGGAUAGUAGAUAAAAUUAUUUGUAAUCUGAAAUUAUAAAAACAGCAAGGUAACAAGUGAUUAAAGUGAGCGUAAACGGUAUUGCAAUGAUAGGAAAUAAGGCCUAGGGUUCAUACUUUCACUAGUGCAAGUCCUCUCAACAAUAAUAUCAUAAUUGGAUCACAUAACCAUCCCUCAACAUGCAACAAAGAGUCACUCCAAAGUCACUAAUAGCGGAGAACGAACGAAGAGAUUAUGGUAGGGUACGAAACCACCUCAAAGUUAUUCUUUUCCAAUCAAUCUGUUGGGCUAUUCCUAUAAGUGUCACAAACAGCCCUAGAGUUCGUACUAGAAUAACACCUUAAGACACAAAUCAACCAAAACCCUAAUGUCACCUAGAUACUCCAAUGUCACCUCAAGUAUCCGUGGGUAUGAUUAUACGAUAUGCAUCACACAAUCUCAGAUUCAUCUAUUCAACCAACACAAAGGACCUCAAAGAGUGCCCCAAAGUUCUACCGGAGAAUCACGACGAAAACAUGUACCAACCCCUAUGCAUAGGUUCAUGGGCAGAACCCGCAAGUUGAUCACCAAAACAUACAUCAAGUGAAUCACGUGAUAUCCCAUUGUCACCACAGAUAUCCACGGCAAGACAUACAUCAAGUGUUCUCAAAUCUAUAAAGAGUCAAUCCGAUAAGAUUACUUCAAGGGGAAAACUCAAUCCAUUACAAGAGAGAAGAGGGGGAGGAGAAACAUAAGAUCCAACUAUAAUAGCAAAGCUCGCGAUACAUCAAGAUCGUGCCAAAUAAAGAACACGAGAGAGAGAGAGAGAUCAAACACAUAGCUACUGGUACAUACCCUCAGCCCCGAGGGAGAACUACUCCCUCCUCGUGAUGGAGAGCACCGGGAUGAUGAAGAUGGCCACCGGAGAGGGAUUCCCCCCUUCGGCAGGGUGCCGGAACGGGUCUAGAUUGGUUUUUGGUGGCCACGGAGGCUUCUGGCGGCGGAACUCCCGAUCUAAUCUCCGUUCUGGAAGUUUUAGAUUACGUAGGUAUAUAUGGGUGCAGGAGGUACGUCGGUGGACCGAAGGGGGGUGGGCGCGCCCCCUACCCUCGUGAGCUCCUCCUUCAUCUUCUAACGUAGGGUCCAAGUCUAUCUGGUGGCUUUCCUUCCAAAAAUAACUUCUCCAGUUGAUUUCGUUCUGUUUCGACUCCGUUUGAUAUUCCUUUUCUUUGAAACACUGAAAUAGGCAUAAAACAACAAAUUUGGGCUGGGCCUCCGGUUAAUAGGUUAGUCCCAGAAAUAAUAUAAAAGUGGAUAAUAAAGCCCAAUAUUGCCCAAAACAGUAAAUAAUAUAGCAUGGACCAAUCAAAAAUUAUAGAUACGUUGGAGACGUAUCAAGCAUCCCCAAGCUUAAUUCCUGCUCGUCCUCGAGUAGGUAAAUGAUAAAAAAGAUAAUUUUUCAUGUGGAAUGCUAGUUGGCAUACUUUCAAUGUAAUUCUUCUUACUUGUGAUAUGAAUAUUCAGAUCCGAAAGAUUCAAGACAAAAGUUCAUAUUGACAUAGAAAUAAUAAUACUUCAAGCAUACUAACUAAGCAAUUAUGUCUUGUCAAAACAACAUGGCCAAAGAAAGUUAUCCCUACAAAAUCAUAUAGUCUGGCUAUGCUCCAUCUUUACCACACAACGUAUUUAAAUCAUGCACAACCCCGAGGACAAGCCAAACAAUUGUUUCAUACUUUUGAUGUUCUCAAACUUUUUCAAUCUUCACGCAAUACAUGAGCGUGAGCCAUGGAUAUAGCACUAUAGGUGGAAUAGAAUGGUGGUUGUGGAGAAGACAAAAAGGAGAAGAUAGUCUCACAUCAACUAGGCGUAUCAACGGGCUAUGGAGAUGCCCAUUAAUAGAUAUCAAUGUGAGUGAGUAGGGAUUGACAUGCAACGGAUGCACUAGAGCUAUAAGUGUAUGAAAGCUCAACAAAAGAAACUAGUGGGUGUGCAUCCAACUUGCUUGCUCACGAAGACCUAGGGCAUUUUGAGGAAGCCCAUCAUUGGAAUAUACAAGCCAAGUUCUAUAAUGAAAGAUUCCCACUAGUAUAUGAAAGUGAUAACAUAGGAGACUCUCUAUCAUGAAGAUCAUGGUGCUACUUUGAAGCACAAGUGUGGUAAAAGGAUAGUAGCAUUGCCCCUUCUCUCUUUUUCUUUCAUUUUUUUUAUUGGGCCUUCUCCUUUUUUAUGGCCACUUUUUUUUGGGCUUCUUUGGCCUCUUUUUUUCGUCCGGAGUCUCAUCCUGACUUGUGGGGGAAUCAUAGUCUCCAUCAUCCUUUCCUCACUGGGACAAUGCUCUAAUAAUGAUGAUCAUCACACUUUUAUUUUUCUUACAACUCAAGAAUUACAACUCGAUACUUAGAACAAAAUAUGACUAUAUGAAUGCCUCCGGCGGUGUACCGGGAUGUGCAAUGACUCAUGAGUGACAUGUAUGAAAGAAUUAUGAACGGUGGCUUUGCCACAAAUACGAUGUCAACUACAUGAUCAUGCAAAGCAAUAUGACAAUGAUGAAGCGUGUCAUAAUAAAUGGAACGGUGGAAAGUUGCAUGGCAAUAUAUCUCGGAAUGGCUAUGGAAAUGCCAUAAUAGGUAGGUAUGGUGGCUGUUUUGAGGAAGGUAAAUGGUGGGUUUAUGGUACCGGCGAAAGUUGCGCGGUACUAGAGAAGCUAGCAAUGGUGGAAGGGUGAGAGUGCGUAUAAUCCAUGGACUCAACAUUAGUCAUAAAGAACUCACAUACUUAUUGCAAAAAUCUAUUAGUUAUCAAACAAAUUACUACGCGCAUGCUCCUAGGGGGAUAGAUUGGUAGGAAAAGACCAUUGCUCGUCCCCGACCGCCACUCAUAAGGAAGACAAUCAAUAAAUAAAUCAUGCUCCGACUUCAUCACAUAACAGUUCACCAUACGUGCAUGCUACGGGAAUCAAAAACUUCAACACAAGUAUCUCUCAAAUUCACAACUACUCAAUUAGCAUGACUUUAAUAUCACCAUCUUCAUAUCUCAAAACAAUUAUCAAGUAUCAAACUUCUCAUAGUAUUCAACACACUUAUAAGAGAAUUUUAUUAUUCUUGAAUGCCUAGCAUAUUAGGAUUUUAAGCAAAUUACCAUGCUAUUUAAGACUCUCAAAAUAAUCUAAGUGAAGCAUGAGAGUUCAUCUAUUUCUUCAAAAUAAAACCACCGUCGUGCUCUAAAAGAUAUAAGUGAAGCACUAGAGCAAAUGACAAACUACUCCAAAAGAUAUAAGUGGAGAUCAAUGAGUAGUCGAAUGAUUAUGAAACUAUGUGAAGAUUCUCUCACAUUUAAUAAUUUCAUACCUUGACACUUUAUUCAAACAGCAAUAAAAACUAAAUAAAAUGACAUCUAAGAAUAGAAAACAUCAUGUGAAGAAGCAAAAACUUAGCAUCAACCGAUACUAACUGAUAGUUUGUUGAAGAAGAAAGGUGGGAUGCCAACUGGGGCAUCCCCAAGCUUAGACGCUUGAGAAUUCUUGAAAUAUUAUAUUGGGGUGCCUUGGGCAUCCCCAAGCUUGAGCUUUUGUGUCUCCUUAGUUCCUCUCAUAUCACGGUCUCCCUAAAUCUCAAAAGUUUCAUCCACACAAAACUCAACAAGGACUCGUGAGAUAAGUUAGUAUAAACCAUUGCCAAAACCUUAUCAUACUCUACUGUAGCAAAUCACUAAAAUUAUUAUUCAACAUUUCAUACUAAAUGCCUCUGCAUAUUCAAUAGUCCUAUCCUCAAAUAGAAUCAUUAAAGAAGCAAACAUAUGCAAACAAUGCAAACAUAACAGCAAUCUGCCUAAACAGGAUAGUCUGUAAAGAAUGCAGCAACAUCCAUACUUCCCGAGCUCAAAAAAUUAUGAAAGAAAAUUCCCAAUGUAGUAAAUUUAUCAGAGCUUAAUAUGCAAAAGGUUUUAACAUUUUAUCACAUUCUGACUUUUCUAGGGAAUUAUUGCAACAGCGGUAAACUUUCUGUUUUCAAACAGCAACAUGUAUACUUGUAACAUAGGCAUAGUAAAGGCUAUCAAUGCCACUUUUAUUGAAAUAAAAGAUGCAAAACAUUGUUAUAAAUAACAGCAAGCAAAUCCUAACAAAAUAAAUUGACGCUCCAAGCAAAACACAUAUCAUGUGGUGAAUAAAAAUAUAGCUCCAAGUAAAGUUACCGAUGAAUGAAGACGAAAGAGGGGAUGCCUUCCGGGGCAUCCCCAAGCUUAGGCUCUUGGCUAUCCUUGAAUAUUACCUUGGGGUGCCUUGGGCAUCCCCAAUCUUAGGCUCUUUCCACUCCUUAUUCCAUAGUCCAUCGAAUCCUUACCGAAAACUUGAAAACUUCACAACACAAAACUUAAGAGAAAACUCGUAAGCUCCGUAGGUAUAAGAAAGCAAAUCACCAUUUCAAGGUACUGUAAUGAACUCAUUAUUUAUUUAUAUUGGUGUUAAACCUACUUUAUUCCAACUUCUCUAUGGUUUAUAAACUAUUUUACUAUCCAUAGAUUCAUCAAAAUAAGCAAACAACACAAGAAAGUAGAAUCUGUUAAAAACAGAACAGUCUGUAGUAAUCUGGAUCGACAUAUACUUCUGGAACUCAUAAAAUUCUCAAAUAAAUUGCUGUACCUGAGGAAUUUAUCUAUUAAUCAACUGCAAUUUUUUUUAACUAAAUAGAACUCUCCAAAUAAAAAUGGCAGCAAUUCUCGUGAGCGCUAAAGUUUCUGUUUUUUUACAGCAUGAUCGUAAAGACUUCCCCCAAGUCUUCCCAAAGGUUCUACUUGGCACAAACACUAAUUAAAAGCAUAAAACCACAUAUAAACAGAGGCUAGAUGAAUUAUUUAUUACUAAACAGGAACAAAAAGCAAGGAAUAAAAUAAAAUUGGGUUGCCUCCCAACAAGCGCUAUCGUUUAACGCCCCUAGCUAGGCAUGAUGAUUUCAAUGAUGCUCACAUAAAAGAUAAGAAUUAUAACAUAAAGAGAGCAUCAUGAAGAAUAUGACUAGCACAUUUAAGUCUAACAUACUUUAUAUGCAUAGGGAUUUUGUGAGCAAACAACUUAUGGGAACAAUAAUCAACUAGCAUAGGAAGGCAAAACAAGCAUAACUUUAAAAUUUUAAGCACAUAGAGAGGAAACUUGAUAUUAUUGCAAUUCCUACCAGCAUAAGUUCCUCCCUCAUAAUAAUUGUCAGUAGCGUCAUGAAUGAAUUCAACAAUAUAACCAGCACCUAAAGCAUUCUUUUCAUGAUCUACAAGCAUAGAAAUUUUAUUACUCUCCACACAAGCAAAAUUCUUCUCAUGAAUAAUAGUGGGAGCAAACUCAACAAAAUAAUUAUCAUGUGAUUGAAAAUUAAGAUCAAGAUGACAAGUUUCAUGGUUAUCAUUAUUCUUUAAAGCAUACGCGUCAUCACAAUAAUCAUCAUAGAUAGGAGGCAUGCUUUCAUCAUAAUAACUUUGCUCAUCAAAACUUGGGGCACAAAAAAUAGCAUCUUCAUCAAACAUAGCUUCCCCAAGCUUGUGGCUUCGCAUAUCAUUAGCAUCAUGGAUAUUCAAGGAAUUCAUACUAACAACAUUGCAAUCAUGCUCAUCAUUCGAAUAUUUAGUGCCAAACAUUUUAUAGAUUUCUUCUUCUAGCACUUGAGCACAAUUAUCCUUUCCAUCAUACUCACGAAAGAUAUUAAAGAGGUGAAGCAUAUGAGACAAACUCAAUUCCAUUUUUUAUAGUUUUCUUUUAUAAACUAAACUAGUGAUAAAACAAGAAACUAAAAGACUCGAUUGCAAGAUCUAAAGAUAUACCUUCAAGCACUCACCUCUCCGGCAACGGCGCCAGAAAAGAGCUUGAUGUCUACUACACAACCUUCUUCUUGUAGACGUUGUUGGGCCUUCAAGUGCAGAGGUUUGUAGGACAGUAGCAAAUUUCCCUCAAGUGGAUGACCUAUGGUUUAUCAAUUCGUAGGAGGCGUAGGAUGAAGAUGGUCUCUCUCAAGCAACCCUGCAACCAAAUAACAAAGAGUGUCUUGUGUCCCCAACACACCCAAUACAAUGGUAAAUUGUAUAGGUGCACUAGUUCGGCGAAGAGAUGGUGAUACAAGUGGUAUAUGGAUAGUAGAUAAAAGUAUUUGUAAUCUGAAAUUAUAAAAACAACAAGGUAACAAGUGAUAAAAGUGAGCGUAAACGGUAUUGCAAUGAUAGGAAAUAAGGCCUAGGGUUCAUACUUUCACUAGUGCAAGUCCUCUCAACAAUAAUAUCAUAAUUGGAUCACAUAACCAUCCCUCAACAUGCAACAAAGAGUCACUCCAAAGUCACUAAUAGCGGAGAACGGACGAAGAGAUUAUGGUAGGGUACGAAACCACCUCAAAGUUAUUCUUUCCAAUCAAUCCGUUGGGCUAUUCCUAUAAGUGUCACAAACAGCCCUAGAGUUCGUACUAGAAUAACACCUUAAGACACAAAUCAACCAAAACCGUAAUGUCACCUAGAUACUCCAAUGUCACCUCAAGUAUCCGUGGGUGUGAUUAUACGAUAUGCAUCACACAAUCUCAGAUUCAUCUAUUCAACCAACACAAAGGACCUCAAAGAGUGCCCCAAAGUUGUACCGGAGAAUCACGAUGAAAACGUGUGCCAACCCCUAUGCAUAAACACGGUUGAUGAUAUGGCAUGCAGUAUCAAUGGCUUCAGGCCAGAACUUUCUUGAAGUCUUGUAUUCAUCGAGCAUCGUCCAGGCCAUCUCAAUAAGUGUUCUGUUCUUGCGUUCCACGACGCCAUUCUGCUAUGGCGUGUACGGAGCUGAGAAUUCAUGAGUGAUGCCCAAAGUAUCAAGAUAAGUGUCGAGGCCAGUGUUCUUGAAUUCAGUGCCAUUGUCACUUCUGAUGUGCUUGAUCUUGACGCCAUAGUUGUUCAUGGCUCGAUUGGCGAAGCGUCUGAAGACAUCCUGCACUUCAGUCUUGUAGAGGAUUAUAUGCAGCCAUGUAUAUCUUGAAUAAUCAUCAACAACGACGAAGCCAUAGAGACAAGCAGUGGUAGUAAGAGUUGAGUAGUGAAUGGGACCGAAGAGAUCCAUGUGUAGGAGUUCAAAGGGUUGAGUUGUUGUCAUGAUUGUCUUCGAGGGAUGCUUGGCCCUUGUCAUCUUUCCAGCUUCACAGGCACCGCAUAAGUGAUCCUUCUUGAACUUGACGCCCUCGAUGCCUAUGAUAUGCUUCUUCUUUGCAAGAGUGUGCAAGUUCCUCAUGCCAGCAUGCCCAAGCCUCCGAUGCCAGAGCCAACAUUCUGAAGCUUUUGCUAGAAGACAUACGGCAAUCUGUGGUCCUGCUGAGAAAUCUACCAUGUACAAAUCAUCUUUCCGAUACCCUUCAAAGACUAGAGACUUGUCAGAUUCCAUUAGAACAAGGCAACGAUAUUUUCCAAAUAUCACAAUCAUGUUUAAAUCGCAAAGCAUUGAGACAGACAUUAAGUUGAAACCAAGGGAUUCAACAAGCAUUACUUUAUCCAUGUGUUGAUCCCUUGAGAUUGCAACUCUACCUAGACCCAAUACCUUGCUUUUACCAAUAUCAGCAAAUGUGAUGUGACUCUUGUUAGAUGGACGUAACAUUGAGUCCAUGAGAAGACUUCGCUUGCCAGUCAUGUGAUUAGUACACCCACUAUCAAUAAUCCAUUCUGAAGCAGCUGGUGUCAUACCCUACAGUGAAGUUAGGGGGAUAGGCUUCACGAAGAGAAUUGUGAAGCAUAAACAUUUGACGAGCAAGUGGAUUAUGAAAUCUUAGAUCGAGGUUAGGACUGAUAGGGAAAGUAGCAAGCGACUCAGGAACAAAAUACAUAAUAAGACCAUUUGGGCAUUUGAUCUUGCGCCCUACAAGAUGUUUAAGGUCCCCAGCAAUGGCUUCAGACGAGUUUGAUUUUCGGCUGGAGACCCUUCCCUGCAAAAGAGAGUUAAGAUUUCUUAGCCACCCACAUCUUCAAGGGUGGCUUUGAAGCAAUGAGUCUAAGUACAGCAUCUGAGAACUUUGGCUUUGGAGCCCUAGCAAAAAGUCUUGCAGGAGGACAAUAGUACUCAUAAGAAUAAGCAGAGUAGUUCUUGGUCGUAUGAACAUGGUGGUUUGAUGAAACCCGCUUGUAUUCAUAGGCCUGAGUAUGAUUUCCCUGCAAAACAUUUGUGUUAGUGCGACUCAAGUGAGUCCUCUGUCUGUAUGAAGCCUUUGGACCAUAUGAAGCCUGUGGUCUGGGGUUUGUCUUCUUCACUUGUGGUGUCAUGACGACAUUCACAGGAAGAUUCUCCAAACACUUUUUCGGCACCCAGACUUUCUUCAUAGGUGGCCCAUACCUACAGUUAGUACCAAUAUACCUGGAAAACACUUCACCCAUCUGAUUCUUAAACAGUUUAUAGUUUGCAUCAAAGGAUUCAUCAAUAACAAUAGGAUUAGCACAAGUGAAGCCAGAUAGGGUGGAUGGAUCCACGGAAGGUUCCUUUGCAGCAACCCAUGUGGUUUUUGGGUACUACUCAGGUUUCCAGUAAGAGCCAUCAGCAUUCAUUUUCCUUUCGAACCCAACACCCUCUUUCCUAGGGUUUUAGUUCAGGAUCUUCCUUUUGAGGACAUCACAUAGUGUCUGAUGCCCUUUGAGACUUUUGUACAUCCCUGUUUCAAGCAAUGUCUUCAAUCUAGCAUUUUCAUCAGCAAUAGCAGUGGUAUCCUCAGCAGAGGGGUUAGUUACCACAUCAACAGUUGAAGAUAUUGCAAUAGUAGCAGCAGUAGAACAUCCAGCAACAAAAGUAGCGUUGUCACGCUCAAUGCAUUUAAGACAUGGUGGUUCAAAUCCUUCUCGAGCGGAACUGAUCUGUUUGGCGUGAAGUGACUCGUUUUCCUUUUGAAGAUCUUCAUGAGCUGCUCUCAAUUUCUCAAGAUCUUGCUUCCUUUGAAGAUAAUAAUGGGAAAGCUUUUCAUGAGUUGUUGAGGGCGUUUCAUGAUGACUUUCAAGUUCCUCAUACUUAACAUGAAGAUUUUUAUGUCUUCAAUUAAGGACUGAGAUCGAGUCAUUUCAGCAUCUAAUAGGUCAUCGCUUUUGUCUAACAGUUUUUGAAUAUGUUUCAUAGCUUUCUGUUGUUCAGUUGCAAUUUUAGCAAGUGUUUUGUAGCUGGGUUUGGAACUACAAUCAGAGUCAUCUUCACUGGAUGUUUGAUAGUGAGUAGUUUGUGAUUUUACCUUGGCACCACGUGCCAUGAAGUAGUAGGUGGGAGCGGAGUUGUCCUUGUCAUUAGCAUCGGCAUCGGUGAUGAAGUCAUUGUCUUCAGUGUUGAAGAUGGACUUGGCAACGUAUGCUGUAGCCAGACUUGCAGAGCCAGAAUCAGACUCCUCCUCAGACUCCACCUUCGCCUCCUUAGAAGCGGACUCCUCCUCUGAAUCCAUUUGCUUGCCAACAAACGCAUGAGCCUUGCCAGAUGAGCUCUUCUUGUGUGAUGAAGACUUGGAAGAAGACUUUGAGUAUUUCUUCUUCUUCUUCUUGUCGUCAGAAUCAUAUUCCUUGCUCUUCUUCUUCUUCUUCUUCUUCUUGUUCUUCUUCUUCUUCUUCUUAUUCUUGUUCUCAUUGUCCCACUGCGGACACUCAGAGAUGUAGUGACCAGGUUUCUUGCACUUGUGACAUAUUCUCUUCUUGUAGUCAUGAGCAGAAGCUUCAUCAUUCAUUGAGCUGGAUCGUGAGGACUUUCUGAAGCCUUUCUUCUUGGUGAAUUUCUGAAACUUCUUCACAAGUAUAGCAAGCUCCUUUCCAAUGUCUUCAGGAUCAUCCGAACUGCAAUCAGAUUCUUUUUCAGAUGAGGAAAUAGCUUUUGCCUUCAAAGCAUGAGUUUGCUCAUAGUUGGGACCGUAGAUGUCCCUUUUCUCAGAAAGCUGAAACUCAUGUGUGUUGAGCCUUUCAAGUAUGUCAGACGGAUCGAGUGUCUUGAAGUCAGGGCGUUCUCGAAUCAUCAGGGCUAUUCAGUAGCGUCGAGGGCUGUCAAACAAGCUGUCAAGUGAUCUCAGGAGUGUCUUGACGACUUCAUCCUUGGUGAUCUCAGUAGCGUCGAGGGCUUGAAGCUCAUUUGUGAUGUCAGUGAGUCGAUCAAACGUGAGCUGAACAUUCUCAUUGUCGUUUCUCUUGAACUGGUUGAAGAGGUUGCGACGGACACUGAUUCUUUGAUCUCUCUGGGUUGAGACGCCUUCGUUGACCUUGGAGAGCCAGUCCCAGACUAGCUUAGAUGUUUCCAGAGCACUCACACGGCCAUACUGCCCUUUGGUCAGAUGACCACAGAUGAUGUUCUUGGCAGUGGAGUCCAGUUGAACGAACUUCUUGACAUCAGCAGCGAUGACACCUUCACCAGCCUUGGGGACGCCAUUCUUAACGACAUACCAGAGGUCGACAUCAAUGGCUUCAAGAUGCAUGCGCAUCUUAUUCUUCCAGUAGGGAUAUUCAGUUCCAUCGAAGACUGGGCACGCAGCGGAGACUUUGAUUAUUCCUGCAGUCGACAUAGCUAAAACUCCAGGUGGUUAAACCGAAUCACACAGAACAAGGGAGAACCUUGCUCUGAUACCAAUUGAAAGUGCUAGUGACCGACUAGAGGGGGGGUGAAUAGGCGAUUUUUACGAAAGUCUUCAAAACAUGGAAGUUUCGAAGACAAACGAUAGUAAUAAACCUAUUACCAUGCAGUGGAAGGUAGCCUACACUAAGCAAGCCAUAGUCAAGUAUUCAAUGAAGUGAAAGCAUAAAGACUAAUAGCAGCUAGGCAGUAUAGAUCAGGUUGGAAGAUAGUAUGAAGCCAAUCAGAACAAGCAGUCACACAAUGAAGACAAAGGAUAAUGCAAAUAGGAAUUGACUUCACAAGAACCAACUGUAAAUAAAGAGAUGGGAAAGAUAGAACCAGUGGCUCGUUGAAGACAAAGAUUUGUUGGACCAGUUCCAGUUGCCGUGAAAACUGUACGUCUGGUUAGGGAGGCUGAGAUUCAACUCAGAAGACCGCGUCUUCACCUUAUUCCCCUUGAGCUAAGGACACCCAGUCCUCGCCCAAUCACUCUGGUAAGUCUUCAAGGUAGACUUCCAAACCUUCAUAGACUUCAUUCACUGGCGAUCCACAAUGACUCUUGGAUGCUCAGAAUGCGACGCCUAACCGGCUGGACGAUUCACAGUCCUCAAGUGUAAUAAGUCUUCAGAUCACACAGACAGGAAGACUUCAGUGAUGCCUAACACUCUUUGGAUCUGGGUGUUUAGGGCUUUGUCCUCGCAAGGAAUUCUCUCUUAGAGGCUUCGAGGUGGGUUGCUCUCAAACGACAAAAGCCGUAUACUAAUUCUGAGCAGCCAACCGUUUAUGGUUGUAGGGGGUGGGCUAUUUAUAGCCACUAGGCAGCCCGACCUGAUUUGUCCGAAAUGACCCUGGGUCACUAAGGAACUGACACGUGUUCCAACAGUCAGAUUUCAAACACACACGGCAACUUUACUUGGGCUACAAGCAAAGCCGACUUAUCUAGCUCUGGAUAAGAUUUUCUCUCAUUGUCUUCGCUCGAAGACAUAGGAUUUUGGUUAAGCAUCACUUCAGUCAUUCUGACUGGUUCACUUGGACCCCACUUAACAGUGCGGUGGUUCCUAUGACUCAACAAAGAAGAAAAAGAACGACGAAACAACUAAGUCUUUGCGCUCCAUAGUCUUCACGCAAUGUCUUCUCUUGUCAUAGUCUUCAAUGUGAAUGUCUUCACAUACCACCUUUGACUUCAAUGUCUUCAUACAUUUUUAGGGGUCAUCUCUGGUAGGAAAACGAAUCAAUGAGGGACUUCUACCUGUGUUAUCCUGCAAUUCUCACAAACACAUUAGUCCCUCAACCAGGUUUGUCGUCAAUACUCCAAAACCAACUAGGGGUGGCACUAGAUGCACUUACAGGGUGAAUAGGCAAUUUUUAUGAAAGUCUUCAAAACAUGGAAGUUUCGAAGACAGACGAUAGAAAUGAACCUAUUAACAUGCAGCAGAAGGUAGACUACACUAGCCAAGCCAUAGUCAAGUAUUCAAUGAAGUGAAAGCACAAAGACUAAUAGCAGCUAGGUAGUAUGGAUCAGGAUGGAAGAUAGUAUGAAGCAAUCAGAACAAGCAGUCACACAGUGAAGACAAAUAGAUAAUGCAAACAGGCAAUGACUUCACAAGGACCAACUGUAUAUAAAGAGAUGGGAAGGAUAAAACCAGUGGCUCGUUGAAGACAAUAAUUUGUUGGACCAGUUCCAGUUGCUGUGACAACUGUACGUCUGGUUAGGGAGGCUGAGAUUCAACUCAGAAGACCGCGUCUUCACCUUAUUCCCCUUGAGCUAAGGACACCCAAUCCUUGCCCAAUUACUCUGGUAAGUCUUCAAGGUAGACUUCCAAACCUUCAUAGACUUCGUUCACCGGUGAUCCACAAUGACUCUUGGAUGCUCAGAACGCGACGCCUAACCGGCUGGAGGAUUCACAGUCCUCAAGUGUAAUAAGUCUUCAGAUCACACAUACAGGAAGACUUAAGUGAUGCCUAACACUCUUUGGCUCUGGGUGUUUAGGGCUUUGUCCUCGCAAGGAUUUCUCUCUCAAAGGCUUUGAGGUGGGUUGCUCUCAAACGACAAAAGUCAUGCACUAACUCUGAGCACCCAACCAAUUUAUGGUGUAGGGGGUGGGCUAUUUAUAGCCACUAGGCAACCUGACCCGAUUUGUCCGAAAUGACCCUGGGUCACUAAGGAACUGACAUGUGUUCCAACGGUCAGAUUUCAAACACGCACGACAACUUUACUUGAGCUACAAGCAAAGCUGACUUAUCCAGCUCUGGAUAAGAUUUUCUCUCAUUGUCUUCGCUCGAAGACAUAGGAUUUUGGUUAAGCAUCACUUCAGUCAUUCUGACUGGUUCACUUGGACCCCACUUAACAGUACGGUGGUUCCUAUGACUCAACAAAGAAGAAAACGAAACAACGAAACAACUAACUCUUCGUGCUCCAUAGUCUUCACACAAUGUCUUCUCUUCUCAUAGACUUCAAUGUGAAUACCUUCACAUACCACCUUUGUCUUCAAUGUCUUCAUUAGGGGUCAUCUCCGGUAGGUAAACCGAAUUAGUGAGGGACUACUACCUGUGUUAUCCUGCAAUUCUCACAAACACAUUAGUCCCUCAACCAGGUUUGUCGUCAAUACUCCAAAACCAACCAGGGGUGGCACUAGAUGCACUUACAAGCCGCAGUCAUCGCCGUUCAACCCUUGCAUAGAUCUGAAGCACCUGACACCAAAUCUUGCCACAUGAUGAGAAACCCUAACCUCACUGUCCCAAGGAGAUGGCAGGAAUCUACGUCGGGGAUCCAUCAACUACGUCCAGACGGACGAACUUGAGAAGGAUCGAAGCACAAAAGACCAACUCAAAGAAGUAGCACCGGCAUCUACCCAAGUGUUGCACCAGCAAGGACUAAAAACCGUAACCUAAACUACCAACCGGUGUGGAGACACCCCACCCAGAUUCUCCUCCCCACCACUGACCACCGGAGCGGCAGGCAAAGGGGAGGCGAAUUCAUGGGCUCAAGGUGAAGUCUAGGGAAUUUUUUGUCCUAACGGCCUAUGAUUAGGGGAGGAAAAUGAGAGGCUGCCUACCGUUGCUUGCAUAGUGCACGGUGGUCGUCGAUAUCAUCUUCCGCUCUGCUUCCCUGGUGACGUGAAAGGGAGGCAACGGUUCUUUCGCUAGCUCCCUUAAUAAGCACGCACUCGCACAAGAUCAAGUUUGUCUCGUGUCCUCCCCUCCUUAUUUUGGCCAUCAUGGCGAUGCCACAGGUGGAAGAGCACUACAGGACUUGGGCUUCUGAUACAGUGAGGUAUUUUGUCAAGAUCUGUUAGAGGGCCUCUAGCAUGCCUCCUGUUGCUACAUUCAUCAUGGUGGUGGAGGCAUGGACGCGGUCAUUUGGAUGUGGUUCAAGAGCUCAUGGUGGUGGAUUUGGAGGAAUUGUGGUGCCUCAGGGUGGGCGUUCGGGUUUACCCAAAAUUUCAGGUCUGGUAAUUCAGUUUUUUAGAAAUUUGGGUUUCUAAAAUAAACACCAAAAUAUUCCUGGAAAAAGAGAAACCCAAAAAUUCUGGUUUAGGUUCGGGUAUUCCUGAAUUACUCGAAUUAUCACAACAAACAAAAUGACAGCAGCAACUCACGUCAUACUGACGGCUGAUGUAGCGCUCCCCUUUGCUUCCCUCACUCAAAGGUUGUGGGAUGUAGCCUCACCUCAUUUGCUUCUCAUGGCGGCAGGAUACUGGGACUAGGAGGUCAUCGACCUUAUUGCAGGCGAAGGUGGUGAGCCUCGUGCGCGUCACAAAUUGUGGCAGCGAGGUGCAGACAAUGGUGACGAUGUUGGCAAGGUCGAGGGAGUUAAUGAGGUGGCUAACCGCCCGGCCGCAUUGCACGCUCGUGGUUGCUAGGUCGGGACACAUGAUGCGGCCAACUGCAUUGCAUUGUAGCCACUGGUUCGAGAGAGACAGAGAGAAAGGAAUGAGGCGCCCAUGUGUGUGUGUGUGUGUGUGUGUGAGAGAGAGAGAGAGAGAGAGAGAGAGGGAUGGACUGCUCGACUGGCGGCACAACAUGGGAAGUGGAUGGGGGUCGCGACUAUGCUCGGUCGACCUAGGGAAAUCGAGGCAUUAUUCUUAUUCCCAUAUUUGGAUGGGUUGAUGCCAGAAGGUGGAAUUUUGAUUGGGCGGUACCAUGAGUCGGAACCUAAAUUUCCCAAAAAAUUGGGUUUCUAAAAAUGUUACCUGGUUUAGUGUUCUAGUUUUUCGGGUUAGGGCUAAAUGGGUUCUCGUUUGGGCGUUGGGUAUCGGGUUUUAUGCCCAUCGUGUGUGGUGCCCUUGUUGGUCAUGGCCUGGUUUCCUCUGAGGGGACACGUAUCUUGUGGUCAAAAGGGGACCAAUUUCAUUUCUUUUGACCAUGAUGCCAGAGAUGAGACAAGUUGCUUAAAGGUGGAGUCAAUGCCAUGUUGUCAUGGAGGUCUCGCCGGCUCAAGUGGUGUCAUUCGUGGACCAAUGAGACUAGGUCCAUUGGGGAGCAAAAUCAGAGCCGAUUGCAAUAUGCGUUCUUUGUUUUUGUUUGGGGUUUCUUUUGCAAGAUGCAUAAUCUAGUUCGUAAUUUUGAGUUUCCUUUGGAUCCUGUUUAUAAAUUGUACUCGCAUGCUUAUCUAAUCGAUAUUAGGUCUUAAAAAAGAGUGAAAUGGUCUAUUGUCCGUGUGUUACUCUAAUUUGUUGUAGGAUAGCGAUGAUGAGCAAUAGAUUUUUAGAAAACGAACCUUACUAGGAUUUUUAGGAGAUCUGUUUUACUAUCUUUUAUGUUAAGAAUAGGCUUAAGAAAAUAUUGUCUGGUCCUUGAUUAGAUUUUGGAUACUUAGAGCAUCUACAACCGCCAUGAGCAAAUCAGGCCCCUCAAACGCAUGCGGACGCACCCGGAGGCAUCCGCGGGCACUGACCGGGCAUGCCUCAUAUUUGCCACUCUGCAUACAUGUAUCUCAUAUUCGGCGCCUUAUCUCCAUACUACACAUGCAACGUUGAUCUACUCUACAUGAUCAAACGAUGGACAAUAAAAAUCGGCUGCAAAGGAACAUAAGAUCGCUGCAAACGGACAUUAACAAACUUGGGCACAUCCAAAAGAUCAUAGUUCAUCACCAGACAAGUUCUUAAACUUCUACAACUAAAAUGAUAUAAAAAAUGAGGAUGGAGGGAUGAACAUUUCCUUGCUGGGCCUUUGCCCUUCCGGUCGUAGGCGCAACUGUAGACGUCCGCGGCUGGUCUUGGUCAUCCGAUGAGGAGGUGCUAUUGUCGCCGUCGUCGGAGUUGGAGUCGGAGAGGACGAAGAGCCCCUUCAUCCGACAGACCGUCCUGUCCUACUUCCACUUCGACCUGGCGAUCUGAGCCUUUUCCGCCGCUGCCUCCUUCGCCUUGCGCUCCGACCGCUCAAUAGCAAGCCAGAGCGCCUUGGCAUUCUUCCUUCAGAGGCGGCAAGCUUAAGUCUUCUUCGUCAUGAGGACCCAUGCGAGAAGACGCGCGUCCUUGUCCUGGUCAGCCUCCAUCCCGCAUAAGGACGACAAUUUUACCCAUGGACAUGGAUACCCAUGGAUAUCCGACCCGAAUGGAUAGGGUUUGGAUAUGCUUUUGUGCCCAUGGGUGACGCCCAAACCCGACCCGAUUGCUCGUGGGUAGGGUAUGGAUAUAAUAUUUUACCCGUGGAUAUAUCCAAACCCGACCCGAUAGUAUGCAUUAAUGGGCAAAACUCUGCUAUCCCUACACCACAGUCACAUGUCCCACUGUAAUUUUACACUUUGUUAUGUAAAACAUGCAAAAGAAAUUGCACAAUCCCUAGUUGACAUUCAAUCCCCAGUAACAUAUUCUAGCACUCCUUCCCUUAUUUUUAUCUCCUCGUUAAAUGACUCAUCAUUCUCAUAUUUUAGAAAGAUACAAAAUGAUAUUAGGUUGUUACUGGAUGCUGAUUUACCAUAAGUUGAUGUUUACAAUAAAUGAAGCCUAGCUUGCCACGAGGUGAAAAAUGGAAGAUCCUAUAUUAACAUUGUCUUAUGUCUUAUUUAUAUGUCUUGAGAUGAGCCAAUGGAUAUCCAGUGGGUAUGAAUAUCCAUCGGGUUUGGACAUGGACACCAUUUUUCACCCGUGGAUUUUUUUCAUGGGCAGGCAAAGACUGUCUUCAUGGAUAUGGAUAUGGGUUUGAUAUUGUUCAACCCGAUCCAAACCCGCAGCGGCGGCACGCGAACUCCUCCACCGCGUCCCUCUCCCGUGCAUGCUACCUCUCGCAGUGAGCGACGCGCGCCUGUGAUUUUGGAGUGCCUGUGCGGACAGGCGGCGCGGGCACCAGCAGCCACCACUGCCCGCAUGGACAAGUGGCAGGUGGGGGAAGGAGACGAUGCGGGGCCGAUGCAGAUUGUGUUGCCCUGGCGUCGUUGCACGCGGGCCGGGAGGGUCCAGCUCUAGUGUCCGAGAUGCAGCGAUGCUCUAGAUCCAGAGCUACCGCCAGUCUCUGCUACCUCUUGAGCAUUGCGUUGGUUUUCCCUUGAAGAGGAAAGGGUGAUGCAGCAGAGUGAUACGUCUCCAACAUAUCUAUAAUUUUUUAUUGUUCCAAGCUAUUAUAUUAUCAACCUUGGAUGUUUUAUAUGCAUUUAUAUGCUAUUUUAUAUGAUUUUUGGGACUAACCUAUUAACCUAGAGCCCAGUGCUAGUUUCGGUUUUUUCCUUGUUUUAGAGUAUCGUAGAAAAGGAAAAUCAAACAGAGUCCAAUUGACCUGAAACUUUACAGAACUUUUUUUUUGGACCAGAAGAAGCCCACGGAGUAUCGGAGAUAGACCAGGAGAGUCUCGGGCUGCCCACGAGGGUGGGGGUGCGCCCACCCCCUUGGGCGCGCCCCCUGCCUCGUGGAUAGCCCGGAGGUCCACCGACGUACUUCUUCCUCCCAUAUAUACCCAUAUACCCUAAAAACUUCGAGGAGUAGAAUAGAUCGGGAGUUUCGCCGCCAGAAGCCUCCGUAGCCAUCGAAAACCAAUCUAGACCCGUUCCGGCACCCUGCCGGAGGGGGAAAUCCAUCUCCGGUGGCCAUUUUCAUCAUCCCGGUGCUCUCCAUGACGAGGAGGGAGUAGUUUUCCCUCGGGGCUAAGGGUAUGUACCAGUAGCUAUGUGUUUGAUCUCUCUCUCUCUCUCUCUCUCUCUCUCUCUCUCUCGUGUUCUUGAGGUGUUACAAUCUUGAUGUAUCGCGAGCUUUGCUAUUAUAGUUGGAUCUUAUGAUGUUUCUCCCUCUCUACUCUCUUGUAAUGGAUUGAGUUUUUCCUUUGAAGUUAUCUUAUCGGAUUGAGUCUUUAAGGAUUUGAGAACCCUUGAUGUAUGUCUUGCGUGGGAUACCCGUGGUGACAAUGGGGUAUUCUAUUGAUCCACUUGAUGUAUGUUUUGGUGAUCAACUUGCGGGUUCCGCCCAUGAACCUAUGCAUAGGGGUUGGCACACGUUUUCGUCUUGACUCUCCGGUAGAAACUUUGGGGCACUCUUUGAAGUACUUUGUGUUGGUUUGAAUAGAUGAAUCUGAGAUUGUGUGAUGCAUAUCGUAUAAUCAUACCCGCAGAUACUUGAGGUGACAUUGGAGUAUCUAGGUUACAUUAGGGUUUUGAUUGAUUUGUGUCUUAAGAUGUUAUUCUAGUACGAACUCUAGGAUAGAUUGAACGGAAAGAAUAGCUUCAUGUUAUUUUACUACGGACUCUCGAAUAGAUCGAUCGGAAAGAAUAACUUUGAGGUGGUUUCGUACCCUACCAUAAUCUCUUCGUUUGUUCUCCGCUAUUAGUGACUUUGGAGUGACUCUUCGUUGCAUGUUGAGGGAUAGUUAUGUGAUCCAAUUAUGUUAUUAUUGUUGAGAGAACUUGCACUAGUGAAAGUAUGAACCCUAGGCCUUGUUUCCUAGCAUUGCAAUACCGUUUGUGCUCACUUUUAUCAUUAGUUACCUUGCUGUUUUUAUAUUUUCAGAUUACAAAAACAUAUAUCUACCAUCCAUAUUGCACUUGCAUCACCAUCUCUUCGACGAACUAGUGCACCUAUACAAUUUACCAUUGUAUUGGGUGUGUUGGGGACACAAUAGACUCUCUGUUAUUUGGUUGCAGGGUUGUUUGAGAGAGACCAUCUUCAUCCUACGCCUCCCACGGAUUGAUAAACGUUAGGUCAUCCACUUGAGGGAAAUUUGCUAUUGUGCUACAAACCUCUGCACUUGAAGGCCCUACAACGUCUACAAGAAGAAGGUUGUGUAGUAGACAUCAAGCUCUUUUCUGGCGCCAUUGCCGGGGAGGUUAGCGCUUGAAGGUAUAUCUUUAGAUCUUGCAAUCGAAUCUUUUUGUUUCUUGUUUUAGCACUAGUUUAGUUUAUAAAAGAAAACUAAAAAAAUAUGGAAUUGAGUUUGCCUCAUACGCUUCAUCUUUUUAAUAUCUUUCACGAGUAUGAUGGAAAGGAUAAUUGUGCUCCAAGUGUUAGAAGAAGAAUGCUUUAAAAUGUUUGGCACUAAAUCUUUGAAUGAUGAGCAUGAUUGCAAUGUUGUUAGUAUGAAUUCCUUGAAUAUCCAUGAUGCUAAUGAUAUGCAGAGCCACAAGCUUGGGGAAGCUAUGUUUGAUGAAGAUGCUAUUUUUGUCCCCCAAGUUUUGAUGAGAAAAUGUAUUAUGAUGAAAGCAUGCCUCCUAUUUAUGAUGAUUAUAUUGAUGAAAGUGUAUUUGGAUAGGUCAUGACUAUGUUUAGUAAUGAUUCCACUAUUUCAGAAGAGGUUCCAAUUGAUUAUGAGAACGAAGUUGCUAUCUAUGAUGAUUAUUGUGAUGACUUGUAUGCUAUAAAGAAUAAUGAUAACCAUGAAACUUGUCAUAUUGAUUUUAAUUUUCAAUUGGAUUAUGUCUCACAUGAUAGUUAUUUUGUUGAUUUUGCUCCCACUACUAUUCACGAGAAGAAAUUUGUUUAUGUGGAGAGUAAUAAAAUUUCUAUGUGUGUAGAACAUGAAAAAAAUGCUUUAGGUGCUGGUUAUAUUGUUGAAUUCAUUCAUGAUGCUACUGAAAAUUAUUAUGAGGGAGGAAUAUAUGCUUGUAGGAGUUGCAAUAAUAUCAAGUUUCCUCUCUAUGUACUUAAAAUCUUGAAGUUAUGCUUGUUUUGCCCUCCUAUGCUAGUUGAUUAUUGUUCCCAUAAGUUGUUUGAUCACAAAAUCACUAUGCAUAGGAAGUGGGUUAGACUCAAAUGUGCUAGUCAUAUUCUUCAAGAUGCUCUCUUUAUGUUACAAUUCUUAUCUUUUAUGUGAGCAUCGUUGAAAUCAUCAUGCCUAGCUAGCGGCAUUAAACGAUAGCGCUUGUUGGGAGGCAACCCAAUUUUAUUUUUAUUCCUUGCUUUUUGCUCUUGUUUAGUAAUAAAUAAUUCAUAUAGCCUCUGUUUAGAUGUGGUUUAAUGUUUUAAUUAGUGUUUGUGCCAAGUAGAACCUUUGGGAAGACUUGGGGAAAGUCUUUGCGAUCAUGCUGUAAAAAACAUAAACUUUAGCGCUCACGAGAAUUGCUUCCAUUUUUUAUUGGAGAGUGCUAUUAAGUUAAUUCUUUUUUCAGAUGAUUAAUAUAUAAAUUCCUCACGUCCAUCAAUUUAUUUUAGAAUUUUUGGGGUUCCAGCGUUAGUUACAGAUUACUAAAGACUGUUCUGUUUUUGACAGAUUCUAUUUUUCAUGUGUUGUUUGCUUAUUUUGAUGAAUCUAUGGCUAGUAAAAGAGUUUAUAAACCAUAGAGAAGUUGUAAUACAGUAGGUUUAACACCAAUAUAAAUAAAUAAUGAGUUCAUCACAGUUCCUUGAAGUGGUGUUUUGUUUUCUUUCGCUAACGGAGCUUACGAGUUUUCUGUUAAGUUUUGUGUUGUGAAGUUUUCAAGUUUUGGGUAAAGAUUCGAUGGACUAUGGAAUAAGGAGUGGCAAGAGCCUAAGCUUGGGGAUGACCAAGGCACCCCAAGGCAAUAUACAAGGACAACCAAGAGCCUAAGCUUGGGGAUGCCCCGGAAGGCAUCUCCUCUUUCGUCUUCGUUCAUCGGUAACUUUACUUGGAGCUAUAUUUUUAUUCACCACAUGAUAUGUGUUUUGCUUGGAGCAUCAAUUUAUUUUGUUAGGAUUUUCUUGCUGUUAUUUAGAACAAUGUUUUUCAUCUUUUAUUUCAAUAGAAGUGGCAUUGAUAGCCUUUACUAUGCCUAUUUUAUAAGUCUUCAUGUUGCUGUUUGAAAACAGAAAGUUUACCGCUGUUGCAAUAAUUCCCUAGAAAAGUCAGAAUGUGAUAAUAUGUUGAAACCUUUUGCAUAUUAAGAUCUGAUAAAUUUACUACAGUGUGAAUUUUCUUUCAUUAUUUUUGGAGGUAGGGAAGUAUGGAUCUUGCUGCACUAUUUACAGACUGACCUGUUUAGGCAGAUUGCUGUUAUUUUUGCAUUGUUUGCAUAUGUUUGCUUCUUUAAUGAUUAUAUUUGAGGAUAGGACUAUUAAAUAUGCAGAGGAAUUUAGUAUGCAAUGUUGAAUAAUAAUUUUAGUGAUUUGCUACAGUAGAGCAUGGUAAGGUUUUUGCAUUGGUUUAUACUAACUUAUCUCACGAGUCCUUGUUGAGUUUUGUGUGGAUGAAGCUUUUGAGAUUUAGGGAGACCGUGAUAUGAGAGGAAUUAAGGAGACACAAAAUCUCAAGUUGGGGAUGCCCAAGGCAUCGCAAGAUAAUAUUUCAAGAACUCUCAAGCGUCUAAGCUUGGGGAUGCCCCGGUUGGCAUCCCAACUUUCUUCUUCAACAACUAUCGGUUAGUUUCGGUUGAUCCUAAGUUUUUGCUCCUUCACAUGAUGUUUGCCAUUCUUAGAAUGUCAUUUUAUUUUGUUUUGCUUGUUGUUUGCAUAAAAUAUCAAGACCUGAAAUUAUUAAAUAGGAGAGUCUUCACAUAGUUGCAUAAUUAUUCAACUACUCGUUGAUCUUCACUUAUAUCUUUUGGAGUAGUUUGUCAUUUGCUCUAGUGCUUCACUUAUAUCUUUCUAGAGCACGGUGGUGGUUUUAUUUUGAAGAAAUAGAUGAAAUCUCGUGCUUCACUUAUAUUAUUUUGAGAGUCUUUAGAACAGCACGGUAAUUUGCUUUGGUUAUGAAUUUAUUCCUAAUAUGAUGGGCGUCCAAGAGGGAUAUAAUAAAAACUUUCAUAUAAAGUGCAUUGAAUAUUAUGAGAAGUUUGAUACUUGAUGAUUGUUUUGAGAUAUGAAGAUGGUGAUAUUAGAGUCAUGCUAGUUGAGUAGUUGUGAAUUUGAGAAAUACUUGUGUUAAAGUUUGUGAUUCCCAUAACAUGCACGUAUGGUGAACCGUUAUGUGAUGAAGUCAGAGCAUGAUUUAUUUAUUGAUUGUCUUCCUUAUGAGUGGUGGUCGGGGACGAGCGAUGGUCUUUUCCUACCAAUCUAUCCCCCUAGGAGCAUGCGCGUAGUACUUUGUUUCAAUAACUAAUAGACUUUUGCAAUAAGUAUGUGAGUUCUUUAUGACUAAUGUUGAGUCCAUAUGGAUUAUACGCACUCUCACCCUUCCACCAUUGCUAGCCUCUCUAGUACCGCGCAAUUUUCGCCGGUACCAUAAACCCACCAUAUAUCCUCCUCAAAGCAACCACCAUACCUACCUAUUAUGGCAUUUCCAUAGCCAUUCCGAGAUGUAUUGCCAUGCAACUUUCCACUGUUCCGUUAUUAUGACACGCUUCAUCAUUGUCAUACUGCUUUGCAUGAUCAUGUAGUUGACAUCGUAUUUGUAGCAAAUCCACCGUUCAUAAUUCUUUCAUACAUGUCACUCAUGAGUCAUUGCACAUCCCGGUACACCGCCGGAGGCAUUCAUAUAGAGUCAUAUCUUGUCCUAAGUAUUGAGUUGUAAGAAAAUAAAAGUGUGAUGAUCAUCAUUAUUAGAGCAUUGUCCCAGUGAGGAAAGGAUGAUGGAGACUAUGAUUCCCCCACAAGUCAGUAUGAGACUCCGAACGAAAAUAAAGAGGCCAAAGAAACCCAAAUAAAAAAAGAGUUCAUAAAAAAAGAGAAGGCCCAAAUAAAAAAAUAAAAAAAAUGAGAGAAAAAGAGAGAAGGGAGUAUGCUACUAUCCUUUUACCACACUUGUGCUUCAAAGUAGCACCAUGAUAUUCAUGAUAGAGAGUCUCCUAUGUUGUCACUUUCAUAUACUAGUGGGAAUCUUUCAUUAUAGAACUUGGCUUGUAUGUUCCAAUGAUGGGCUUCCUCAAAAUGCCCUAGGUCUUCGUGAGCAAGCAAGUUGGAUGCACACCCACUAGUUUCUUUUGUUGAGCUUUCAUACAUUUAUAGCUCUAGUGCAUCCGUUGCAUGGCAAUCCCUACUCACUCACAUUGAUAUCUAUUGAUGGGCAUCUCCAUAGCCCGUUGAUACGCCUAGUUGAUGUGAGACUAUCUUCUCCUUUUUGUCUUCUCCACAACCACCAUUCUAUUCCACCUAUAGUGCUAUGUCCAUGGCUUGCGCUCAUGUAUUGCAUGAAGAUUGAAAAAGUUUGAGAACAUCAAAAGUAUGAAACAAUUGCUUGGCUUGUCAUCGGGGUUGUGCAUGAUUUAAAUAUUUUGUGUGGUGAAGAUAGAGCAUAGCCAGACUAUAUGAUUUUGUAGGGGUAGCUUUCUUUGGCCAUGUUAUUUUGAGAAGACAUGAUUACUUGGUUAGUAUGCUUGAAGUAUUAUUAUUUUUAUGUCAAUACUAAACUUUUGUCUUGAAUCUUAUGGAUCGGAACAUUCUUGCCACAAUAAAGAGAACUACAUGGAUAAAUAUGUUAGGUUUCAUUCCACAUCAAAAAUUCUGUUUUUAUCAUUUACCUACUCGAGGACGACCAAGAAUUAAGCUUGGGGAUGCUGAUACGUCUCCAAUGUAUCUAUAAUUUUUGAUUGUUCCAUGAUAUUAUAUUACCAACCUUGGAUGUUUUAUAUGCAUUUAUAUGCUAUUUUAUAUUAUUUUUGGGACUAACCUAUUAACCUAGAGCCCAGUACCAGUUUCUGUUUUUUCCUUGUUUUAGAGUAUCGCAGAAAAGGAAAAUCAAAAGGAGUCCAAUUGACCUGAAACUUCACGAAACUUAUUUUUGGACCAGAAGAAGCCCACGGAGUAUCAGAGAUGGACCAGGAGAGUCCCGGGCUGCCCACGAGGUGGGGGGCGCGCCCACCCCCCUGGGCGCGCCCCCUGCCUCAUGGACAGCCCGGAGGUCCACCGACGUACUUAUUCCUCCCAUAUAUACCCAUAUACCCUAAAAACUUUGAGGAGCAUAAUAGAUCGGGAGUUUUGCCGCCAGAAGCCUCCGUAGGCACCGAAAACCAAUCUAGACCCGUUCCGGCACCCUGCGGGAGGGGGAAAUCCCUCUCCGGUGGCCAUCUUCAUCAUCUCGCUGCUCUCCAUGACGAGGAGGGAGUAGUUCUCCCUUGGGUAUGAGGGUAUGUACCAGUAGCUAUGUGUUUGAUCUGUCUCUCUCCCUCUCUCUCUCUCGUGUUCUUGAGGUGUUACGAUCUCGAUGUAUCGCGAGCUUUGCUAUUAUAGUUGGAUCUUAUGAUGUUUCUCCCUCUCUACUCUCUUGUAAUGGAUUGAGUUUUCCCUUUGAAGUUAUCUUAUCGGAUUGAGUCUUUAAGGAUUUGAGAACACUUGAUGUAUGUCUUGCGUGGGAUACCCGUGGUGACAAUGGGGUAUUCUAUUGAUCCACUUGAUGUAUGUUUUGGUGAUCAAAUUGCGGGUUCCGCCCAUGAACCUAUGCAUAGGGGUUGGCACACGUUUUCGUCUUGACUCUCUGGUAGAAACUUUGGGGCACUCUUUAGCGUACUUUGUGUUGGUUUGAAUAGAUGAAUCUGAGAUUGUGUGAUACAUAUCCUUUAAUCAUACCCGCGGAUACUUCAGGUGACAUUGGAGUAUCUAGGUGACAUUAGGGUUUUGAUUGAUUUGUGUCUUAAGGUGUUAUUCUAGUAUGAACUCUAGGAUAGAUAGAAUGGAAAGAAUAGCUUCAUGUUAUUUUACUACGGACUCUUGAAUGGAUAGAUCAGAAAGAAUAACUUUGAGGUGGUUUCGUACCCUACCAUAAUCUCUUCGUUUGUUCUCCGCUAUUAGUGACUUUGGAGUGACUCUUCGUUGCAUGUUGAGGGAUAGUUAUGUGAUCCAAUUAUGUUGUUAUUGUUGAGAGAACUUGCACUAGUGAAAGUAUGAACCCUAGGCCUUGUUUCCUAGCAUUGCAAUACCGUUUGUGCUCACUUUUAUCAUUAGUUACCUUGCUGUUUUUAUAUUUUCAGAUUACAAAAACAUAUAUCUACCAUCCAUAUUGCACUUGUAUCACAAUCUCUUCGCUGAACUAGUGCACCUAUACAAUUUACCAUUGUAUUGGGUGUGUUGGGGACACAAGAGACUCUCUGUUAUUUGGUUGCAGGGUUGUUUGAGAGAGACCAUCUUCAUCCUACGCCUCCCACGGAUUGAUAAACCUUAUGUCAUCCACUUGAGGGAAAUUUGCUACUGUCCUACAAACCUCUGCACUUGGAGGCCCAACAACGUCUACAAGAAGAAGGUUGUGUAGUAGACAUCACAGAGAAGUGUAAGUAUUUCCCUCAGUUUUUGAUAACCAAGGUAUCAAUCCAGUAGGAGGCCACGCACGAGUCCCUCGCACCUACACAAACAAGUGAACUCCUCGCAACCAACGCGAUAAAGGGGUUGUCAAUCCCUUCACGGUCACCUACGAGAGUGAAAUAUGAUAGAUAUGAUAAGAUAAUAUUUUUGGUAUUUUUAUGAUAAAGAGAAAUAAAGAUUCAAGUAAAAUAAAUGGAAAAGGAAAUAAAUAAGUAUUGGAAGAUUAAUAUGAUGGAAAAUAGACCCGGGGGCCAUAGGUUUCACUAGAGGCUUCUCUCGAGAGCAUAAGUAUUACGGUGGGUGAACAAAUUACUAUUGAGCAAUUGACAGAAUUGAGCAUAGUUAUGAGAAUAUCUAGGUAUGAUCAUGUAUAUAGGCAUCACGUUCGAGACAAGUAGACCGACUCCUGCCUGCAUCUACUACUAUUAGUCCACACAUCGACUGCUAUCCAGCAUGCAUCUAGAGUAUUAAGUUCAAGAGAACAGAGUAACGCUUUAAGCAAGAUGACAUGAUGUAGAGGGAUAAACUCAUGGAAUAUGAUAUAAACCCCAUCCUUUUUAUCCUCGAUGGCAACAAUAUAAUACGUGCCUUGCUACCCCUACUGUCACUGGGAAAGGACACCGCAAGAUUGAACCCAAAGCUAAGCACUUCUCCCAUUGCAAGAAAGAUCAAUCUAGUAGGCCAAACCAAACUGAUAAUUCGAAGAGACUUGCAAAGAUAACCAAUUAUACAUAAAAGAAUUCAGAGAAGAUUCAAAUAUUGUUCAUAGUUAAACUUGAUCAUAAACCCAUAAUUCAUUGGUCUCAACAAACACACCGCAAAAGAAGAUUACAUCGAAUAGAUCUCCACAAGAGAGGGGGAGAACUUUGUAUUGAGAUCCAAAAAGAGACAAGAAGCCAUCUAGCUAAUAACUAUGGACCCGUAGGUCUGAAGUAAACUACUCACACUUCAUCGGAGAGGCUAUGGUGUUGAUGUAGAAGCCCUCCGUGAUCGAUACCCCCCUCUGGUGGAGCUCUGGAAAAGGCCCCAAGAUGGGAUCUCAUGGAUACAGAAAGUUACGGCGGUGGAAUUAGGGUUUUGGCUCCGUAUCUGGUAGUUUGGGGGUACAUAGGUAUAUAUAGGAGGAAGGAGUACGUCGGUGGAGCAACAUGGGCCCCACGAGGGUGGAGGGCGUGCUUGGGGGGGGGGGGGGUAGGCGCGCCCCCUACCUCGUGCCUUCCUGGUUGAUUGCUUGACGUAGGGUCCAAGUCCUCUGGAUCAUGUUGUUCCGAAAAUCACGUUCCAAAAGGUUUCAUUCUGUUUGGACUCCGUUUGAUAUUCUUUUUCUGCGAAACCCUAAAAUAGGCAAAAAACAACAAUUCUGGGCUGGGCCUCCGGUUAAUAGGUUAGUCCUAAAAAUAAUAUAAAAGUGUAUAAUAAAGCCCAAUAAUGUCCAAAACAGGAUAUAAUAUAGCAUGAAACAAUUGAAAAAUUAUAGAUACGUUGGAGAUGUAUCAAGCAUCCCAAGCUUAAUUCCUACUCGUCCUCGAGUAGGUAAAAGAUGAAAACAGAUUUUUUGAUGUGGAAUGCUACUUGGCAUAAUUUCAAUGUAAUUAUUCUUAAUUGUGGUAUGAAUAUUCAGAUCUGAAAGAUUCAAGACAAAAGUUCAAUAUUGACAUAGAAAUAAUAAUACUUCGAGCAUACUAACUAAGCAAUUAUGUCUCUUAAAAAUAACAUGGCCAAAGAAAGUUAUCCCUACAAAAUCAUAUAGUAUGGCUAUGCUCCAUCUUCACCACACAAAGUAUUUAAAUCAUGCACAACCCCGAUGACAAGCCAAGCAAUUGUUUCAUACUUUUGGUGUUCUCAAACUUUUUCAAUCUUCACGCAAUACAUGAGCGUGAGCCAUGGACAUAGCACUAUAGGUGGAAUAGAAUGGUGGUUGUGGAGAAGAUAGUCUCACAUCAACUAGGCGUAUCAACGGGGUAUGAAGAUGCCCAUCAAUAGAUAUCAAUGUGAGUGAGUAGGGAUUGCCAUGCAACGGACGCACUAGAGCUAUAAAUGUAUGAAAGCUCAACAAAAAGAACUAAGUGGGUGUGCAUCCAACUUGCUUGCUCACGAAGACCUAGGGCAUUUUGAGGAAGCCCAUCGUUAGAAUAUACAAGCCAAGUUCUAUAAUGAAAAAUUCCCACUAGUAUAUGAAAGUGAUAACAUAGGAGACUCUCUAUGAAGAUCUUGGUGCUACUUUGAAGCACAAGUGUGGUAAAAGGAUAGUAGCAUUGUCCCUUCUCUCUUUUUCUCUCAUUUUUUUAUUUGGGCCCUUUCUCUUUUUUAUGGCCUUUUUUAUCUAGUCCGGAGUCUCAUCCCGACUUGUGGGGGAAUCAUAGUCUCCAUCAUCCUUUCCUCACUUGGGACAAUGCUCUAAAAAUGAUGAUCAUCACACCUUUUUAUUUACUUACAACUCAACAAUUACAACACAAUACUUAGAACAAAAUAUGACUCUAUGUGAAUGCCUCCGGCGGUGUACCGGGAUAUGUAAUGAAUCAAGAGUGACAUGUAUGAAAGAAUUAUGAAUGGUGGCUUUGCCAUGACUACAAUGUCAACUACAUGAUCAUGCGAAGCAAUAUGACAAUGAUGGAGCAUGUCAUAGUAAACGGAACGGUGGUAAGUGUUGGGGAACGUAGCAUAAAUUCAAAAUUUUCCUACGUGUCACCAAGAUCUAUCUAUGGAGUCAUCUAGCAAUGAGGGAGGAGUGGAUCUACAUACCCUUGUAGAUCGCGUGCGGAAGCGUUCAAGAGAACGGGGUUGAUGGAGCCGUACUCGUCGUGAUCCAAAUCACCGAUGAUCCUAGCGCCGAACGGACGGCACCUCCGUGUUCAACACACGUACGGAGCAGCGACGUCUCCUCCUUCUUGAUCCAGCAAGGGGGAAGGAGAGGUUGAUGGAGAUCUAGCAGCACGACGGCGUGGUGGUGGAAGUAGCGGGAUUCCAACAGGGCUUCGCCAAGCGCUGCGGGAGGAGGGAGAUGUGUCAUGGGAGGGAGAGGGAGGCGCCAGGGCUUAGGUAUGGUUGCCCUCCCUUCCCCCCACUAUAUAUAGGGCCAAGGGAGAGGGGGAGGGCGCAGCCUUGCCCCUUCCUCCAAGGAAGGGUGCGGCCAAGGGGGGAGGAGUCCAUCCUCCCCAAGGCACCUCGGAGGUGCCUUCCCCCUUUAGGACUCUCCCCUCCUCUUGUCCCUUUGGCGCAUGGGCCUCUAGGGGCUGGUGCCCUUGGCCCAUGUAGGCCAAGGAGCACCCCCUACAGCCCAUGUGGCCCCCGGGGGCAGGUGGCCCCACCCGGUGGACCCCCGGGACCCUUCCGGUGGUCCCGGUACAAUACCGGUGACCCCGAAACUUGUCCCGAUGGCCGAAAUAGCACUUCCUAUAUAUAAUUCUUUACCUCCGGACCAUUACAGAACUCCUCGUGACGUCCGGGAUCUCAUCCGGGACUCCGAACAACUUUCGGGUUACCGCAUACUAAUAUCUCUAUAACCCUAGCAUCACCGAACCUUAAGUGUGUAGACCCUACGAGUUCGGGAGACAUGCAGACAUAACCAACAACGGGAUCUGGAUACCCAUGUUGGCUCCCACAUGUUCCACGAUGAUCUCAUCGGAUGAACCACGAUGUCAAGGACUUAAUCAAUCUCGUAUACAAUUCCCUUUGUCUAUCGGUACGAUACUUGCCCGAGAUUCGAUCGUCGGUAUCCCGAUACCUUGUUCAAUCUCGUUACCGGCAAGUCUCUUUACUCGUUCCGUAACACAUCAUCCCGUGAUCAACUCCUUGAUCACAUUGUGCACAUUAUGAUGAUGUCCUACCGAGUGGGCCCAGAGAUACCUCUCCGCCACACAGAGUGACAAAUCCCAGUCUUGAUUCGUGCCAACCCAACAGACACUUUUGGAGAUACCCGUAGUGCACCUUUAUAGUCACCCAGUUACGUUGUGACGUUUGGUGCACCCAAAGCACUCCCACGGUAUCCGGGAGUUGCACAAUCUCAUGGUCUAAGGAAAUGAUACUUGACAUUAGAAAAGCUUUAGCGAACGAACUACAUGAUCUUUGUGCUAGGCUUAGGAUUGGGUCUUUGUCCAUCACAUCAUUCUCCUAAUGAUGUGAUCCCGUUAUCAACGACAUCCAAUGUCCAUGGUCAGGAAACCGUAACCAUCUAUUGAUCAACGAGCUAGUCAACUAGAGGCUUACUAGGGACAUGGUGUUAUCUAUGUAUCCACACAUGUAUCUGAGUUUCCUAUCAAUACAAUUCUAGCAUGGAUAAUAAACGAUUAUCAUGAACAAGGAAAUAUAAUAAUAACUAAUUUAUUAUUGCCUCUAGGGCAUAUUUCCAACAGUCUUCCACUUGCACUAGAGUCAAUAAUCUAGUUCACAUCACCAUGUGAUUAACACUCAAGGUCACAUCCCCAUGUGACUAACACCCAAGAGUUUACUAGAGUCAAUAAUCUAGUUAACAUUACCAUGUGAUUAACACUCGAUGAGUUCUGGGUUUGAUAAUGUUAUGCUUGUGAGAGAUGUUAUAGUCAACGGGUCUGAAUCUUUCAGAUCCGUAUUGUCAGGCCCCCGACUCAAUGCCACAUCGAUCUAGCAUGUAACACCUCAUAUCACUUUGCGGCCUCACGCACGGUAUUCCCACGGGUGUCGCCUUACCUUUGCCCGGGACCGUUUGCGCCUUUUGGCACACGUAUAUGACAGUGUCGCUAGCACCCAUAUGAUAAGGAGCCCGGGCUGACAUGGCUAGUCGUAAACCCAAAGCGGCACAGACUUACAGGGACAGGCAUCCAUGACCCAGCAUCGAACGUGUCGGUCAUCAGCGAGUGAAUCCAGGCUGUAGCACUGGGCUAGCAGGACUCCGGUGAACCGGGCUGUAGCGGGCUAACAGGACUCCGGUAUUCACCGCGUGACAUUUCCCCGAAGGGACAGACACAGGAACGAAGAAGGACACAUGCCGGCCAGCCUAAGUGUUCCGGAGCAGUAGCAAGCUACCAUGGCUCAGUGGAAACACUAGGAGACAUUUCCCGGUAAGAGAGGCUACUAAAGAUAAACAACUAGAUGGUCAGAUCCCACACAUACCAAGCAUUUCAAUAACAUACACACAAUAUGCUCGAUAUGUGCAAUACAACAUGGCAUCACAAAAUGACUCUACGACUCAAGUAGUUUAUUCAAUAGGCUCCGAGGAGCGGGAUAUUACAAACAUGGGUCUCAUGACCCAACACUCAGAGCAUACAAGUAAAAGCACAAGCGGAAGCUAUCAUGUCUGAGUACAGACAACUAUAAAUGAAAAAGGCUGAGAAGCCUGACUAUCUAUCAGAUCCUGCCGAGGGCACAAGAUCGUAGCUGAGGUAUCAAGCUAAACGUCGAAGACCACGCGGAAAUACUAGUGAGACUGAAGUCUCUCUGCAAAACAUAAAAUAGGCAAACAUGAGUACAAAUGUACCCAGCAAGACUUACAUCAGAACUAUCUACAUAUGCAUCAUUAUCAACAAAGGGAUGGUGGGGUUUAACUGCAGCAAGCCAGCUUUGACUCAGUGGCUAACCUGAACUACGACUGCAAAUAACUUUUGAGGUGGCGCACACGAGUCCACAUAUUCACCAUAUCAAUACACCACUAUGGAUCCGCUCCCGUCUCCCUACGAGAACGCCAUCCAUAGCACUCACGCUUAUCUUGCGUAUUUUAGAGUAUCCACUUUCACUUGUCUAUGAACUGAUAUAAGCAACCCAGAAGUCCUUUUCCGCGGACACGGCUAUUCGAAUAGAUGAUGAUAACCCUGCAGGGGUGUACUUCUUCAUACAUGUUUCCACCACUUAGCGUCUGCACACGACAUGUGCUCGGCAGACUUCAAGCGAAAGCCGACGUGGGUGUAGACCACGACCUACCUAAACACUCAAGUCUCUAGUCUAGGUUUAUCGCCUAUUCGGGUUCCAUCCAUGAGGAGAUCCGGCCGGAGUUUCGCUCACAGCCCCAAACGAUGUGAACAGGGUUCCCGAGAUACCAAACGGGCAUCCGGUACACCGUGCCACGUACCUACCGCAUCACAGCCCACCCCUACGGUCAGCGCUGUCCACGGCCUCCAGUAAGCUACAAACACCAGAAACUACUUGCAACUCCUGGACAGAGAGCUAGGGUGAAUAAGAAGUCGAGCGGGGUCAUAUUUCAGGGCCCAAUGCAUGGUAGUAACUGAAUCAUGGAUCACAAACACAGAACUCAGUUCCUGAGGACGGCUGCAAUGAGACAACCCACCAUGCACUCCUACAUGGCCUCUCACCGCUACCUUUACCAAAUCGUGUUCACACACUUAGCUCACACACGGUAGGACAUGUUCACACGCCUCUGAUUCAUCCCCGAUGAAUCAGACCUGACUCAACUCUAAGCAGUAGCAGGCAUGACAAACAAGCAUGAAUGAGUAGGCACAACAGGGCUCAAACAACUCCUACUCAUGCUAGUGGGUUUCAUCUAUUUACUGUGGCAAUGACAGGUCAUGCAGAGGAUAAAGGGGUUCAACUACCGCAGCAUGUAACAGAUGAUUCGGUGUUGUCCUAAUGCAGUAAAAAGAGAGCAGGAGCGAGAGAGUGGGAUUUUAUCGGAAUGAACAAGGGGGUUUUGCUUGCCUGGCACUUCUGAAGAUAACAUUGGGUCUUCAUCAGUGUCAACGAUCACAUCAUCGGUAUCACGUCUAUCGAGAGGGGACAAAUACCGGCAACACAGAAAGGAACACAAUCAAUGCAAUGCACAAUAUGAUGCAUGCUCAUGACAUGGCAAUAUGAAUGUGUUUUGGGCUAAUGCAACUAGCAACAGAUUAAAUGAAGUUGGUUUGAAUAUAAAAUUCAAAUUCAAACUCCAUAUGUGGUUAUUUAAAUGUCAUUCACUUCAUUUGUCCUAAACAGUAGUGAUAAGUUGUUCUAACAUGCAUGAAAAUGGUACAGAUGGAUUCCUUGAAUUUUUCUGAUAAUUUUUCAUAUAUAAUUUAUUUCAUUUGGAGUUACGGUUAAUUUUCUCUGAUUUAUUGAAGUUUUAGCUAUUUUCUGAAAUUUCUGAAUAAUAAUAAAUCCAGAAAUGAAUUACUGCGUCAGCAUGACUUCACAGUGACGUCAGCAAGUCAACGGCGUUGUCCAGGUCAAAUCUGACCUAUGGGACCCACAUGUCAGCUGCACAGUGAUUUAACAGAGUUUAAUUAACUUAACUAAAUGGUUAGCCGGGUUAAUUAAAGGGUAGGGCCCACCUGUCAGUGAGUCAGUGGGUUAGCUAAAUUUUAAUUAGCAUCUAAACUAAAUUAGCAGGGCCCCGGGCCCACAUGUAAAUGACCCAGGGGGGGUCAAACCCCUGGUCAACAGGGCCUAACACGCCGGCGGUUCGUCGCCGGUGGCAACAGGCGCGGCGGAGGGCUCGGGUUCGCUCCUCCGGCGUCCAAAUGGACGGAGGAGAGCGGCUACGGGGAGCUGGAGCUCACCCGCGCCCGUUUCAGCAAGCAGCAGCAGCUAGGGCGGGCGGAGACGACGGCCCCGAGCUUGGCAGCGGCGGCCGGAGCUCGGGCGUGCUCGGGUUCGGCGUUACACGGCACGGCGAGGUCAGCUGAGGGUCUCUACGGAUUACUGGGGUCGUCAGGAGCACUCGAAGGCAACGAGCGCAGGUGGAGGACCCCGGGAGCACGAAGCUCACCGGCCAUGGCGGACGGCGGCUUCGGGUGCUUGUGGGGCGGCGGCUACAGGGUGCGCGAGAGAGAGAGAGGUGAGGGGAAACGACGGCAAGCUCACAGGGAUGCAGCAGGGUGGCUCAGUGGGCUCGGAGACGCACCGGAGCCGACGAAUUUGACGAAGAUGGCCGGCGGGUCCGAGGUAGAAGACGACGGCGAUGGCGGCGAUGCAGGGCUUCUGGAGGGCUGUGGAACGGUGGGGAGGAAGAGGGGGUCGAGGCGGAGCUCCUGGGUGCAUCGGCGAGGCUAGGGGUGGCCGGUGGCCAUGGGUACGGCGACGAUGACGGCGAGCUCCGCUCGGUGGUGUGCGCGGGAGGAAGCAGAGGAGGGAACGGAGUCCAGGGGAAGAGAGGGGAGGUGCAGGGGGCGAGGGGGAGUGCGUGGCGCCCUCGGGUGCCUCCAGCGGCGAGCGGGUAAGCAGGAGGUGGCCGGAGCGUGCGCGCGCGCGUCGGGCACACGCCCUCCUGCCUACUGGCAGGAGGUUGAAGACGGUGGCGACCGGGGUGGGCUGGGCCGCACAGUGCUGGACCAGCACAGGAGCUGGGCCGGCUCUGGUGGGCUGCACGGGUGAGGCCAGGUAAGUACUGUCCCUUUUAAUUUUUCUGUUCUGUUUUCCUUUUUAUUUUAUAUCUUUUGCCACUGUUUUCAAUUCCAAAAUAAUUUCAUACAGUGCCAAAACAUUCUGAAAUAUUUUAUGUUACCUCUCUGGACUAUUCCAAAAGUACAUAAAACAUUUCAAAGCAUUUGAAAAUAUAUUCAUUAUAUAUUAUGAAUAUAUCCCCAAAUUCAAAUAGAUUAUUGAUUUAAAUUCAGAGACCAAAUAAUUCCUUAAAAAUAUUCCAGAAUUUUGGUUUGAUAUAUAACUCUUGCCAAAAUUCACAAAACUAUUUUUAGGGCAUUUUGGAUUCACAGAAUGCAAUUUAAAGGGUGCUUGCCCUUCUUUUAAUUAGGGUUUUGAGGCUUCUGAAUUCCUCAGUUCAAAUUUCAUUUGAAUUUAAACAUGAUGCAGCAACCAAGCUAGUCCAUGGCCAGGGUAAGCUAGGGAUGUGACAACUCACCCCCACUAAACAAGAAUCUCGUCUCGAGAUUCAAGCGUAGGGUAAGGUGAAGGGGAAACACAAACUAGUACAAUCUUCACGAUCCAGGGUGCACUUCAUAGGAAUGUUGAUUCGAUCACCAUCAUUGUCUUGAAGUCUUGCUCUGAGAAAUCCUGUCAACAUGACAUGGAGGGAAGAAGGAGACUCUAGAAGGGUCGAUCUUCUCGAAGAUCGAACAACUCAGGAUUAACUCCCGGAAUGAGACAUAGAACCAUCUCUCGGGUUGAGACACGAGAUACACAUCAAGAGGGGUGGAAGAAACGGAUGACGAAGGUUCACUAGGUGGACAAUAAUUCCACACCUAAGAAGGUGGUAAACGAUUGUCAACGUAGCGAGGAGUUAAGUUGACAUGACACCAUAAUGAUACACCUUAGAGGAGGUGACUCGAAGAUAUAACCUCUUAAGUGGCAAAAAGAAUUACUUUUGAUUCAGAGAUCAUUGAAACUCUUUAAACCAGCCUAAGGCAAUUCUCGAGCGAUCAUUUGAAGGGGGUCAGUAGAAUGGCAUACUCGGACUUGGAUGAUGUGGAUUACCUUGUUGAAGACAACGCAAUGGAUGAAUUUACUUAUCACCGGAAAUGGAAGGGACAUUGGUGGUGCAAGCUGGGAACAAAAUGCAAAUGCUGGGAACGAUUCUGGUAACUGGGGAAGAACCCAACAAUAGAGAGUGAAUUCACUGUUGGAGUGGUUAUAGCAUAACCGAGGGAACUGAGAGCAAACCCAGCUAGAGCCGAUGAUAACACGUAGUGCUUGUGCGUGCUCUCAAGAACUUGAGCAUUUCCAUAUUCAUCAAGGUUUUACCAACAUCCGUGUCAAGGGUCCGGUAACACAACUUACUACCAUGAUGAAUGGUGAUGGAGGAUGCAGAUGCAAAGGAAGAUAACACCUUCUCAGAUUACACCUUAGCGAGGCCAAGGAACAAAAUCUGGAUGAUCGACCGAGAGACAUUUAGCACUCCGCUUCUAAUGUUCUCCUUGAUGUGCUAGUGUAUCCCAUUCAUAGAUACGGUUUGAUAACUAGAACAUCAAGUAAAGGUCGGACUUCGGGAACACAACAAAUCAUAAGGCACAACUAGAGAGUAAAUCCUACGAAGUCCUUAUGGGAAGGUGGCCAACUUCAUCAAUCAAGAUAUUAUAAUAACAGGUCUUCCGGCUGGGUGUGUUGGCCAUGACAUCCACUUUAUCGGUUAUCGCGAGACCAAUAUUAUAGUUCUUGGGAAAUGUUCCAAACCAUCAUAUCUGCCUGAGAUUCAGAUCUGGUUGGUGUCAGGAUAUUCCAGACUCAUCGAGUCUAGGAAGAAAAAUGAAAGUUUGCAACACAAAUCGACGAGAUGACGUUGCGAGAUUCUCGGAAGAUGAACUACGAUAGCAAGCUCCAAAACAUGAGCUGGUUCUGCUACAAACAUGUGAACACGUUGUCCAAGACAAGCAUGACCACAAAGUAGUCUUAUAAUAAAACACUACCGAGUUCAGGUUGGGAACCAUCAGCGAGGAUAUCGAAGUUCUUUCAUAAGUCCGGAUUAGCUCUUAUGGAGGAACUCCUUCUCCUUGAACAAAUCAAUCAGUGGCUUGGUGUGCUAGGGAUACAUAUAGAUUGAAGGUUGCAAGUCUUCAAACCACAGCAUUCUUCGCACGUGUGCAUGACUGAUUUGGAAUGAUUCCAAAGAAAGCAACAUUGACUUUCUCGAAUCCACGGCGGCAACUUGCAUCAGAUGCACAUGAAUUAAAGGAAGUCACUACCUUCAUCCAAACAUAUGCUUCAUGAGCUAGCAUGAGCAAAUGCUUUCAAAAUUUUCCAACACUAGCUUAAUGUUCAGCAAAAUUAUGGAGAAGACAAGGAUGUUGUCAAUGGGCACAACAACAAUUCAUCUGGGUUUCCUUUUAAAAGGAAUUCCAUAGUUAAGUGAACAAGUGAUAGCAUUGGUCAGACCUAAAAGAUAUAAUGGUGUAUGCUCGAGGGAUCAACCACGAAAUAAGACAACAUUACGAGCAUCGUUGGUACUGAUUUGAUUUGACGAUAGCCCACACUCAAAUCAAAGGAUUGAUAAGACAAUAGGUCCAGCAACUGAUCACAAGGACCAAUCGAUGAAGAUAUCAUCUUUCUUCAACACACACUACACAAGAAUAUCCCUUUGGAACGAACUAAGUCAGACAAGCUUUUAUCUUCCAACUCUCCAAGUUGUUGUCUAGCUUAACCAACUAGCUCAGGGAUAUCUAACACCGAUUCUUGGAGAGAAGGUGGUUCACAAGAAACCAACUUGAUCACGAACUCAACAUAGCGGUCAGGUGACAACCCGGUAACACCUCCAAGAAGAUAUUUGGAAAGUCACGAACCACCGGUAUGUUACUAAGCUCGAGAACAAUCUUGCUUUUGAGGGCAAGACGAUAUGAUCAAAUGAGUGAGGACUUGACAAGAUCCUAACUCAUCAAUCGAAGGGUGCACCGGAAUAAGGACUAGGUAGCACGAUCAGUCUUAGAAGGAUGAUUCGAAAACCAACAUAAUAAGAAUGAAAUUAUUAUCCUUUAACUACCAAGCAACAGAGUUGCUAGCAGUAUUGAUUUCACACAUCACAAUUCAUUUGUCGGUAUUCCGGUUGCAUCAACACGAGGGCCGAGGAAUGACUAAUGAUGGUGAGAGGUAUCACUGUACCAAGAGUUCAUAGGAUGGUGUGCAAUUCCUAUAACAAUCUCGAUAUAGAAUAAGGUAAUACUCCAAGGUAGAACAGAACCAAAAGCUGGAUUAGCAAUUUGAUCUGCGGAGCACAACUUCUUUGACCCAAUCCUGGAUAUGGAAGAGGUACUGGAGUUUGUUUCUCCAAGUCAUUCAGGACAGAAUGGCUUGACGGACCACAAGAGUAAUAGACAUCGAUGAACGAAUGCAUGCAUACUCUUGACUAUCAAUUGAUAGACGAGGGUCAGAAUGCAACUAAAGAGAACAACUCAAAGGAACAUAUAAUUUUCUGAGUUGUGGAUGCAUAGAUUAGUAUGUCGAACCAAGUUCAACAUAUUUCUUCCGGAUAACCCAUGCAGAAAGGUAGAACUGGCAGAGUCACGAUUUAUGAAUGGAGAACUCCUCAAGAGUACUCUAAUUGUGAUGAUUUUUUUUUGAUCCAAUAAACAUCUGCCAUAAGUAGUUCAUGGUAUUUGGAAGAAGAAGAUACCACGGACUUCAAGGACUAUCGCAAAGGUUACUAAUAUCCUAAAGGCACUAGCAAUUACUAUCAACAUGAAGUAGGUAGAGUGAAUCUCGGGUUCAGAGCCCAGGAGUAGAAUACCUACUACUAAGUAGCAUCACGGGAUGCUUCCGAGAAUAAAGGCCAGAAUCUUCACACUAGGACACAAAUCAUGGCUAGACCACUAGAUGAUCCCCUAAGCACUUAGGGUCAUAAUAAUAAUUCCAACAUAUAUGUCGAGGAAAUAAUUACCUCAACACACCGAUUAGUGUGGUUAAUCUGGCCCAUGGGAACAUCGGAAACAGAAGGAAGGGAUUUGCAAAUGCAUCGGACUAUUUAGAAACCUGGGAUGACUCGGAGAGCAUAACGGCUGUAAAUGCUCAGAAAAGAUUUGAGACAUUCACAAAAUGGUGGCAUAACCACUCAGAAGCACAAUAUCAAGGUUCCGAGAUCAACAAUUAACAUACGGAAGUAGUAGGAACUGAACUGAGACUUAAAUCCAACAAUCUUAUAAGUCUACUGAUAAGUAACACGUGAUCCUAAUAGAAAGAAGAGAUAGCCUAGUUCUUAAUCCCCGUAGAAGAGAAGAUGACUCAGAUCAGAAGGGCAUAAGGUAUAAGGAAUAAAAAGAGCCUUACGUUCCAUCCCACAAUCAAUUCCCUUAUAUAACUAAAGAAUUUCUAGACUCAACUUCGACCAGUUUGGCUUGGUAAUCCUACAGGCAGUCAAGCUCUGAUACCAACGCUGUCAGGCCCCCGACUCAAUGCCACAUCGAUCUAGCAUGUAACACCUCAUAUCACUUUGCGGCCUCACGCACGGUAUUCCCACGGGUGUCGCCUUACCUUUGCCCGGGACCGUUUGCGCCUUUUGGCACACGUAUAUGACAGUGUCGCUAGCACCCAUAUGAUAAGGAGCCCGGGCUGACAUGGCUAGUCGUAAACCCAAAGCGGCACAGACUUACAGGGACAGGCAUCCAUGACCCAGCAUCGAACGUGUCGGUCAUCAGCGAGUGAAUCCAGGCUGUAGCACUGGGCUAGCAGGACUCCGGUGAACCGGGCUGUAGCGGGCUAACAGGACUCCGGUAUUCACCGCGUGACAUUUCCCCGAAGGGACAGACACAGGAACGAAGAAGGACACAUGCCGGCCAGCCUAAGUGUUCCGGAGCAGUAGCAAGCUACCAUGGCUCAGUGGAAACACUAGGAGACAUUUCCCGGUAAGAGAGGCUACUAAAGAUAAACAACUAGAUGGUCAGAUCCCACACAUACCAAGCAUUUCAAUAACAUACACACAAUAUGCUCGAUAUGUGCAAUACAACAUGGCAUCACAAAAUGACUCUACGACUCAAGUAGUUUAUUCAAUAGGCUCCGAGGAGCGGGAUAUUACAAACAUGGGUCUCAUGACCCAACACUCAGAGCAUACAAGUAAAAGCACAAGCGGAAGCUAUCAUGUCUGAGUACAGACAACUAUAAAUGAAAAAGGCUGAGAAGCCUGACUAUCUAUCAGAUCCUGCCGAGGGCACAAGAUCGUAGCUGAGGUAUCAAGCUAAACGUCGAAGACCACGCGGAAAUACUAGUGAGACUGAAGUCUCUCUGCAAAACAUAAAAUAGGCAAACGUGAGUACAAAUGUACCCAGCAAGACUUACAUCAGAACUAUCUACAUAUGCAUCAUUAUCAACAAAGGGAUGGUGGGGUUUAACUGCAGCAAGCCAGCUUUGACUCAGUGGCUAACCUGAACUACGACUGCAAAUAACUUUUGAGGUGGCGCACACGAGUCCACAUAUUCACCAUAUCAAUACACCACUAUGGAUCCGCUCCCGUCUCCCUACGAGAACGCCAUCCAUAGCACUCACGCUUAUCUUGCGUAUUUUAGAGUAUCCACUUUCACUUGUCUAUGAACUGAUAUAAGCAACCCAGAAGUCCUUUUCCGCGGACACGGCUAUUCGAAUAGAUGAUGAUAACCCUGCAGGGGUGUACUUCUUCAUACAUGUUUCCACCACUUAGCGUCUGCACACGACAUGUGCUCGACAGACUUCAAGCGAAAGCCGACGUGGGUGUAGACCAUGACCUACCUAAACACUCAAGUCUCUAGUCCAGGUUUAUCGCCUAUUCGGGUUCCAUCCAUGAGGAGAUCCGGCCGGAGUUUCGCUCACAGCCCCAAACGAUGUGAACAGGGUUCCGUGACACCAAACGGGCGCCCGGUUUACCCGGCCACGUGCCUACCGCAUCACAGCCCACCCCUACGGUCAGCGCUGUCCACGGCCUCCAGCAUACUACAAACACCAGAAACUACUUGCAACUCCUGGACAGAGAGCUAGGGUGAAUAAGAAGUCGAGCGGGGUCAUAUUUCAGGGCCCAAUGUAUGGUAGUAACUGAAUCAUGGAUCACAAACACAGAACUCAGUUCCUGAGGACGGCUGCAAUGAGACAACCCACCAUGCACUCCUACAUGGCCUCUCACCGCUACCAUUACCAAAUCGUGUUCACACACUUAGCUCACACACGGUAGGACAUGUUCACACGCCUCUGAUUCAUCCCCGAUGAAUCAGACCUGACUCAACUCUAAGCAGUAGCAGGCAUGACAAACAAGCAUGAAUGAGUAGGCACAACAGGGCUCAAACAACUCCUACUCAUGCUAGUGGGUUUCAUCUAUUUACUGUGGCAAUGACAGGUCAUGCAGAGGAUAAAGGGGUUCAACUACCGCAGCAUGUAACAGAUGAUUCGGUGUUGUCCUAAUGCAGUAAAAAGAGAGCAGGAGCGAGAGAGUGGGAUUUUAUCGGAAUGAACAAGGGGGUUUUGCUUGCCUGGCACUUCUGAAGAUAACAUUGGGUCUUCAUCAGUGUCAACGAUCACAUCAUCGGUAUCACGUCUAUCGAGAGGGGACAAAUACCGGCAACACAGAAAGGAACACAAUCAAUGCAAUGCACAAUAUGAUGCAUGCUCAUGACAUGGCAAUAUGAAUGUGUUUUGGGCUAAUGCAACUAGCAACAGAUUAAAUGAAGUUGGUUUGAAUAUAAAAUUCAAAUUCAAACUCCAUAUGUGGUUAUUUAAAUGUCAUUCACUUCAUUUGUCCUAAACAGUAGUGAUAAGUUGUUCUAACAUGCAUGAAAAUGGUACAGAUGGAUUCCUUGAAUUUUUCUGAUAAUUUUUCAUAUAUAAUUUAUUUCAUUUGGAGUUACGGUUAAUUUUCUCUGAUUUAUUGAAGUUUUAGCUAUUUUCUGAAAUUUCUGAAUAAUAAUAAAUCCAGAAAUGAAUUACUGCGUCAGCAUGACUUCACAGUGACGUCAGCAAGUCAACGGCGUUGUCCAGGUCAAAUCUGACCUAUGGGACCCACAUGUCAGCUGCACAGUGAUUUAACAGAGUUUAAUUAACUUAACUAAAUGGUUAGCCGGGUUAAUUAAAGGGUAGGGCCCACCUGUCAGUGAGUCAGUGGGUUAGCUAAAUUUUACUUAGCAUCUAAACUAAAUUAGCAGGGCCCCGGGCCCACAUGUAAAUGACCCAGGGGGGGUCAAACCCCUGGUCAACAGGGCUUAACACGCCGGCGGUUCGUCGCCGGUGGCAACAGGCGCGGCGGAGGGCUCGGGUUCGCUCCUCCGGUGUCCAAAUGGACGGAGGAGAGCGGCUACGGGGAGCUGGAGCUCACCCGCGCCCGUUUCAGCAAGCAGCAGCAGCUAGGGCGGCCGGAGACGACGGCCCCGAGCUUGGCAGCGGCGGCCGGAGCUCGGGCGUGCUCGGGUUCGGCGUUACACGGCACGGCGAGGUCAGCUGAGGGUCUCUACGGAUUACUGGGGUCGUCAGGAGCACUCGAAGGCAACGAGCGCAGGUGGAGGACCCCGGGAGCACGAAGCUCACCGGCCAUGGCGGACGGCGGCUUCGGGUGCUUGUGGGGCGGCGGCUACAGGGUGCGCGAGAGAGAGAGAGGUGAGGGGAAACGACGACAAGCUCACAGGGAUGCAGCAGGGUGGCUCAGUGGGCUCGGAGACGCACCGGAGCCGACGAAUUUGACGAAGAUGGCCGGCGGGUCCGAGGUAGAAGACGACGGUGAUGGCGGCGAUGCAGGGCUUCCGGAGGGCUGUGGAACGGUGGGGAGGAAGAGGGGGUCGAGGCGGAGCUCCUGGGUGCAUCGGCGAGGCUAGGGGUGGCCGGUGGCCAUGGGUACGGCGACGAUGACGGCGAGCUCCGCUCGGUGGUGUGCGCGGGAGGAAGCAGAGGAGGGAACGGAGUCCAGGGGAAGAGAGGGGAGGUGCAGGGGGCGAGGGGGAGUGCGUGGCGCCCUCGGGUGCCUCCAGCGGCGAGCGGGUAAGCAGGAGGUGGCCGGAGCGUGCGCGCGCGCGUCGGGCACACGCCCUCCUGCCUACUGGCAGGAGGUUGAAGACGGUGGCGACCGGGGUGGGCUGGGCCGCACAGUGCUGGACCAGCACAGGAGCUGGGCCGGCUCUGGUGGGCUGCACGGGUGAGGCCAGGUAAGUACUGUCCCUUUUAAUUUUUCUGUUCUGUUUUCCUUUUUAUUUUAUAUCUUUUGCCACUGUUUUCAAUUCCAAAAUAAUUUCAUACGGUGCCAAAACAUUCUGAAAUAUUUUAUGUUACCUCUCUGGACUAUUCCAAAAGUACAUAAAACAUUUCAAAGCAUUUGAAAAUAUAUUCAUUAUAUAUUAUGAAUAUAUCCCCAAAUUCAAAUAGAUUAUUGAUUUAAAUUCAGAGACCAAAUAAUUCCUUAAAAAUAUUCCAGAAUUUUGGUUUGAUAUAUAACUCUUGCCAAAAUUCACAAAACUAUUUUUAGGGCAUUUUGGAUUCACAGAAUGCAAUUUAAAGGGUGCUUGCCCUUCUUUUAAUUAGGGUUUUGAGGCUUCUGAAUUCCUCAGUUCAAAUUUCAUUUGAAUUUAAACAUGAUGCAGCAACCAAGCUAGUCCAUGGCCAGGGUAAGCUAGGGAUGUGACACGUAUGUACUUCGCAAAUUUCUAUGUCAUCUUGUAGAUGCAACUACUACGCUACAUUUGGAGCUAUUCCAAAUAACUAUUCUACUAUACGAAUCCAGUUUUACUACUCAGAAUAAUCUGGAUUAGUGUCAAAGUUUGCAUCGGCGUAACCCUUUACGACGAACUCUUUUACCACCUCCAUAAUCGAGAAAAUUCCUUAGUCCACUAGUUACUAAGGAUAACGUUGACCGCUGUCCUGUGAUCCAUUCUUGGACCAUUCUUGUACCCCUUGACUGACUCAUGGCAAGGCACACUUCAGGUGCGGCACACAACAUAGCAUACCGUAUAGAGCCUAUGACAAAAGCAUAGGGGACGACCUUCGUCCUUCCUCUUUCUUCUGCCGUGGUCGAGCUUUAAGUCUUAACUUCAUACCUUACAACUCAGGCAAGAACUCCUUCUUUGACUAAUCCAUCUUGAACACCUUCAAGAUCAUGUCAAGGUAUGUGCUCAUUUGAAAGUACCAUUAAGCGUUUUGAUCUAUCCUUAUAGAUCUUGAUGCUCAAUGUUCAAGUAGCUUAAUCCAGGCUUUCCAUUGAAAAACACUUUCCAAAUAACCCUAUAUGCUUUCCAGAAAUUCUACGUCAUUUCCGAUCAACAAUAUGUCAACAACAUAUAUUCAUCAGAAAUUCUAUAGUGCUCCCACUCACUUCUUUGGAAAUACAAGUUUCUCAUAAACUUUGUAUAAACCCAAAAUCUUUGAUCAUCUCAUCAAAGCAUACAUUCCAACUCUGAGAUGCUUACUCCAGUCCUCAGAAGGAUUGCUGGAGCUUUGCAUACUUAUUAGCAUCUUUCAGGAUUGACAAAACCUUCCGGUUGUAUCACAUACAACCUUUCCUCAAGAAAAUCGUCGAGGAAACAAUGUUUUCUGACAUCCUAUCUGCAAGAUUUCAUAAAUAAUGCAGUAAUCGCUAAUAUAACUCCAACAGACUCUUAGCAUCGCUACGAGUGAGAAAGUCUCAUCGUAGUCAACUCCUUGAACUUGUCGGAAAACCUCUUAACGACAAGUCGAGCUUUCUUAAUGGUGACAUUUACCAUCAUUGUCCGUCUUCCUUUUAAAAUCCAUCUGUACUCAACAGCCUCACGACCAUCGAGCUGUUCUGUCAAAGUCUACACUUUGUUUCCAUACAUGGAUCCUCUCUUGGAUUUUAUGGCCUCGAGCCAUUUAUCAGAAUCCGAGCCCACCAUCGCUUCUCCAUAGCUCGUAGGUUCAUUGUUGUCUAGCAACAUGACUUCCAAGACAGGAUUACUUACCACUCUGAAGUAGUAUGCAUCCUUGUCAUCCCACGAGGUUUGGUAGUGACUUGAUCUGAAGUUUCAUGAUCACUAUCAUAAGCUUCCACUUCAAUUGGUGUAGGUGCCACAGGAACAACUCCCUGUGCCCUGCCACACACUAGUUGAAGAAACGGUUCAAUAACCUCAUCAAGUCUCCACCAUCCUCCCACUCAAUUCUUUCGAGAGAAACUUUUCCUCGAGAAAAGACCCGAUUCUAGAAACAAUCCCUUAUUGCUUUCGGAUCUAAGACAGGAGGUAUACCCAACUGUUUUUGCGUGUCCUAUGAAGAUGCAUUUAUCCGCUUUGGGUUCGAGCUUAUCAGCCUGAAACUUUUUCGCAUAAGCGUCGCAGCCCCAAACUUUUAAGAAAUGACAGCUUAGGUUUCUCUAAACCAUAGUUCAUAUGGUGUCAUCUCAUCGGAAUUACGUGGUGCCCUAUUUAAAGUGAAUGUGGUUGUCUUUAAUGCCUAACCCAUAAACUAUCGUGGUAAUUCGAUAAGAGACAUCAUGGUAUGCAUCAUAUCCAAUAGGGUGCAGUUAUGAUGUUCGGACACACCAUCACACUAUGGUGUUCCAGGCUGCAUUAGUUGUGAAACAAUUUCCACAAUGUCUUAAUUCUGUGCCAAACUCAUAAUUCAGAUAUUCAUCUCUAUGAUCAUAUCUUAGAUAUUUUAUCCUCUUGUCACGACGAUCUUUCAACUUCACCCUGAAAUUACUUGAACCUUUCAAUAAUUCAAACUCGUGAUUCAUCAAGUAAAUGUACUCAACAUCUACUCAAACCAUCUGUGAAGUAAGAACAUAACGAUGUCCACUACACGCCUCAGCACUCAUUGGACUGCACACAUCAAAAUGUAUUACUUCCAACAAGUUGCUUUCUAGUUUCAUUUUACUGAAAACAAGGCUUUCAGUCAUCUUGCCCAUGUGGUAUGAUUUGCAUGUCUCAAGUGAUUCAAAAUCAAGUGAGUCCAAACGGUCCAUUUGCAUGGAGUUUCUUCAUGCAUAUACACCAAUAGACAUGGUUCGCAUGUCUCAAUCCUUUCAAAAAUGAGUGAGUCCAAAGAUCCAUCAACAUGGAGCUUCUUCAUGCGUUUUAUACCGAUAUGACUUACGUGGCAGUGCCACAAGUAGGUGGUACUAUCUUAUAUCUUUUGGCAUGAACAUGUGUAUCACUACGAUCGAGAUUCAAUAAACCAUUCAUUUAAGGUGUAAGACCAUUGAAGGUAUUAUUCAAAUAAACAGAGUAACCAUUAUUCUCCUUAAAUGAAUAACCGUAUCGCGAUAGACAUAAUCCAAUCAUGUCUAUGCUCAACGCAAACACCAAAUAACAAUUACUUAGGUUUUAAUACCAAUCUCGAUGGUAGAGGGAGCGUGCGAUGCUUGAUCAUAUCAACCUUGGAAAUACUUCCAACACAUAUCGUCAUCUCACCUUUAGAUAGUCUCUGUUUAUUCCGUAGCUUUUAUUUCGAGUUACUAACACUUAGCAACCGAACCAGUAUCUAAUACCAUGGUGCUACUAGGAGUACUAGUAAAGUACACAUUAACACAAUGUAUAUCCAAUAUACUUCUAUCAACCUUGCCAGCCUUCUCAUCUACCAAGUAUCUAGGGUAAUUCUGCUCCAGUGGCUGUUCCCCUUAUUACAGAAGCACUCAGUCUCGGGUUUGGGUUCAACCUUGGGUUUCUUCACUAGAGCAGCAACUGAUUUGCCGUUUCAUGAAGCAUCCCUUUUUCCCUUGCCCUCCUUGAAACUAGUGGUUUCACAAACCAUCAACAAUUGAUGCUCCUUUUUGAUUUCUACUUUUGUGGUGUCAAACAUCGCGAAUAUCUCAAGGAUCAUCAUAUGUGUCCCUGAUAUAUUAUAGUUCAUCACGAAGCUCUAAUAGCUUGGUGGCAGUGACUAUGGAGAACCAUCACUGUCUCAUCUGGAAGAUCAACUCCCACUCGAUUCAAAUGAUUGUUGUACUCAGACAAUCUGAGCACAAGCUCAACAAUUGAGCUUUUCUCCCUUAGUUUGCAGGCUAAGAAAAUCGUCGGAGGUCUUAUACCUCUUGACGUGUGUCACACCCUAGCUAGUCAUGCAUCAGAGUGUGUGCAUCAUGUUUAAAAUUCCAUUUAAGUUGAAAUGGGGAUUUGUGAAACCCUCAGAAUCAUUUUUGAAAAUGACCCAAAUAAAAAUUUCUCCAAAAGGGUCCAAGAAAAUGCUCAUGUUGCUCUCUGAAAAUAUUGGACAGAGAUAAAAAUCAAACCAAUAUUUUUAAGAGCUCACAGGUAUUUAUUUUGGGCAUUUGGAAUUAAUGCAUAAUUAUUUGCAUUGGAAAUAUAUUAUUAUAUAUAUUAAUAUAUGUCCAAAUAUUAUGCCAUUUAUAAAGGAGCUCUGGAAUAAUAUAUAUAGCUCCUGCAAAAAUUGGCAUAAGUUAAAUAAAUGAUUUAAUAUAUUUUUUUAAAUCAAAACAAAUGUCAGAAAUUAGAAAACAGAAAGUAAUUAACAGGAGGAGCUUACCUGGGCUCCUCCACUGUGCGGCCCAGCCAGCUGGCUGGCCCAGCCAGCAGCCGGCCCAGCCCACCUCCCUCCUCUGUCGUCUUCGUCCCGACAGAGGGAGGGGAGUGUGGCCGGCGCGCGCGCGCGCCACCGCGCCACGCCACCUCUCUCCCUGCCUGCCUGCCCUCCCUCUCCUCGCCUCGAUGCCCUGGACGACGCCACGCCUCUCCCCCUGCUCUCUCUCACUCUCCCCCGGCUCUCCCUUCCUCUCCCUCGCUCUCUCUCUCACACGGCCGAACACCACCGUCGCCGCCGUUCGCCACAGCAGCCGUCUCCGGCCACCCCUCGCUCCCCCGACUAGCUCAGAAGCUCCGCCACGACCCCCUCUUCCUCCCCACCGCUCCACGGUCCUCCGGAAGCCCUGCAUCGCCGCCACGUCGCCGUUCCCCUCAUCGGGCUCCGACCAUCGUCGCUGUCGAAUUCGUCGUCUCCAGCGCGUCCCCGAGCCCGCUAACCAUCCCUGCAGCUCCGUGGUGAGCCCCCGGAUCGUUUCCCCCUUCUCCCCUGGUCUCUCCCGACCUCUAGGCCCUAGCCCCACCUUGGCCGAGAGCUCCACGCCGCCGGCGAUGUCGCCGUCGUGGCCACGGUCACCGUAGCACCCAACUGAGCGCACUAUCAUGCUCCCCACCUCACCAGGAGCACGCAGCACGCACUAACGCCUCCCCAAACCCCCUGCAACGUCGAUCCCGACCGCACCCGAACUCCGGCAGCCGCAGCCGAGCUCGCCGCCGUCGACUCCGGCCACCCCAGGGCCAGCCACGGCCACCGUUCGACGCGCGAGAGCAAGAGCUAUCCAACGAGCCCAAGCACGACCUCGCCCGUGCCCUGUAGCGUGAUCCCGCACCGCGCCGCCGUCUCGGGCCUCGCCGGCGUCACGUCGCCGGUGGGUUUGACCCACUUUGACCACUGUUAGUUGACCCCCUGACGCUGACUAGUGGGCCCCAGCGCCACUAAUUAGUAAUUAGGAUUAAAUUAACCCUAUUUAACCCCCCUGUCACUGACGUGUGGGCCCCACACGUCAGGUUUGACUUCAGCCAGCCGCAGUUGACCACUGACGUCACACUGACGUCAGGCUGACGCAGUAAUUGAAUUUCUGGAUUUAAUUUAAAUCAGGAAAUUCCAGAAUAUUAUUUAAACUUCAAAAAUUCAUAACUUUUAUUCUGUAACUCCAAAUUGGACAAAUUAUAUAUGAAAAAUGAUCAGAAAAAUCCAAUCUAUCCAUCUGUACUAUUUUCAUGCAUGAUCAAACAAGUUAAAUUGAUGUUUCAAGCAGAACAAGGAAAAGCACUUAAAGAGACCAUGUUUGAGUUUGAAAUUUGAAUCUAUGAUUCAAAUUUGUUCAAACCCUUCUGGUUUUAGUUGCAUUAGCCCAACACACUCAUAUUGCCAUGUUUCAUGCAUGCAUCAUAUUGUUGCACAUUGUUUGGUGAUGCUUGUGUAUCGAUGUCCUUUGCGACAGGUUCUGCCUCCGAGGAGUACCGUGAUUACCCUAACGAAGAACCAUAUCAGUGCAUCGAACCAUCAGGCAAGCAACCAACCAUUUGAUCAUAUCGAUACAAUCCCAUGUUCUCGCUCCUGCUCUCUUUUACUGCAUUAAGACAACGCGAUUCAAACUGCUGUGUGCUACGGUAGUUGAACCCAUUUCCUCUGCAUGACCUGUCAUUGCCACAGUAACUAGAUGAAACCCACUAGCAUGUGUAGGAGUUGAUUGAGCCCUAUGUAUGUGUUGUUCCUACCUUGCUAUGCCUGCUAUGCUUAGAGUCGUGUCAGGUCUGGUUCAUCUGGGUGAUGGGCUAGAGUGAAAUGAUUAUGUCGGUAAUGAGAAUGGCGUGGUGAACACGAUUUGGUAAAGGUAUCGAUGAGAGGCCAUGUAGGAGUACAUGGUGGGUUGUUUCAUUGAAGCCGACCUUAAGCACUGAGAUCUGUAUAUGUGAUUUAAGAUACAGCUACUACCAUGCAUUGGGCCCUGAAAUAUGACCCCGCUCGACUUCUUAUUCACCCUAGCUCUCUGUCCAGGAGUUGCAAGUAGUUUCUGGUGUUUGUAGCCUACUGGAGGCCGUGGACAGCGCUGACCGUAGGGGUGGGCUGUGAUGCGGUAGGUACGUGGCACGGUGUACCGAAUACCCGUUAGGUAUCUCGGGAACCCUGUUCACAUCGUUCGGGGCCGUAUGGGAAACCUCGGCCGGACUCCCUGCGGAUGGAACCUGAAUAGGCGAUAAACCUGGACUAGAGGCUUAAGUGUUUAGGUAGGUCGUGGUCUACACCCACGUCGGCUUUCGCUUGAAGUCUGCCGAGCACAUAUCGUGUGCAGACGCUAAGUGGUGGAAACAUGUAUGAAGAAGUACACCCCUGCAGGGUUAACAUGAUCUAUUCGAAUAGCCGCGUCCGCGGUAAAGGACUACUUGGUUGCCUAUACAGUUCAUAGACAAGUAAAUGGAAACUACUAAAAGCCUCAGGAUAAGUGUGAGUGCCGAGGAUGGAUCUUCCGUAGGAAGACGGAGGUGGAUCCUCGGUAGUGUAUUGAAGUGGUGAGUAGUAGACUCGUGUGCGCAAAACCAUUUCAAGUUGGAGUAUCGUAGGAUAGUCUAGCCAAGAGUCAAAGCUGGCUUGCUGCAAUAACUCCACCAACCCUUCUUGAUACUAUGCAUGUAUGUAGGAUCUGAUGUAAGUCUUGCUGAGUACCUUUGUACUCAUGUUGCCAUAAUCUACAUUUUUUACAGAAGACGCUGCAACCCCUUCUGAUGGGUUCUAUGUAGACGUUGACAUCAACGAGUAGGCUAAAGACCCAGGUGGUGACCCUGAGCUUGUGAAGGACCACGUAGUAUAGCUAGGCUUUCCAAGCCUCUUUUAUUUUACUAGUUGUCUGUACUCAGACAAGUUACUUCCGCUGCUGGUUUGUAUGACUGUAUGACUUGUAUGUUGGGUCGUGAGACCCGUACCUUGGUGUAUGUUAUGUAUGGCUCCCUGAGCCUAAAUAAAGUAUUUGUGUCAUAGAGUCAUGUUGUGAUGCUUCGUUGUAUUUGCACAUAUCGAGCAUAUUGUGUGUAUGAUUGAAAUUCUUGGUAUGUGUGGGAUCUGACUAUCUAGUUGUUUAUCUUUAGUAGCCUCUCUUACCGGGAAAUGUCUCCUAGUGUUACCGCUGAGCCAUGGUAGCUUGCUACUGCUCUGGAACACUUAGGCUGGCCGGCAUGUGUCCUUCUUCGUUCCUGUGUCUGUCCCUUCGGGGAAAUGUCACGCUUUGAGUACCGGAGUCCUGUUAGCCCGCUACAGCCCGGUUUACUGGAGUCCUGCUAGCCCAGUGCUACAGCCCGGACCCACUUGCUGAUGACCGACACGUUCGAAGCUGGGUCAUGGAUGCCUGUCCCUGUAAGUCUGCGCCACUUUGGGUUUACGACUAGUCAUGUCAGCCCGGGCUCUUUAUCAUAUGGAUGCUAGCGACACUUUCAUAUACGUGAGCCAAAAGGCGCAAACGGUCCCGGGCAAAGGUAAGGCGACACCCGUGGGAAUACCGUGCGUGAGGCCGCAAAGUGAUAUGAAGUGUUACCGGCUAGAUCGAUGUGACAUCGAGUCAGGGUCCUGACAGCGUAGUUGUCACAUCCCUAGCUUCUGGUAAUGCUCUAGGCUAGCUUCAUGUGUGCAUCAUGUUUAAAUUUCAUUUAAAUUUGAAAUGAGGAUUGGUGGAACCCUCAGAAUCAUGUUGAAAAUGACCCAAAUAAAAAAAUUCCCCAAAAGGGUCCAAGAAAAUGCUCAUGUUGCCCUCUGAAAAUAUUGGACAGAGAUAAAAAUCAAAACAAUAUUUUUAGGAGCUCAUGGACAUUUAAUUUGGCCAUUUGGAUUAAUUCGAUAAAUAUUUGCAUUGGAAAGAUAUUUCUAUAUAUAUGAAAUAUGGUCCAAAAAUUAUGCCAAUUAUAAAAGAGCUCUGGAAUAAUACCAUUAGCCCCUACAAAAAUUGGCAUAAUAAAAUUAAAUGAUUUAAUAUAUUUGUUAAAUCAAACAAAUGUCAGAAAAAUAGAAAACAGAGGUAAAAUAGGAAAAACAGAGAGAGGGAGGGAAACAUUACCUGCAGCCCACCUGGGCCACUUACCUGUAGCCGGCCCAGCUCCUCCCGCUGGCCCAGCCCACCUCCUCCCCUUUGUCUUCUUCCUCCCCUCGCACCGAAGCAGCUCGGUGGCGAGCGCCGAUGCCGCCUCGGCCACCUCCUGCCUCCCUGCUUGCCUCCGCUACUCCCUGGAGAUGCCACGCGGCUCCCUCAGGCCUCUCUCAACUCCCUCCCGUGCUCAUCCCCUUCUCCUGCUCUCCCUCUCGCUCCGCACCUCGGACCCGAACGGAGCCGUCGCCACCGACGCCGUUCGCCGCGGCCACCAUCCCCCUCUCGCCUCCCCGACGCCUCCCAGAGCUCCGCAGUGCCUCCCUCGACCUCCUCGACGUCUCACGCGACCAGAAGGGCCCCGAGCAGCCGCCAUCGUCAUCAUCCCCAAGCUUCGGCCCCGGCGCCGUUCUCCGUCGAAUUCGGCCACUCCGGCGCGCCCCCGAGCUCGCUGACCCUCCCUGCGCGAUCCCCGUGAGUCCCUGCUCCGUUUCCCCCUAACCCCAAGUUCGAUUUCGAGCUCUAGCCGCCCCCUCUACCGGAGCCGAGACGCUCCGCCGCACGGACUCGUCGCCGGCGAAGCCCCGGUGACCAAACGGCCCCGCGCGUGCGUCCGUUGCACUCGCAACGACCCGUGGAGCAACGCUAGCGUGGCAGCUAGCUUGUUUGCAAGCCACAACACUAACCCCGCACCCACCCGAGCUCCGGCCGCUGCCUCGGGCUCCACUCCGGCGGACUCCGUCCACCCCCGCACCUCCCGUUGGCCCCCCUAGGUGCGCACGGGCACGGGCUACCUUCUGGUGCCCUUCGCGCGUCCAGCCGUCGCCCGUAGCGCAACCCCGGUGAACUUCCGCCGCGUUCCGGGUCGCCGCCGGCCGAACUCCGGUGGCCAGUGACGUGGCUGGCUUAAUUAGCCACUAAUCACCGCUUUGUGACACUGACAGCAGGGCCCCACCUGCUAAUUAAUCAUAGAUUAGUUUCUGUUUAGUUUUUAACUAAUCCAGUGGCCCCACCCGUCAGCAUUGACUCUGCUGACGUGGCCUUUGACCCGGCCCCACCUGCCAUUGACACUAAACAGCCCUGGGUCACUGACCAGUGGACCCCACUGGUCAGGUUUGACCUGGAGGCGCCCUGUUGACCUGCUCACGUCAAGGUGAUGACAUGCUGACGCCAUAAUUCAUUUUCUGGAAUUAUUUUAAUUCUAAAUAAUCAGAAAAUUCCAGAAAAUAGCUAAAACUUCAAUAAAUCAUAGAAAAUUAACCGUAACUCCAAAUGAAAUAAAUUAUAUAUGAAAAAUUAUCAGAAAAAUUCAAGGAAUCCAUCUGUACCAUUUUCAUGCAUGUUAGAACAACUUAUAGCUGCUGUUUAGCACAAAUCAAUUAAAGGGCAUUUAAAUAAUCACAUAUGGAGUUUGAAUUUGAAUCUUGUAUUCAAACCAACUUCAUUUAACUUGUUGCUAGAUGCAUUAGCCCAAAACACAUUCAUUUUGCUAUGUCAUGAUCAUGCAUCAUAUUGUGCAUUGCAUUGAUUGUGUUUCCUUCUGUGUUGCCGGUAUUUGUCCCCUCUCGAUAGACGUGAUACCGAUGAUGUGAUCGUUGACACUGAUGAAGACUCAAUGUUAUCUUCAAAAGUGCCAGGCAAGCAAAACCCCCUUGUUCAUUCCGAUACAAUCCUACUCUCUCGCUCCUGCUCUCUUUUACUGCAUUAGGACAACACCGAUUCAUCUGUUACUUGCUGCGGUAGCUGAACCCCUUUAUCCUUUGCAUGACCUGUCAUUGCCACAGUAAAUAGAUGAAACCCACUAGCAUGAGUAGGAGUUGUUUGAGCCCUGAUGUGCCUACUCAUUCAUGUUUGUUUGUCAUGCCUGCUAUUGCUUAGAGUUGAGUCAGGUCUGAUUCAUCGGGGAUGAAUCAGAGGCGUGUGAACCUGUCCUACUGUGUGUGAGCUAAGUGUGUGAACACGAUUUGGUAAAGGUAGCGGUGAGAGGCCAUGUAGGAGUACAUGGUGGGUUGUCUCAUUGCAGCCGUCCUCAGGAACUGAGUCCUGUGUUUGUGAUCCAUGAUCAGUUACUACCACACAUUGGGCUCCGGGCGCUCCAAGCUCUCUCGACUUAUUAAUCAACUUGAUCUCUGUCCAGGAGUCGCAACUAGUUUCUGGUGUUUGUAGGUAGUGUUAGUAGUCUACCAAGUGGCACCCGGUACAGGUGGGCUUGGGACAGACUAGGCACCGUGGCACGGUGUACCAAGUGGCACCCGGUUGGUGGGCUUGGGAACCCUACACACAUCGUUUGGGGCCGUGAGCGACACCCCGGCCGGAUCUCCUUGCGGAUGGAACCCGAAUAGGCGAUAAACCUAGACUAGAGACUUGUUCGGUUAGUCAGGUCGUGGCCGACUCCCUCGCCCGGCUUCCGCUUGAAGGUUGCCGAGGUACAUGACGUGUACAGGGCGAUAAGUGGCGAAAGCGUGUGUGAAGAAGUACACCCCUGCAGGGUUAACAUCAUCUAUUCGAAUAGCCGGAUUCCUCGGAUAUGGAAACGUGGACCCCUUGUACAGUUCAUAGACAAGUGAAAGUGGAUACUCUAAAAUACGCAAGAUAAGCGUGAGUGCUAUGGAUGGCGUUCUCGUAGGGAGACGGGAGCGGAUCCAUAGUGGUGUAUUGAUAUGGUGAAUAUGUGGACUCGUGUGCGCCACCUCAAAGAGUUACUUGCAGUCGUAGUUCAGGAUAGCCACCGAGUCAAAGCUGGCUUGCUGCAGUUAAACUCCACCAUCCCCUUUGUUGAUAAUGAGGCAUAUGUAGAUAGAUCUGAUGUAAGUCUUGCUGGGUACAUUUGUAGUCACGUUUGCCCAUUUUAUGUUUUGCAGAGAGACUUCAGUCUCACUAGUAGUUCCGCGUGGACUUCGACGUUUAGCUUGAUACCUCAGCUACGAUCUUGUGCCCUCGGCAGGAUCUGAUAAAUAGUCAGGCUUCUCAGCCCUUUUCAUUUAUAGAUGUCUGUACUCAGACAUGAUAGCUUCCGCUUGUGCUUUGACUUGUAUGUUCUGAUUGUUGGGUCAUGAGACCCCUGUUUGUAAUAUCUCGCUCCUUGGAGCCUAUUGAUUAAAAUAUUUGAGUCGUAGAGUCAUGUUGUAUUGCCAUGUUGUAGUUGCACAUAUCGAGCAUAUUGUGUGUAUGUUAUUGAAAUGCUUGGUAUGUGUGGGAUUUGACAACCUAGUUGUUUAUCCUUGGUAGCCUCUCUUACCGGGAAAUGUCUCCUAGUGUUUCCACCGAGCCAUGGUAGCUUGCUACUGCUCCGGAACACUUAGGCUGGCCGGCAUGUGUCCUUCUUCGUUCCUGUGUCUGUCCCUUCGGGGAAAUGUCACGCGAUGAAUACCGGAGUCCUGUUAGCCCGCUACAGCCCGGUUUACCGGAGUCCUGCUAGCCCAGUGCUACAGCCUGGAUUCACUCGCUGAUGACCGACACGUUCGAUGCUGGGUCAUGGAUGCCUGUCCCUGUAAGUCUGUGCCACUUUGGGUUUACGACUAGCCAUGUCAGCCCGGGCUCCUUAUCAUAUGGAUGCUAGCGACGCUAUCAUAUACGUGUGCCAAAAGGCGCAAACGGUCCCGGGCAAAGGUAAGGCGACACCCGUGGGAAUACCGUGCGUGAGGCCGCAAAGUGAUAUGAGGUGUUACAUGCUAGAUCGAUGUGGUAUAGAGUGAAAUGAUUAUGUCGGUAAUGAGAGUGGUGUGGUGAACACGUUUUGGUAAAGGUAUCGAUGAGAGGCCAUGUAGGAGUACAUGGUGGGUUGUUUCAUUGAAGCCGACCUUAAGCACUGAGAUCUGUAUGUGUGAUUUAAGAAUCAGCUACUACCAUGCAUUGGGCCCGAAACCAAUGGACCCUCUCGGCUUCUUAUUCACCCUAGUUCUCCGUCCAGGAGUUGCAAGUAGUUUCUGGUGUUUGUAGCCUACUGGAGGCCGUGGACAGCGCUGACCGUAGGGGUGGGCUGUGAUGCGGUAGGUACGUGGCACGGUGUACCGAAUACCCGUUAGGUAUCUCGGGAACCCUGUUCACAUCGUUCGGGGCCGUAUGGGAAACCUCGGCCGGACUCCCUGCGGAUGGAACCUGAAUAGGCGAUAAACCUGGACUAGAGGCUUAAGUGUUUAGGUAGGUCGUGGUCUACACCCACGUUGGGCUUCCGCUUGAAGGUUGCCGAGUACAUGUCGUGUAAACGACGGUAAGUGGUGGAAACAUGUAUGAAGAAGUACACCCCUGCAGGGUUAACAUGAUCUAUUCGAAUAGCCGCGUCCGCGGUAAAGGACUACUUGGUUGCCUAUACAGUUCAUAGACAAGUAAAUGGAAACUACUAAAAGCCUCAGGAUAAGUGUGAGUGCCGAGGAUGGCUCUUCCGUAGGAAGACGGAGGUGGAUCCUCGGUAGUGUAUUGAAGUGGUGAGUAGUAGACUCGUGUGCGCAAAACCAUUUCAAGUUGGAGUAUCGUAGGAUAGUCUAGCCAAGAGUCAAAGCUGGCUUGCUGCAAUAACUCCACCAACCCUUCUUGAUACUAUGCAUGUAUGUAGGAUCUGAUGUAAGUCUUGCUGAGUACCUUUGUACUCAUGUUGCCAUAAUCUACAUUUUUUACAGAAGACGCUGCAACCCCUUCUGAUGGGUUCUAUGUAGACGUUGACAUCAACGAGUAGGCUAAAGACCCAGGUGGUGACCCUGAGCUUGUGAAGGACCACGUAGUAUAGCUAGGCUUUCCAAGCCUCUUUUAUUUUACUAGUUGUCUGUACUCAGACAAGUUACUUCCGCUGCUGGGUUGUAUGACUGUAUGACUUGUAUGUGGGGUCGUGAGACCCGUACCUUUGUGUAUGUUAUGUAUGGCUCCCUGAGCCUUAAAUAAAGUACUUGUGUCAUAGAGUCAUGUUGUGAUGCUUCGUUGUAUUUGCACAUAUCGAGCAUAUUGUGUGUAUGAUCGAAAUGCUUGGUAUGUGUGGGAUCUGACUAUCUAGUCGUUUAUCUUUGGUAGCCUCUCUUACCGGGAAAUGUCUCCUAGUGUUACCGCUGAGCCAUGGUAGCUUGCUACUGCUCUGGAACACUUAGGCUGGCCGGCAUGUGUCCUUCUUCGUUCCUGUGUCUGUCCCUUCGGGGAAAUGUCACGCUUUGAGUACCGGAGUCCUGUUAGCCCGCUACAGCCCGGUUUACCGGAGUCCUGUUAGCCCAGUGCUACAGCCCGGACCCACUUGCUGAUGACCGACACGUUCGAAGCUGGGUCAUGGAUGCCUGUCCCUGUAAGUCUGUGCCACUUUGGGUUUACGACUAGUCAUGUCAGCCCGGGCUCCUUAUCAUAUGGAUGCUAGCGACACUAUCAUAUACGUGAGCCAAAAGGCGCAAACGGUCCCGGGAAAAGGUAAGACGACACCCGUGGGGAUACCGUGCGUGAGGCCGCAAAGUGAUAUGAGGUGUUACCGGCUAGAUCGAUGUGACAUCGAGUCGGGGUCCUGACAACGUGGGCACGAGCCUGAAAUCCCAAUUUCAGCCCUCGAAACAUCUCAUAUGUUUCGCGACGUUUCAAAACGUCUUUGGUGCCUCAACUCUAAGCCGUUUAACUGAACUAUCACGUAGUUAUCAAAAUGUGUAUGUCAGAUGUUCGCAACAUCCAUAGACAAUGUUCGAGGUUCAGCACACUGAGCGGUGCAUUAAGGACAUAAGCCUUCUAUGAAGUAAUGAGGACAAACCUCAGUUUACAGACCUAGUCCGCAUAAUUACUACUAUAAACUUUCAACUAAAUUUUCUCUAGGAACAUAUCUAAACAGUAGAACUGAAGCGUGAGCUACGACAUAAUUUGCGAAGACCUUUUGACUAUGUUCAGGAUAAUUAAGUUCAUCUUAUGAACUCCCACUCAGAUAGACAUCCCUCCAGUCAUCUAAGUGAUUACAUGAUCCGAGUUAACUAGGCCGUGUCCGAUCAUCACGUGAGACGGACUAGUCAACAUCGGUGAACAUCUUCAUGUUGAUCGUAUCUACCAUACGACUCAUGCUCGACCUUUCGGUCUUCUGUGUUCCGAGGCCAUGUCUGUACACAUGCUAGGCUCGUCAAGUCAACCUAAGUGUUUCGCGUGUGUAAAUCUGUCUUACACCCGUUGUAUGUGAACGUUAGAAUCUAUCACACCCGAUCAUCACGUGGUGCUUCGAAACAACGAACUGCCGCAACGGUGCACAGUUAGGGGGAACACUUUCUUGAAAUUUUAAUGAGGGAUCAUCUUAUUUACUACCGUCGUUCUAAGCAAAUAAGAUGUAUAAACAUGAUAAACAUCACAUGCAAUCAAAUAGUGACAUGAUAUGGCCAAUAUCAUAUUGCUCCUUUUGAUCUCCAUCUUCGGGGCUCCAUGAUCAUCUUGUCACCGGCAUGACACCAUGAUCUCCAUCAUCAUGAUCUCCAUCAUCGUGUCUUCAUGAAGUUGUCUCGCCAACUAUUACUUCUACUACUAUGGCUAACAGUUAGCAAUAAAGUAAAGUAAUUACAUGACGUUUAUGUUGACACGCAGGUCAUAAAUAAAUUAAGACAACUCCUAUGGCUCCUGCCGGUUGUCAUACUCAUCGACAUGCAAGUCGUGAUUCCUAUUACAAGAACAUGAUCAAUCUCAUACACCACAUAUAUCAUUCAUCACAUCCUUUUGGCCAUAUCACAUCACAUAGCAUACCCUGCAAAAACAAGUUAGACGUCCUCUAAUUGUUGUUUGCAUGUUUUACGUGGCUACUAUGGGUUUCUAGCAAGAACGUUUCUUACCUACGCAAAGACCACAACGUGAUAUGCCAAUUGCUAUUUACCCUUCAUAAGGACCCUUUUCAUCGAAUCCGAUCCGACUAAAGUGGGAGAGACAGACACCCGCUAGCCACCUUAUGCAACUAGUGCAUGUCAGUCGGUGGAACCAGUCUCACGUAAGAGUACGUGUAAGGUCGGUCCGGGCCGCUUCAUCCCACAAUGCCGCCGAAUCAAGAUUGGACUAGUAACGGUAAGCAUAUUGAACAAAAUCAACACCCACAACUACUUUGUGUUCUACUCGUGCAUAGAAACUACGCAUAGACCUAGCUCAUGAUGCCACUGUUGGGGAACGUAGCAUAAAUUCAAAAUUUUCCUACGUGUCACCAAGAUCUAUCUAUGGAGUCAUCUAGCAACGAGGGAGGAGUGGAUCUACAUACCCUUGUAGAUCGCGUGCGGAAGCGUUCAAGAGAACGGGGUUGAUGGAGCCGUACUCGUCGUGAUCCAAAUCACCGAUGAUCCUAGCGCCGAACGGACGGCACCUCCGCGUUCAACACACGUACGGAGCAGCGACGUCUCCUCCUUCUUGAUCCAGCAAGGGGGAAGGAGAGGUUGAUGGAGAUCUAGCAGCACGACAGCGUGGUGGUGGAAGUAGCGGGAUUCCAACAGGGCUUCGCCAAGCGCUGCGGGAGGAGGGAGAUGUGUCAUGGGAGGGAGAGGGAGGCGCCAGGGCUUAGGUAUGGUUGCCCUCCCUUCCCCCCACUAUAUAUAGGGCCAAGGGAGAGGGGGAGGGCGCAGCCUUGCCCCUUCCUCCAAGGAAGGGUGCGGCCAAGGGGGGAGGAGUCCAUCCUCCCCAAGGCACCUCGGAGGUGCCUUCCCCCUUUAGGACUCUCCCCUCCUCUUGUCCCUUUGGCGCAUGGGCCUCUAGGGGCUGGUGCCCUUGGCCCAUGUAGGCCAAGGCGCACCCCCUACAGCCCAUGUGGCCCCCCAGGGCAGGUGGCCCCACCCGGUGGACCCCCGGGACCCUUCCGGUGGUCCCGGUACAAUACCGGUGACCCCGAAACUUGUCCCGAUGGCCGAAAUAGCACUUCCUAUAUAUUAUUCUUUACCUCCGGACCAUUCCGGAACUCCUCGUGACGUCCGGGAUCUCAACCGGGACUCCGAACAACUUUUGGGUUACCGCAUACUAAUAUCUCUAUAACCCUAGCGUCACCGAACCUUAAGUGUGUAGACCCUACGGGUUCGGGAGACAUGCAGACAUGACCGAGAUGACUCUCCGGUCAAUAACCAACAGCGGGAUCUGGAUACCCAUGUUGGCUCCCACAUGUUCCACGAUGAUCUCAUCGGAUGAACCACGAUGUCAAGGACUUAAUCAAUCCCGUAUACAAUUCCCUUUGUCUAUCGGUAUGAUACUUGCCCGAGAUUCGAUCGUCGGUAUCCUGAUACCUUGUUCAAUCUCGUUACCGGCAAGUCUCUUUACUCGUUCCGUAACACAUCAUCACGUGAUCAACUCCUUGAUCACAUUGUGCACAUUAUGAUGAUGUCCUACCGAGUGGGCCCAGAGAUACCUCUCCACCACACGGAGUGACAAAUCCCAGUCUCGAUUCGUGCCAACCCAACAGACACUUUUGGAGAUACCCGUAGUGCACCUUUAUAGUCACCCAGUUACGUUGUGACGUUUGGUACACCCAAAGCACUCCUACGGUAUCCGGGAGUUGCACAAUCUCAUGGUCUAAGGAAAUGAUACUUGACAUUAGAAAAGCUUUAGCGAACGAACUACAUGAUAUUUGUGCUAGGCUUAGGAUUGGGUCUUUGUCCAUCACAUCAUUCUCCUAAUGAUGUGAUCCCGUUAUCAACGACAUCCAAUGUCCAUGGUCAGUAAACCGUAACCAUCUAUUGAUCAACGAGCUAGUCAACUAGAGGCUUACUAGGGACAUGGUGUUGUCUAUGUAUCCACACAUGUAUUUGAGUUUCCUAUCAAUACAAUUCUAGCAUGGAUAAUAAACGAUUAUCAUGAACAAGGAAAUAUAAUAAUAACUAAUUUAUUAUUGCCUCUAGGGCAUAUUUCCAAUAGUAAGUUGCAUGGCAAUAUAUCUUGGAAUGUCUAUGGAAAUGCCAUGAUAGGUAGGUAUGGUGGCUGUUUUGAGGAAGGUAUAUGGUGGGUGUAUGAUACCGGCAAAAGGUGCGCGGUAUUAGAGAGGCUAGAAAUGGAGGAAGGGUGAUGUCUACUACACAACCUUCUUCUUGUAGACAUUGUUGGGCCUCCAAGUGCAAAGGUUUGUAGGAUAGUAGAAAAUUUCCCUCAAGUGGAUGACCUAAGGUUUAUCAAUCCGUAGGAGGCGUAGGAUGAAGAUGGUCUCUCUCAAGCAACCCUGCAACCAAAUAACAAAGAGUCUCUUGUGUCCCCAACACACCCAACACAAUGGUAAAUUGUAUAGGUCCACUAGUUCAGCGAAGAGAUGGUGAUACAAGUGCAAUAUGGAUGGUAGAUAAAGGUAUUUGUAAUCUCAAAAUAUAAAAACAGCAAGGUAACUAAUGAUAAAAGUGAGCAUAAACAGUAUUGCAAUGUGUAAGUUCCCUCAACAAUACUAACAUAAUUGGAUCACAUAACUAUCCCUCAACAUGCAACAAAGAGUCACUCCAAAGUCACUAAUAGCGGAGAACGAACGAAGAGAUUGUGGUAGGGUACGAAACCACCUCAAAGUUAUUCUUUCCAAUCAAUCCGUUGGGCUAUUCCUAUAAGUGUCACAAACAGCCCUAGAGUUCGUACUAGAAUAACACCUUAAGACACAAAUCAACCAAAACCCUAAUGUCACCUAGAUACUCCAAUGUCACCUCAAGUAUCCGUGGGUAUGAUUAUAUGAUAUGCAUCACACAAUCUCAGAUUCAUCUAUUUAACCAACACAUAGAACCUCAAAGAGUGCCCCAAAGUUCCUACCGGAGAAUCAGGACGAAAACAUGUGCCAACCCCUAUGCAUAGGUUCAUGGGAGGAACCCGCAAGUUGAUCACCAAAACAUACAUCAAGUGAAUCACGUGGUAUCCCAUUGUCACCACAGAUACGCAGGGCAAGACAUACAUCAAGUGUUCUCAAAUCUUUAAAGACUCAAUCCGAUAAGAUAACUUCAAAGGGGAAACUCAAUCCAUUACAAGAGAGUAGAGGGGGGAGAAAACAUCAUAGGAUCCAAAUAUAAUAGCAAAGCUCGUGAUACAUCAAGAUCGUAUCACCUCAAGAACACGAGAGAGAGAGAGAGAGAGAGAGAGAGAUCAAACACAUAGCUACUGGUACAUACCCUCAGCCCCAAGGGAGAACUACUCCCUCCUCGUCAUGGAGAGCACCGGGAUGAUGAAGAUAGCCACCGGAGAGGGAUUCUCCCUCCGGCAGGGUGCCGGAACGGGUCUAGAUUGGCUUUCAGUGGCUACGGAGGCUUCUGGCGGCGGAACUCCCGAUCUAUUUGUGCGCCUCGAUGUUUUUAGGGUAUAUGGAGAUAUAUAGGCGGAAGAAGUACGUCAGGGGGCCAUGAGGGGCCCACAAGGGUGGAGGGCGCGCCCAGGGGGGUGGGUGCCCCCCUACCUCGUGGCCUCCUUGAAGCUUCCCUUACGCGCACUUCAAGUCUUCUGGGCUUCUUUCCUUCCAAAAAUGGGUUCUGUGAAGUUUCAGGUCAAUUGGACUCCGUUUGGUUUUCCUUUUCUUCGAAACCCUAAAACAAGGUAAAAACAGAAACUGGCACUGGGUUAUGGGUUAAUAGGUUAGUCCCAAAAAUGAUAUAAAAGUGUAUAAUAAAGCCCAUAAACAUCCAAAACAGUAGAUAAUAUAGCAUGGAGCAAUCAAAAAUUAUAGAUACGUUGGAGACGUAUCAGCAUCCCCAAGCUUAAUUCCUGCUCAUCCUCGAGUAGGUAAAUGAUAAAAACAGAAUUUUUGAUGCGGAGUUCUACUUGGCAUAAUUUCAAUGUAAUUCUUAUUAAUUGUGGUAUGAAUAUUCAGAUCCGAAAGAUUCAAGAUAAAAGUUCAUAUUGACAUAAAAAUAAUAAUACUUCAAGCAUGCUAACUAAGCAAUUAUGUCCUCUCAAAAUAACAUGGCAAAGAAAGUUCAUCCCUACAAAAUCAUAUAGUUUAGUCAUGCUCCAUUUUCGUCACACAAGAAUGAUCUCAUCAUGCACAACCCCAAUGACAAGCCAAGCAAUUGUUUCAUACUUUAGUAAUCUCAAACCUAUAAACUUUCACGCAAUAUAUGAGUGCGAACCAUGGACGUAGCACUAUGGGUGGAAUAGGAUAUAAUGUGGGGGUUAUGUGGAGAAGACAAAAAGGAGAAAGUCUCACAUCAACGAGGCUAAUCAAUGAGCUAUGGAGAUGCCCAUCGAUUGAUGUUAAUGCAAGGAGUAGGGAUUGCCAUGCAACGGAUGCACUAGAGCUAUAAAUGUAUGAAAGCUCAACAAAAGAAACUAAGUGGGUGUGCAUCCAACUUGCUUUCUCACGAAGACCUAGGGCACUUGAGGAGGCCCAUUGUUGGAAUAUACAAGCCAAGUUCUAUAAUGAAAAAUCCCAACUAGUAUAUGAAAGUUACAAAACAAGAGACUCUCUAUCAUGAAGAUCAUGGUGCUACUUUGAAGCACAAGUGUGGCAAAGGAUAGUAGCAUUGUCCCUUCUCUCUUUUUCUCUCAUUCAUUUUUUGGGCCUUCUCUUUUUUAUGGCCUUUCUAUUUUUUGGGGGACUUCUCUUUUUUUAUGGCCUUUCUCUUUUUUCUUUUUUUUAUAUUCCUCACUUGGGACAAUGCUCUAGAAAAUGAUGAUCAUCACACUUCUUUUUAUUUACAACUCAAUGAUUACAACUCGAUACUAGAACAAAGAUGACUCUAUAUGAAUGCCUCCGGCGGUGUACCGGGAUAUGCAAUGAACCAAGAGUGACAUGUAUGAAAUAAUUAUGAACGGUGGCUUUGCCACAAAUACUAUGUCAACUACAUGAUCAUGCUAAGCAAUAUGACAAUGAUGAAUGUGUCAUGAUGAACGGAAUGGUGGAAAGUUGCAUGGCAAUAUAUCUCGGAAUGGCUAUGGAAAUGCCAUAAUAGGUAGGUAUGGUGGCUGUUUUGAGGAAGAUAUAAGGAGGUUUAUGUGUGAAAGAGCGUAUCAUAUCACGGGGUUUGGAUGCAUCAGCGAAGUUUGCGCCAACUCUCAAUGUGAGAAAGGGCAAUGCACGGUACCGAAGAGGCUAGCAAGGAUGGAAGGGUCAGAGUGCGUAUAAUCCAUGGACUCAACAUUAGUCAUAAAGAACUCACAUACUUAUUGCAAAAAUUUACAAGUCAUCAAAAACCUUGGUACUACGCGCAUGCUCCUAGGGGGAUAGAUUGGUAGGAAAAUACCAUCGCUCGUCCCCGACCGCCACUCAUAAGGAAGACAAUCAAAUAGCACCUCAUGUUUCAAAUUUGUUGCAUAACGUUUACCAUACGUGCAUGCUACGGGACUUGCAAGCUUCAACACAAGUAUUUCUCAAUUUCACAACUACUCAACUAGCACGACUUUGAUAUUAUUACCUCCAUAUCUCAAAACAAUCAUCAAGCAUCAAACUUCUCUUAGUAUUCAAAACACUCUUAAGGAAAUUUUACUAACUUUGAAUACCUAGCAUAUUAGGAUUUUAAGCAAAUUACCAUGCUAUUAAGACUCCCAAAAUAAUCUAAGUGAAGUAUGAGAGAUCAAUAGUUUCUAUAAAACAAAUCCACCACCGUGCUCUAAAAGAUAUAAGUGAAGCACUAGAGCAACAACAAACUACUCCGAAAGAUAUAAGUGAAGAUCAAUGAGUAGUUGAAUAAUUAUGCAACUAUGUGAAGACUCUCCCAUUUAAUAAUUUCAGACCUUGAUACUUUAUUCAAACAUCAAGCAAAACAAAAUAAAAUGACAUCUAAGAAUAGCAAACAUCAUGUGAAGAAGAAGCAAAAACUUAGGAUCAACCGAAACUAACCGAUAGUUGUUGAAGAAGAAAGGUGGGAUGCCAACCGGGGCAUCCCCAAUCUUAGAUGCUUGAGACUUCUUGAAAUAUUAUCUUGGGAUGCCUUGGGCAUCCCCAAGCUUGAGCUUUUGUGUCUCCUUAAUUCCUCUCAUAUCACGGUCUUCCCUAAAUCUCAAAAGCUUCAUCCACACAAAACUCAACAAGGACUCGUGAGAUAAGUUAGUAUAAACCAUUGCAAAAACCUUAUCAUACUGUACUGUAGCAAAUCACUAAAAUUAUUAUUCAACAUUGCAUACUAAAUGCCUCUGCAUAUUUAAUAGUCCUAUCCUCAAAUAGAAUCAUUAAAGAAGCAAACAUAUGCAAACAUAACAACAAUCUGCCUAAACAGGAUAGUCUGUAAAGAAUGCAGCAAGAUCCAUACUUCCCUAACUCCAAAAAUCACGAAAGAAAAGUCCCACUGUAGUAAAUUUAUCAGAGCUUAAUAUGCAAAAUGUUUCAACAUUUUAUCACAUUUUGACUUUUCUAGGGAAUUAUUGCAACCGCGGUAAACUUUCUGUUUUCAAACAGCAACAUGAAGACUUCUAACAUAGGCAUAGUAAAGGUAUCAAUGCCACUUUUAUUGGAAUAAAAGAUGCAAGACAUUGUUCUAAAAAACAGCAAGCAAAUCUUAACAAAAUAAAUUGACGCUCCAAGAAAAACACAUAUCAUGUGGUGAAUAAAAAUAUAGCUCCAAGUAAAGUUCCCGAUGAACGAAGACGAAAGAGGGGAUGCCUUCUGGGGCAUCCCCAAGCUUAGGCUCUUGGCUAUCCUUGAAUAUUACCUUGGGGUGCCUUGGGCAUCCCCAAUCUUAGGCUCUUGCCACUCCUUAUUACAUAGUCCAUCGAAUCCUUACCCAAAACUUGAAAACUUCACAACACAAAACUUAACAGAAAACUCGUAAACUCCGUUAGUAUAAGAAAAUAAAUCACCACUUCAAGGUACUGUAAUGAACUCAUUAUUUAUUUAUAUUGGUGUUAAACCUACUGUAUUCCAACUUCUCUAUGGUUUAUAAACUAUUUUACUAGCCAUAGAUUCGUCAAAAUAAGUAAACAACACAUGAAAAACAGAAUCUGUCAAAAACAGAACAGUCUGUAGUAAUAUGUAGCUAGCGCAGCAUAUGGAACCCCAAAAAUUCUAAAAUAAAUUUCUCGAGGAAUUUAUCUAUUAAUCAUCUGCAAAAAUAAUUAACUAAAUAGCACUUUUCAAAUAAAAAUGGCAGCAGUUCUCGUGAGCGCUAAAGUUUCUGUUUUUUACAGCAUGAUCAACAAGACUUUCCCCAAGUCUUCCCAAAGGUUCUACUUGGCACAAACACUAAUGAAAAGCAUAAAACCACAUAUAAACAGAGGCUAGAUGAAUUAUUUAUUACUAAACAGGAACAAAAAGUAAGGAACAAAAAUAAAAUUGGGUUGCCUCCCAACAAGCGCUAUCGUUUUACGCCCCUAGCCAGGCAUGAUGAUUUCAAUGAUGCUCACAUAAAGCAUAAGAAUUGAAACAUAAAGAGAUCAUCAUGAAUAAUAUGACUAGCACAUUUAAGUCUAACCCACUUCCUAUGCAUACGGAUUUUGUGAGAAAACAAUUUGUGAGAACAAGAAUCAACUUGCAUAGGAAGGUAAAACAAGCAUAACUUCAAAACUUUAAGCACAUAGAGAGGAAACUUGAUAUUAUUGCAAUUCCUACAAGCAUAUAUUACUCCCUUAUAAAUUUUUUUAGUAGCAUCAUGAAUUAAUUCAACAAUAUAACUAUCACAUAAAGCAUUAUUUUCAUGAUCUACAAGCAUAGAAAAUUUACUACUCUCCACAUAAGCAAAAUUCUUCUCAUGAAUAAUAGUGGGAGCUAACUCAACAAAAUAACUAUCAUGUGAUUGAAAAUUAAGAUCAAGAUGACAAGUUUCAUGGUUAUCAUUAUUCUUUAAAGCACACGUGUCAUCACAAUAAUCAUCAUAGAUAGGAGGCAUGCUUUCAUCAUAAUAAAUUUGCUCAUCAAAACUUGGGGGACAAAAAAUAUCAUCUUCAUCAAACAUAGCUUCCCCAAGCUUCUGACUUUGCAUAUCAUUAGCAUCAUGGAUAUUCAAGGAAUUCAUACUAACAACAUUGCAAUCAUGCUCAUCAUUCAAAUAUUUAGUGCCAAACAUUCUAAUGCAUUCUUCUUCUAGCACUUGAGCACAGUUAUCAGAAUCCUUAUUUUCAUGAUAGAUAUUAAAAAGAUGAAGCAUAUGAUGUAACCUUAAUUCCAUUUUUUGUAAUUUUAUUUUAUAAACUAAACUAGUGAUAAAACAAGAAACUAAAAGACUCGAUUGCAAGAUCUAAAGAUAUACCUUCAAGCGCUAACCUCCCCGGCAACGGCGCCAGAAAAGAGCUUGAUGUCUACUACACAACCUUCUUCUUGUAGACGUUGUUGGGCCUCCAAGUGCAGAGGUUUGUAGGACAGUAGCAAAUUUCCCUCAAGUGGAUGACCUAAGGUUUAUCAAUCCGUAGGAGGCGUAGGAUGAAGAUGGUCUCUCUCAAGCAACCCUGCAACCAAAUAACAAAGAGUCUAUUGUGUCCCCAACACACCCAAUACAAUGGUAAAUUGUAUAGGUGCACUAGUUCGCCGAAGAGAUGGUGAUACAAGUGCAAUAUGGAUGGUAGAUAAAUGUAUUUUUAAUCUGAAAAUAUAAAAACAGCAAGGUAACUAAUGAUAAAAGUGAGCGUAAACGGUAUUGUAAUGUGUUGAAACAAGGCCUAGGGUUCAUACUUUCGCUAGUGCAAGUUCCCUCAACAAUACUAACAGAAUUGGAUCACAUAACUAUCCCUCAAAAUGCAACAAAGAGUCACUCCAAAGUCACUAAUAGCGGAGAACGAACGAAGAGAUUAUGGUAGGGUAAGAAACCACCUCAAAGUUAUUCUUUCCAAUCAAUCCGUUGGGCUAUUCCUAUAAGUGUCACAAACAGCCCUAGAGUUCAUACUAGAAUAACACCUUAAGACACAAAUCAACCAAAACCCUAAUGUCACCUAGAUACUCCAAUGUCACCUCAAGUAUCCGUGGGUAUGAUUAUACGAUAUGCAUCACACAAUCUCAGAUUCAUCUAUUCAACCAACACAUAGAACUUUCAAAGAGUGCCCCAAAGUUCCUACCGGAGAAUCACGACAAAAACAUGUGCCAACCCCUAUGCAUAGGUUCAUGGGCGGAACCCGCAAGUUGAUCACCAAAACAUACAUCAAGUGAAUCACGUGGUAUCCCAUUGUCACCAUAGAUACGCACGGCAAGACAUACAUCAAGUGUUCUCAAAUCUUUAAAGACUCAAUCCGAUAAGAUAACUUCAAAGGGGAAAAUCAAUCCAUUACAAGAGAGUAGAGGGGGAGAAAACAUCAUAGGAUCCAAAUAUAAUAGCAAAGCUCGUGAUACAUCAAGAUCGUAUCACCUCAAGAACACGAGAGAGAGAGAGAGAGAGAUCAAACACAUAGCUACUGGUACAUACCCUCAGCCCCGAGGGAGAACUACUCCCUCCUCGUCAUGGAGAGCACCGGGAUGAUGAAGAUAGCCACCGGAGAGGGAUUCCCCUCCGGCAGGGUGCCGGAGCGGGUCUAGAUUGGCUUUCGGUGGCUACAGAGGCUUCUAGCGGUGGAACUCCCGAUCUAUUGUGCUCUUCGAUGUUUUUAGGGUAUAUGGAGAUAUAUAGGCGGAAGAAGUACGUCAGGGGGCCACGAGGGGCCCACGAGGGUGGAGGGCGCGCCCAGGGGGCUGGGCAUGCCCCCCGACCUCGUGGCCUCCUCGAAGCUUCCCUUACAUGCACUUCAAGUCUUCUGGGCUUCUUUCCUUCCAAAAAUGGGUUCCGUGAAGUUUUAGGUCAAUUGGACUCCGUUUGGUUUUCCUUUUCUUUGAAACCCUAAAACAAGGUAAAAACAGAAACUGGCACUGGGCUCUGGGUUAAUAGGUUAGUGCCAAAAAUGAUAUAAAAGUGUAUAAUAAAGCCCAUAAAACAUCCAAAACAGUAGAUAAUAUAGCAUGGAGCAAUCAAAAAUUAUAGAUACGUUGGAGACGUAUCAAAGGGUGAUAGUGUGUAUUAUCCAUGGACUCAACAUUAGUCAUAAAGAACUCACAUACUUAUUGCAAAAAUCUAUUAGUCAUCUAAGCAAAGUAUUACGCGGAUGCUCCUAGGGGGAUAGAUUGGUAGGAAAAGACCAAUGCUCGUCCUCGACCGCCACUCAUAAGGAAGACAAUCAAUAAAUAAAUCAUGCUCCGACUUCAUCACAUAACGGUUCACCAUACGUGCAUGCUACGGGAAUCACAAACUUUAACACAAGUAUUUCUCAAAUUCAUAACCACUCAACUAGCACGACUCUAAUAUCACCAUCUCCAUAUCUCAAAACAACUAUCAAGUUUCAAACUUCUCAUAGUAUUCAACACACUCAUAACAAAAUUUUAUUAUUAAUCUUGAAUGCCUAACAUAAUUAAAGAAAAUUACCAUGCUGUUUUGUAGGAAUCUCAAAAUAAUCUAAGUGAAGCAUGAGAGGACAAUGGUUUCUACAAAACAAAUCCACCAACGUGCUCUAAAAGAUAUAAGUGAAGCACUAGAGCAAAAACUAUAUAACUCAAAAGAUAUAAGUGAAGCACAUAGAGUAUUCAAACAAUUUCCGAAUCAUGAGUGUCUCUCUCAAAAAGGUGUGUGCAACAAUGAUCAUUGUGGAAAACUAACAAAUAAAGACUCAAAUAAUACAAGACUCUCCAAGCAAAACACAUAUCAUGUGGUAAAUAAAAAUAUAGCUCCAAGUAAAGUUACUGAUAGAAGUAGACGAAAGAGGGGAUGCCUCCUAGGGCAUCCCCAAGCUUUGGCUUUUAGGUGUACUUAGAUUAUCUUGGGGGUUACAUGGGCAUCCCCAAGCUUAGGCUCUUUCCACUCCUUGUUCCAUAAUCCAUCAAAUCUUUUACGCAAAACUUGAAAACUUCACAACACAAAACUUAAAGUAGAAUAUCUCGUGAGCUCCGUUAGCGAAAGAAAACAAAACACCACUUAAAGGUACUGUAAUGAACUCAUUAUUUAUUUAUAUUGGUGUUAAACCUACUUUAUUCCAACUUUUCUAUGGUUUAUAAACUAGUUUACUAGCCAUAGAUUCAUCAAAAUAAGCAAACAACACACGAAAAACAGAAUCUGUCAAAAACAGAACAGUCUGUAGUAAUCUGUAGCUAACACAAGAUAUAGAACCCCAAAAAUUCUAAAAUAAAUUUAUGGACGUGAGGAAUUUAUCUAUUAAUCAUCUGCGAAAAGAAUUAACUAAAUAGCACUUUCCAAAUAAAAAUGGCAGCAGUUCUCGUGAGCGCUAAAGUUUCUGUUUUUUACAGCAAUAUUAAAAAGACUUUCCCCAAGUCUUCCCCAACGGUUCUACUUGGCACAAACACUAAUUAAACACAAAAAACACAACCAAAACAGAGGCUAGAUAAAUUAUUUAUUAAAUAACAUCAAGUAAAAAUAUUGGGUUGUCUCCCAACAAGCACUUUUCUUUAAAGCCUUAUAGCUAGGCAUAAGAUUUUAACGAUGCUCACAUAAAAGACAAGAAUUGAAGAACAAAGAGAGCAUCAUAAAACACGUGAUAAACACAUCUAAGUCUAAAAUACUUCCUAUGCACAGGCAUAUUAUAGGCAAACAAAUUAUCAAGGAAAGCAAAAACUAGCAUAUGCAAGAAAGCAGAAAGAAACAGUAGCAAUCUCAACAUAACGAGAGGUAAUUUAGUAACAUGAAAAUUUAUACCACCAUAUUUUCCUCUCUCAUAAUAAUUACAUGUAGGAUCAUAAGAAAAUUCAAUAAAAUAGCUAUCAUAUAAAAUAUUUUCAACAUGAUCCACAUGCAUGCAAAGUUGACACUCUUCCAAAAUAGUGGGAUUAACAUUAACUAAAGUCAUGACUUCUCCAAACCCACUUUUAUCAAAUUUUUCAUAAGACUGAACAUUCUCCAAAUAUGUGGGACCUAAAGUUGACACUCUUCCAAACCCACUUUCAAUAAUAUUGCAAACACUAUUAUCAAUCUCAUAUUUAUCAUGGGGCUUAAAUAACAUUUCAAGAUCAAAAGAAGAAUCACCCCAAUCAUGAUAACUGCAACAAGUAGUAGACAUAGCAAAACUAGCAUCCCCAAGCUUAGGGUUUUACAUAUUAUUAGCACAAUUCACAUUAAUAGAAUUUAUACUAUCAUCAUUGCAAUCAUGCUCUUUAUUCAAAUAUUCAUCGUGAAUCACUCCAAAAAGUACUUUAUCACAAUUUUCAGAUUCACGAAUUUCAAGCAAAACUUCAUAAAGAUAAUCUAGUGCACAAAACUCACUAGCAAUUGGUUCAUCAUACUUUGAUCUCUUAAAAAGAUUAGCAAGCGGAUGAGGAUCCAUAGAUGUUUAGGUUCUCUGUUUAGUAAUAAAUAAACAACUAUUCCAACCAAACAAGCAAACGAGCCAAGUAAUACAUCAAAGCAAAUGGAAAGACGAGCAGGAGAAGGGCAAAUAAAACGGCAAGGGUGAAGUGGGGGGAGGAAAAUGAGAGGCAAAUGGCAAAUAAUGUAAUGCGGGAGAUAAGGGUUUGUGAUGUUGAAUUUUGCGCAGACUCCCCGGCAACGGCGCCAGAAAUGGCUCGUUGUCGGGAGUCAAAAUCUUGACUUGACUUGGCGCGAAUCUCCCCGGCAACGGCGCCAGAAAUCCUUCUUGCUACCUCUUGAGCACUUCGUUGGUUUUCCCUUGAAGAGGAAAGGGUGAUGCAGCAGAGCAGCAUAAGUAUUUCCCUCAAUUUUUGAGAUCCAAGGUAUCAAUCCACUAGGAGGCCACACACGAGUCCCUCGCACCUACACAAACAAAUAAACUCCUCACAACCAACGCGAUAAAGGGGUUGUCAAUCCCUUCACGGUCACCUACGAGAGUGAGAUCUGAUAGAUAUGAUAAGAUAAUAUUUUUAGUAUUUUUAUGAUAAAGAGAAAUAAAGUUGCAAGUAAAAUAAAUGGCAAAGGAAAUAACUAAGUAUUGGAAGAUUAAUAUAAUGGAAAAUAGACCCGGGGGCCAUAGGUUUCACUAGAGGCUUCUCUCGAGAGCAUAAGUAUUAUGGUGGGUGAACAAAUUACUGUUGAGAAAUUGACAGAAUUGAGCAUAGUUAUGAGAAUAUCUAGGUAUGAUCAUGUAUAUAGGCAUAACGUCCAAGACAAGUAGACCGACUCCUGCCUGCAUCUACUACUAUUACUCCACACAUCGACCGCUAUCUAGCAUGCAUCUAGAGUAUUAAGUUCAAGAGAACAGAGUAACGCGUUAAGCAAGAUGACAUGAUGUAGAGGGAUAAACUCAUGCAAUUUGAUAUAAACCCCAUCUUGUUAUCCUCGAUGGCAACAAUACAAUACGUGCCUUGUGUCGGUGUCAAAACCGGCGGAUCUCGGGUAGGGGGUCCCGAACUAUGCGUCUAAGGCGGAUGGUAACAUGAGGCAGGGGACACGAUGUUUACCCAGGUCCGGGCCCUCUUGAUGGAGGUAAAACCGUACGUCCUUCUUGAUUGUUCUUGAUGAUAUGAGUAUUACAAGAGUUGAUCUACCACAAGAUCAGAGAGGCUAAACCCUAGAAGCUAGCCUACGGUAUGAUUGUUUGUUGUCCUACGGACUAAAACCCUCCGAUUUAUAUAAUAGACACCGGAGGGGGCUAGGGUUACACAAGGUCGGUUACAAAGGAGGAGAUAUCCAUAUCCGUAUUGCCUAGCUUGCCUUCCACACCAAGCAGAGUCCCAUCCGGACACGGGACGAAGUCUUCAAUCUUGUAUCUUCAUAGUCCAACAGUCCGGCCGAAGGAUAUAGUCCGGCUAUCCGGAGACCCCUUAAUCUAGGACUCCCUCUAUAGCCCCUGAACCAGGCUUCAAUGAGGAUGAGUCCGGCGCACAGUGUUGUCUUCGGCAUUGCGAGGCGGGUUCCUCCUUCGAAUACACCAUGGAAGAGUUUGAAUGUAAGGAUAGUGUUCGACCUUGCAAAAUAAAUUCCACAUACUACCGUAGAGAGAAUAAUACUUCCACAAAUCUAAUCUGCUGACACGUUUUGAUAGUAUGACAUCACUUAUGGCCCGGUUAUUAUUCGAACCGCUUUUCUCAACCAGCUCCGCACAUAUCGCGAGGCGGUUUUCUUGAUACGUCUUGUCAAAGCAGAGAUCGUGUUCCCCUUAUCACGGGAUUCUCAUCAAUGCGGACGUGGGUAACCCAACCGCGCCAUCAAUUGUGGCACCUGGGGAAUAAGCGGUUUUGCCAGGCAAGUGGGGAGACUCAUUGCCUCCUCCGCCCUUAUAAAGGGACAAAGAUUUACUUUUUACACCCACGCCUUCUUCCUUCUCGCUUACCCAUUCCCGCACACUCGAGCUCUAGCGCCCAAGCUCGCGUUCUUCCUCUCAAACCACUCCAGGCAUGUCUGGAGCAGGAGGCCAGUGGAUGGUUUCCUCCGUCACAGAGGAAAACAUCAAAAAGUUACGAGGAGCCGGAUACCUAGCUGCGAAUAUCGCGCACCGGCUGCCGAAUGCGGGGCAGAUCGUCCCCACGCCAAAACCCCAUGAGAGGGUAGUUUUUCUUACCCAUUUCGUCCGCAGACUGGGAUUUCCUCUCCACCCAUUUGUCCGCGUGCUCAUGUUCUACUACGGGCUGGAUUUUCAUGAUCUGGCCCCCAACUUCAUCCGCAACAUCUCGGCGUUUAUCGUCGUGUGGGAGGCCUUCCUUCGCAUUAGGCCCCACUUUGGCCUAUGGCUAAAAACCUUCAAUGUCAAACCAAAGGUGUUGGGUGGCCAGCAAGCAGAGUGCGAAGGCGCCAUGGUGGGCAAGAUGCCUAAUGUCACCUGGCUCGAGGGUACCUACAUGGAUACCAUAAAGGGGUGGCAAUCCGGGUGGUUCUAUAUCACCGAGCCACGCGACUCCAACUGGGUGGCAACCCCCAAAUUUCGAUCCGAAAUCCCCACGCGGCUCACCUCCUGGAAAAAGAAGGGUCUGUCCUGGGGUUCUUCGGUAGAGCUGACCGGACUCCAGACCUGCAUCCAGAACAUGACGAACAAGAAAAUUAAGCUCGUCAACGUGCUCCAGGUUAUGCUCUUCUGCCGGAUCCUUCCGUGCCAACGACGAGCAUUUGUUUUGUGGGAGUUCGACUCGGUCUAGCACCAGAUGCUGCGAGAGCUCUACGACACGACACACGAGGACGUAUGGAGGGUGCUGUUCAAGGGCGCCGAGAUGCCUCCCUCCCUCACCGAGGACCACAGACUCAGCACAAAGAGCCGCCAUUCGGUAGGCUUUUUAUAUCUCUCAGGGUAUUUAUGUGCCUUGGUUUAGUUAUGUGCUGGAUCUAAGCUCUUAUGUCAUUAACAGGACUGGAUAAAGAUAGCAGAGCAGCUUGAUUGCCCUGCCCCCCUGCCUGAAGAUCCUGCAAACGCUCUUCUAACGAAGAUGCUGACUCCUGCACCUUACGAGGUGCCGUAAAAGACGGCCAAGAAGAAGGCCACGGGGACCCAAAAGGGUCUCCGGCACAAGGUUCUAUCGGACUCAUCGUCCGAUGAGUCCGACACGCACUCCACCCACGGAAACGAGGAGGAGGAGAAAAGUUCUCCCCCCCAACCGGGGAGACAAGAAAAGGAAGGCCGACCCAUCCGGGGAGGCUGAAGGGUCCAAGAAGGGAAAGACCCUCCCUCCGGACUGUGCCACAACGGCCGCCGAUAGCGGCGAUGAGUGGCUACCCAAGGACAAGCCCCUGGUGAAGUCGUAAGUGUCCGGACACCAUAGUACUUCAUGCUAUGUUUUAUUGUACUGCCUUUGCUCAUGCCAAACAUGAUUAUGCUGUCCGGCCCGAGCUCAUAUCGACGUACCCUCGUCGAGCGGCUCUUUGGGCUCGUCGAAUAUGAACAGCGGUUCUCCUCCGACCGCUUCCACCCCUCGCCCUACGGACAACGCCGAGGUGGUGUCUCAAAAGGCGCCAACCCAAGGGGAGGUGAUCCUGGGGGCGCCUCAUGACGACCUCCUGGACCCUGAGUACCAAGGGAGCGAGGCUCCUAUGGGCUUCGAGUUUGGGCCCCAGCCGGACCCUGCGCUGGAACCUUCGAUGGUUCCGAACUCCGGCAGGCGGUCCCCCAUUAAGGGGGGCCAACCAUCCAUGCCGGUGUCCUCUGUCCAACCAGAUGCACCGGACAACUUGCUGGAAGCGCUUCACAGCGCUUCCAUCGAUGAAGAACACCACACUAUCAUGAGUGCGGUGGUCAAGAAGGUUCAGUCCGCCAAAAACAGACUGACCGAAGCUUGCGCCAGCCUCCUAACAGGCUUUGAGGUAAGCAUUCAAAAUAUAAAAAUAUUACCGCAUAGAUAGUAGCCCCUGAUGCUCUGUUCGGUGUUCGUGAAGAAAAGACGAAUAUAGUAUCAAAUGAUAACUCAGGAGUCUAAUUAGAGUAUGUCUAUGUGUAUGUGCAGGCUUCCCUGCUGGCCGCUGCCGCACGUACUGCGGAGGUCUCUGCGCUGAAGCAGGCCCUGAAGCGGUCCGAGGACGAGCUCGGCCUUACCAAGGGGCAACUCGAAUAGAGCAAAGGUAAGAUAUACCCCAGUUUAUAUAGGUAAAAAGAAGUUCAGUGUAAAGUAAUAGGAUCAUCAUGAAUUUGUUAGGGGCCACGACCGAGGUAGAGACCCUGAGGAAGGCUUGUCCGCGGCCAAAGACAAAGCGGCCAAAGAACGCAUUGAACGGGAGAAACAAGAAGCCCGAGUGGGCGAGGUGCAGCAAGAGCUCGAGGCUCUCGCCAAAAAGCACGAGUCCUUGGAGCUUGACUCCAAGACGCGAGAGUCCGAGCUCGCGCAGGCGCUUGAAAGCGUCCAGAGCGCCAAGGCUGAAGCCCACAAGGCCCUCUAGGAGAUUGAUGCGGCGAAAAAGAUUGCAGCGGGUAAGGCAUUCAAUAUGCAAAGCAAGCAUGUGAAGGAGACUUUCCUUUUUCUUACCCGAGUUCGGAGCUCUCCAGGAGCAUUUGCAGAUCUUCCCCACAGUGUGCUGGAUACCGCGGAGUUUUACCGGGCUGAGGCGGGGAGCUCAACGGAGAAGUUGUUCUGGUCUCAGUAUACUGGGACCGAACACCCCGUGUCCUUGACCGACCAGCUGAAGCAGUUGGUCGAACUUCACAAGGCGGCCGAAUAGGCCAUGAGGGGCCUUAUAGUCCGGAUGUGGCCUGGCGAGCCCCUGUCCGGCAGCUACUUCGGUCUGGUGAGGCGGCUGGUGGAAGCCUGCCCACGGCUUGAGGUCAUCAAGCGGUCCGUCUGCAUCGAAGGUGCACGCAGGGCUUUUGCCUGGGCGAAGGUGCAAUGGGCGAAGCUGGACGCCGUGAAGCUUGUGAAGGAGGGGCCGCCGGAGGGCAAGGAGCAUCGCUGCCCCGAGAAUUACUAUGAGAGCGUCCUGAAGGGUUCCCGCUUAGUGGCAGAUGAGUGUGCCAAGGAUGUCAUCUUUGAAUGAACAUGCCCAUGUGAUCCUAUAAUAUGAACCGAGUUCUUUUGCACCAUGCGAUGCUUUCUUAAUUUAAAAUAUUACCUUCUGUGCGGCCAUUUAUAAAAUCUGAGAGUUGGCCAGUCGUCGGCUUUUGGCCCCAUGUAACUAGUACUGGGGUGUUCGGGGUAAAUCUGAACACUCUUUCCCCCAAUUUUGGGUCCUUCAAGGGAGGUGCUCAGCGCAACGAACCAGGCAAUUGGACUAUAAUGCUUUAUCACUCUCACUUAGCCAUAUAAGUCUAUGAUUUUAAAUUUUUGGCGAAGCCCCUGGUAUUCGGAGGGCCGAAUUUGGGGCGCUAUACACGCCUAAGCCGGACAAGGCCGACUCCUCGCCCGAAGCGGAAAAAGUCUUUAAGGACUUGAGACCUCUUGAAGAGCAACCAGUCUCUCGCCUUAUCAUGACAGUCAGUUUUUGGCUUUCUCUACUGAGGUGCUCGUCCGGAAGAAUCGGGACACAAUCGCAGUAGUUAUCCCACCGCUACCUUAGAUGAUAUAGCGGAACGUAAGGUACCAAAGCAUGGGAGCCGGGCAACCCAACAUUUGACCCAAGACAUGAUUCCAAGCUGAUGCAUAUAAUGCUAUAAGUUCGGGGUGCCGCACUGUCGAAAGUGUUCGGACUUCUUGCGCUGUAUUACAGGGUAAACGAGAGCCCCUAGCGUACUGACUACACCCGACCGUGCAGGUGCAGAAUGUCAUAAAUGGACAUAUAAGAGAAAGAGAAAAACUAUAAUAAUGCAAUGACAGAUUAAUAAUAUGCAUUGUUAUUUGAAUAAUACGUCGAAGCGUACUGGUACAAGUAGUGCAAUAAGCAUAAAGUAGGACAAUUCGAAAUGUCCUAUCCCAAGGCAAGCUACGCAUAAAUAGUGAAAAGCGGGUAUAUCAAGUAUUACUAGAGACCACCUGGCGGUUCCCGUGUUCAUCCUAGCUUCUUGCCGCCUUGGUUGUUGCUUCCGGAAUGUGUCCAAUAAUCGGACUGCCAGAAAGGGCUUCCGAAGAGUUAGGCCCUGAAAAAGAAAAGGAAUGUCAAAGGUAUACAUCCCCUGGUGUGGUUAAGGCACAAUGUGGGGCGUGUCCUGAUUGUGCCCCCACCUAUGUCCAUGGUAUUUUCAAUGCGUAGUUAUGUACGCACGACAUGAAUUUCGUCACUGCACUGGGACUGGGACGGGGGCUGGAUUGCUAGGCGAGCGUUGAUCGCGCUAGGCGAUCCUGUUGCAGAUUGUUCCGUACUCGCUUGAAGGUGUUCGGGGGCUGUAACGCCGAAUGAGUGGUCUGCCUGAACAGGCUGCUUUGUGCCUCUGCUGCAAGGGCCGCAGUGUGCUCUUCUGUAUGGAGUGAGCGUUCUAUGUUUCCAUUUACUGUUAUGACCCCGCGGGGUCCUGGCAUCUUGAGCUUGAGGUAUGCGUAAUGCGGCACUGCGUUGAAUUUUGCAAAUGUUGUCUGUACGAGCACUGCAUGAUACCCACUGCAAAACGGGACGAUGUCGAAGAUUAACUCUUCGCUUCGGAAGUUAUCCGGUGAUCCGAAGACCACUUGUAGUGUGAUUGAGCCUGUGCAAUGUGCCUCUACACCUGGGAUGACGCCUUUAAAGGUGGUUUUGCUGGGUUUGAUCCUUGAGGGAUCGAUACCCAUUUUUCGCACUGUAUCCUGAUAAAGCAGGUUCAGGCUGCUGCCGCCGUCCAUAAGGACUCAAGUGAGAUGAAAUCCGUCAAUGAUGGGGUCUAGGACCAGUGCGGCGGAUCCGCCAUGACGGAUGCUAGUAGGGUGGUCCCUGCGAUCGAAGGUGAUCGGACAAGUAGACCAUGGGUUGAACUUCGGGGCGACGGGCUCCAUCGCGUAGACGUCCCUUAGUGCACGCUUCUGCUCCCUCUUGGGAAUGUGGGUUGCGUAUAUCAUAUUCACUGUCUUCACUUGUGGGGGAAACCCCUUCUGUCCUCCUGGGUUUGGCCGCCGGGGUUCCUCCUCGUCAUCGCUAUGCAGCCCCUUGUCCUUGUUUUCGGCAUUUAACUUGCCGGCCUGCUUGAAUACCCAACAUUCUCUGUUGGUGUGAUUGGCUGGCUUGUCAGGGGUGCCGUGAAUUUGACACGAGCGAUCCAGUAUGCGAUCCAGACUGGACGAAGCCGGAGUAUUUCUUUUAAAUGGAUUUUUCCGCUGACCGGAUUUAGAGCCUCUGAAUCCGGCAUUGACUGCCGUAUCUUCGGUGUUAUCGCCAUUAUUGCGGCGCUUUGGUCUAUUACGAUGCUGCCUACCUUUAACGUCUUUGGUAUCCGAGGUAUCCGGAUUCCUUGAUGUGUUGUUGCUGCGAGCCAGCCAGCUGUCUUCGCCCGCGCAAAAGCGGGUCAUGAGUGUUGUGAAUGCUGCCAUAGAUUUCGGCUUCUCCUGGCCGAGGUGGCGGGCGAGCCACUCAUCGCGGAUGUUAUGCUUGAAUGCCGCUAGGGCUUCUGCAUCCGGACAAUCUACAAUUUGAUUUUUCUUAGUCAGGAACCGUGUCCAGAAUUGUCUGGCCGAUUCCCCUGGCUGCUGGGUUAUGUGGCUCAAGUCAUCAGCAUCCGGUGGCCACACAUAAGUGCCCUGGAAGUUGUCAAGAAAUGGAUCUUCCAAAUCCUCCCAACUACCAACGGAAUCUGCUGGCAAGCUAUUCAGCCAAUGCUGAGCUGGUCCUUUGAGUUUUAGUGGGAGGUACUUGAUGGCAUGUAGAUCGUCACCGCGAGCCAUGUGGAUGUGAAGGAGGAAAUCCUCAAUCCAUAGAGCGGGAUCUGUUGUGCCGUCGUAUGAUUCGAUAUUUACGGGUUUGAAACCCUCCGGGAAUUCAUGAUUCAUAACUUCAUCAGUGAAGCAUAGGGGGUGCAUGGCGCCUCUGUGCCGGGCUAUAUCCCGACGUAGUUCGUAUGAGUCUUGUCUGCUGUAUUGGGCCCAGCUAGAUUUACUCUUGGUGUAUCCGACGCGACGAUCAUCGUCCCGUGUGGGCGCACAUGCUCGUGUCCCGUAUAUUGACCUUGCGGUUUUUUCCUUACUGUCCAAGAUGUCUCGCAGGUCCCCUGUGUUGCCCCAGGCCUUAGUAUUUUUGACUGAGUGGCGAUGGGGUGCAGUCUGAACUUUAGGCUGAAACACCUCUCUGGCUCGGCCGCAUAGUGGCUGGUCAGCCGCAUCAUACACUGGUGAAUGAGGAUUCAAUGCUUCCUCCUCGAGGUGAGGUAGCAACCUGCGUUUUGGGUAACUCUUGGAUGGGCGUUCGAGUUCAUGCUCCUUGGACGCAAGGACUUCGGUCCAUCUGUCUGCUAGCAAGUCUUGAUCAGCUUGAAGCUAUUGCUGUUUCUUCUUUAGGCUAUUUGUCGUGGCCAUAAGCCGGCGCUUGAAGCGCUCUUGCUCGACGGGGUCCUCAGGCACGAUAAACUCGUUGUCGCCGAGGCUCGCCUCGUCUUCAGAGAGAGGCAUGUAAUUGUCCUCCUCCGGUUCUCCAUCUGUUGCCUGCUCUGGGGGGCUAGCUUGUUCGUCCUCUAGCUCUGCACCGUGCUGGAGGGGAUUGUUGUCGUCUUCGGCGCUAUCCGGAGUGUUAUUAUCUCCUGUGCCGGUAUCACUGCUCUUGCUGUGGCGGGACUUAGACCGGCGCCGCUGACAUCGGCGCCUGGGUUGCUUCUUGGAGGGGUCAUCCUCCGCUUUCUCGUCGCCAUUGGCUUCUUUUGGGGUGUCCACCAUGUAUAUAUCAUAUGAUGAGGUGGCGGUCCAGUGCCCCGAGGGCGGUGGAUCCUGUUCAUCUCCGGCCUCGUCGUCCAUACCAUCGAAGUCUUCGGAGCCGAAGUCGAGCAUGUCAGUUAAGUCGUCGACAGUGGCUACUAAGUGGGUGGUGGGUGGGCAGCGAAUUUCUUCGUCGUCCGCAUCCCAUUCUAGCCGGACAUAGUUCGGCCAAGGUUCUCUUGACAGGGAGAGAGACCUUAAUGAAUUUAGCACAUCCCCAAAGGGUGAGUGCUGAAAGAUGUCCGCGGAGGUGAACUCCAUGAUCGGCGCCCAGUCAGACUCGACGGGCACGGAUAUGAGCGGCUCGGAGUCCGUGGCCGGAUAUGAAUCCAGUGGUUUGGCGACAUGGCUCUCGUAAGGGGUGAAGUCAGUAUCUGGCUCUAUCGCCACUUAGAGUGCGGCCUCCAUGGCGGGGUCCAUCCCUCCGCUCUCGGAUGGUGCGACUUGCUCCGGAUUGAUGGACAGAGUAGCUGCGGAUGCGAUCUUGCCCCUACUGUCACUGGGAAAGGACACCGCAAUAUUGAACCCAAAGCUAAGCACUUCUCCCAUUGCAAGAAAGAUCAAUCUAGUAGGCCAAACCAAACUAAUAAUUCGAAGAGACUUGCAAAGAUAACCAAUCAUACAUAAAAGAAUUCAGAGAAGAUUCAAGUAUUGUUCAUAGAUAAACCUGAUCAUAAACCCACAAUUCAUCGGUCUCAACAAACACACCGCAAAACAAGAUUACAUCGAAUAGAUCUCCACAAGAGAGGGGGAGAACUCUGUAUUGAGAUCCAAAAAGAGAGAAGAAGCCAUCUAGCUAAUAUCUAUGGACCUGUAGUUCUGAAGUAAACUACUGACACUUCAUCGGAGAGGCUAUGGUGUUGAUGUAGAAGCCCUUCGUGAUCGAUAUCCCCUCCGGCGGAGCUCCGGAAAAGGCCCCAAGAUGGGAUCUCGUGGAUACAGAAAGUUACGGCGGUGGAAUUAGGGUUUUGGCUCCGCAUCUGGUAGUUUGGGGGUACGUAGGUAUAUAUAGGAGGAAGGAGUAUGUCGGUGGAGCAACGUGGGCCCCACAAGGGUGGNNNNNNNNNNNNNNNNNNNNNNNNNNNNNNNNNNNNNNNNNNNNNNNNNNNNNNNNNNNNNNNNNNNNNNNNNNNNNNNNNNNNNNNNNNNNNNNNNNNNNNNNNNNNNNNNNNNNNNNNNNNNNNNNNNNNNNNNNNNNNNNNNNNNNNNNNNNNNNNNNNNNNNNNNNNNNNNNNNNNNNNNNNNNNNNNNNNNNNNNNNNNNNNNNNNNNNNNNNNNNNNNNNNNNNNNNNNNNNNNNNNNNNNNNNNNNNNNNNNNNNNNNNNNNNNNNNNNNNNNNNNNNNNNNNNNNNNNNNNNNNNNNNNNNNNNNNNNNNNNNNNNNNNNNNNNNNNNNNNNNNNNNNNNNNNNNNNNNNNNNNNNNNNNNNNNNNNNNNNNNNNNNNNNNNNNNNNAUAGAUACGUUGGAGACGUAUCAGUCUCCACCUUGGACUGGUCCAGCGCAAUGCAGAGGGCCAUCUCCUCCUCAUACUCGAGUUCGGAGCCGGAAUCGCUGCCGGAGCUGGACAUCAUAGUGGACGGGAUCAAAAUCGGAGAGGGAGAGGAGAGGACGGGGAGAGAGAGAGAGAGAGAGAGAGAGAGAGAGAGAGAGAGAGAGAGAGAGAGAGAGAGAGAGAGAGAGAGAGAGAGAGAGAGCUAGGGUUGGGAGCGAGGCGCCCAGAUUGGGUUUUUUGUGGGACAUGUGUGGGGUCAGUGGUGGGCCGGGCCUGUCAGGCAGACGCGCCUAGGCGUGCCUGGGCCGCCCCAUAUCCGUUCUAUAUUUGAGUUGGAUAUGAGGUGUGUCGGUCAGACCAGACAUUUAUCCACGGUUUAAGAGGUCCGGUUGGGUCUAUUUUUUGUGACCGAUCAAUAACCGGACAGCCUGCCCGAGCGUUUGAGACGAAUAUAAGAGGCCCGGAUAUAGAUACCAAGCCAAAUGACCACGUUGAUCGACUCCAUGUUAGCUAGACUAGCCGUUGAAUGAAGGGAAAAUACGAAGGAGAACCUGGGUACCGGCGCACCCUAUAUGCAAAAAAAAAUAGUAAUUCAAAAAAGUUCAAAAAAUUCCAAAUAUUUUUUGGUAUCAAACUUGAUCAAGUAUUGUAGUCAUAUAAAAAGAUUCGUCAGAAAAUGACAUUCGUUACAUCCUGUGUCAAAGAUUAGGUAAAACACGCUAUAUACAAAUACUAUACACGUUAUAUUGUCGUCAUAAACUUGUUUUUUUUUGCCCUGAAGUCAAUAGGAUUCAUUUCUUGUCCAAACUUUUUAUACGAGUACAAUACCUAAUCAUGUUUGAUUCUAAAAAAGUUUUGAAUUUUUUUGAACAUUUUCUGAAUUACUAAUUUGUUUUGCGCAUAUAUGAUGCACGGGUACUCGAGAGCACCAAGUUCUCAUCCCUGAAUAAAGAUGUUGCAUUAUUAGGUUGGCACGCCCUUCAGAUCUGGGCGUUGAAUCACAAAGCGCUCAACGAUUUUUUUUUUGGGAUUUCUUUUUUGGGAUUCCAGAAUCUCACUCGACUGAGGACUUAACAAAGUUUUAGUCGAUGCUAUAUUCGUUAGAUCUUACAUGGUGAUUCAUGUAAAAUUUUGUUUUAAUUUUUUUCUUUAGCAGUCUCAGUCGACUGAGAUCUAACCACAUCUUUUUUAUUUACCGAAACAUAUGUAUAUGCGUUUUGCAUUAGAGAUGGCCUUAACAUAAUUUGUUUUCUACAACGAGUUCUCUCAAGAUUUUUUUUUCAUGUAAGCAACUAUGAGUUGCCAAGUAUUAUUUGUGUUUUGCUCUUACACUGCCACCAAUGUAAUUGCACCAAGAGCUAGUAGAAGGUUUUUUUUUGGCGGGAUAGCAUAAGCUUUUAUUUAGACACACAUGAUUAAUUACUGGAGAUAGAUACUAUACACAAAUGCUUGUAUCCAAUAUUUGGAUUUCCAUAUCCUCUAAGACAUUACACAAAUGCUUGUAUCCAAUAUUUGGAUUUUCAUAUCCUCUAAGACAUUACACAAAUGCUUGUAUCCAAUAUUUGGAUUUUCGUAUCCUCUAAGACAUUACACAAAUGCUUGUAUCCAAUAUUUGGAUUUUCGUAUCCUCUGAGACAUUACACAAAUGCUUGUAUCCAAUAUUUGGAUUUUCGUAUCCUCUAAGACAUUACACAAAUGCUUGUUUCCAAUAUUUGGAUUUCCAUGUCCUCUAAGGCAUUGAAUGCAUAGCCAAGAGGAAUGUAAUAAAUAGCACUCAAACCCGGUUCUUCUCCUCACACCAUCAUUCCAACAACUUAUUUUGAGCACUUGGCCAUGGCGUUCAACGGCGCCCAGAUGCUCGCUGCCUUCACCCUGGGCAUUCUCCUCAUGGCCUUCUGUAAGUUCAUAUAGCAGAUUUUACCGCACCGCAAUCCCAUGCAAUUUAAGAUCAAAUCUAUGAAACAAUUGGUAAUAUAAUUUUCUGGUACACACGCCAAUUGUAUGCCACAUGCAGGUGCGGAGGCUCGGGUAUGCAUGUCCCCUAGCAAGUGGUACAAAGGGGACCCUUGCAAGAACCUGCGUUGCACCAAGGCUUGUCACAAAGAACACUUCAAGGGUGGGUUUUGCUCCAGUAAAAAGUCGAUCGUUGAUGACGAGCUCAAUGAAGACAAUGGCAACAACAGCUUUGGCAAACGGCCUAAGAAAAAAUCGAAAAAAUCGUGCAUGUGUACAUUCCCAUGCGGUCAAACCCCACCACCACCGUCGGAACCUGAUGUGCCAGAGCCGCCCGAAGUGCCAGUGCCCGGGCCACCGCCGAGGGCCGGCCAUAUUUAUUGAGUGAGUAAAUGAUCGUAUGUAUGAACCUGAGGUCUCGAGGAAAGAGAGGAAACAAUCACUGCUUAAUUUGUACACAUGCAUGAUUGAUUGCAUAAGAAUGACAAUAAUAAUAAUCUAAAGUGAAUCAACAGUAAACACAAGUGUCUCUACCAUGGAUCAUAGUGGGGAGUAAAUUAGACUAGUAACAUGCAUAUAUUACUGGUCUAUAUUACUACCUCUAUAGUGGAGAGUAACAUUUCUGUGGUGUCAUACAACACUUCAUUUAUUAGGUUGUAGACUUAUCUUGUCUUGGUAUAUGUGAUGUUACUCAUAAUGUGAGUAACAAGCUAUGUUACUACUUAAUUUGUCUCUUUUCUCAUUAAUUAGUUGUUACAUUAUUUAUUUAAUUUUAGCUUUCAUUUAUGUUACUUUCACUAUGAAUAGUCUAAUAAUUCAUGAGACGAAGCAACCGCAAGGGUUGCUCAUGCUCGUCGACCGUAGUGGGUUGUUUGUUGGUGGUAUCUAUGCACAAGCCACACACUUCUCAAAAGCAAAAACAACUGGAUGGCUGGCCAUCCAGCUCGCGCCUUUUUGGGCUUAGAUCGUGGUAGCAUCCUGCAUGAUUUUGGUGUGACGUCUUUCCAACGCACAACAUGCACCAUCCAACCCAGUCGAAAAAAGUCCAGUUGGCCACACCAACUCUUCUGAUGUUUUUGAUACGAUACAAUACAUGCACGACACUAGUCUAUCACCCUAGGAUCAAAACGUUACUUCAACCAGGGACAUGGCCCACAUGUCGUAGGCAGAUCGGACCGUAAAUCAUGGUACACAAAGUAAUUUCAAGCAGAUUGGACUGUAAAUCAUCGUACGCAAUGUAAAUUAAUCAACAAAGAAUGAAAAUGCAUUAAGAUUGAUUUGAAAAGAAAUUAAGCUGUUGGAAGGGCAAGCUUAUGUCUUAUGGGUGUCGGUUAAUUCCUAUAAACUAUGCGGAGUUAAUUACAUAAAACUAACACAUUUGCGGCUAGGUUUGCAGAAAAUCACCAAGUCGCAAAUCCAUUGUAAAAAUCACCAUGUUUCUAGUAAUCUUUUUGCGAAAAGCACUGAUCGGGUGAUUUGGCCUGUUUCAUCGCAUUCUAACAAGUGGGACCUGAUUGUAAGGAGCUGACAUGGCAAAAAGUUAACAUACACACCCCUGAAAUAAAUAAACAAAUGCAAUCCAAUCCCUGUCCAUCUAGCAGCUGGCACCGCAACUUCCCGCUACCUCCCAGCGUCGCCUUGCUCCGGCAGCCGUCGUCGCGUUCCCGAAACCCCGACCUCCUUCGACCUCAUGGCUCUCUCUGUAACCAUGUGCCAUCAAGUAGCCCAAGGUCAACGUCUUCCCCCUCCCCCUGCCUCGCGUUGCCUCCUCUGAGGCGACCUGAGGGCCAACCCUAGACUGCCGCCGCAUUCCUCCCCCCCCCUCCUCGCCCUCCACCGCCAUCGGAGGUGCUCGCUGGCGCGGGUGUGCGACACCUUGGAAGGUGGCCGCGGGGAUCUGGCGGAUCCGGCUUGCUGGUGAGCCUCAAGGCCAGGGAUGGUGGCUCCAACGGGUGGCNNNNNNNNNNNNNNNNNNNNNNNNNNNNNNNNNNNNNNNNNNNNNNNNNNNNNNNNNNNNNNNNNNNNNNNNNNNNNNNNNNNNNNNNNNNNNNNNNNNNNNNNNNNNNNNNNNNNNNNNNNNNNNNNNNNNNNNNNNNNNNNNNNNNNNNNNNNNNNNNNNNNNNNNNNNNNNNNNNNNNNNNNNNNNNNNNNNNNNNNNNNNNNNNNNNNNNNNNNNNNNNNNNNNNNNNNNNNNNNNNNNNNNNNNNNNNNNNNNNNNNNNNNNNNNNNNNNNNNNNNNNNNNNNNNNNNNNNNNNNNNNNNNNNNNNNNNNNNNNNNNNNUCUUGCGUCCCCGCGGUGCUUGGCUGGCAAAUCUUGGAGAAGACCCUUCCUCGACCCUGAUCUGCUAAGAUCCGUGCCGGCCCUGCCCUCUGGCGGCUGUGGUCGUCGUCCCCGGGGCUCUACCGGGAGGAUCUGGUGGCUGGGCGUGUUUCCGGGGGAAACCCUCGGCCGACGUGGCUGCCACUCCAAAGGCGACAUCUUAUGGCGCCGUUAUCCUUCCUUGAGGCUUUGGAGUGGAUUAUCUCCGUCACACCCCCAUCGAGCACAGGUGAAAGCCUGCCCUCCCCUGCUUGGAAGACGACGACACUCGGUGUCGUGCUCCUUCCUGAAGGCAUCUUCCGGGGGUUUUCUCUUGCGAUGGUGGAGUUGUUGGUGGUGUGGUAAAGGGUGUGGCAUCCUGAUCCUCUAUGAGGCAGCCUGCGUGGUCCCCUGGUGCGGAUUGUCUCUGCCCUUGGUGCCCUACAAGGAGAUUGGUGUCUCCUUUUCCGGUGUUGGUGGUACCCUGCUUGGUGGGAGUCCCUGUCUCCGACAAUUCCAAUCCAUGACCGGUGCAAGGCUUGGUCCCCCUUCGGCCUUCUCUAUGGUAUUCCGUCCUCGGUCCAUGAGUCUCGGCCGGCGCCCUGCCCUGCCGCUGCCGACGAUGGUCUUCUAAUGGUCGGUCUCCGUUGUGUGUGGGUCUGCUAUUGCUGUGUUUCAUGGCAGCUUGGGCUCCUUGGUAUGGGUUCUAUGGAACCUCUCCGUCGUUUGUCGGUGCGGCACCUGUCGAGCCUAGGUGAGAGGGUAGUGGCCCUUUGCGGCGACAAAAACAGACCUUGUGGUUGCUCACGUUUGGCCCUCUGGUUACAUUCAGCGGCACGAUACUUGCCCGGUGUUGCCCUCCUUCUGAGGACUGAGUUUGGUUAGUUGCUUUUGGCUUUGCGGCGGUCGAUGGCAACGGCGCUUGCUGUAGCCUUAGAGUCGUUCCUCGCAACACUAUGUAUCUUAUUCUGCGUUGCUUUCUUUCUCUGUUAUGUAAUUCCUAUGUAUUUCUGGCCGGUUGAUGGCUUUGUUAAUUCGAAGCCAGGCUACAUUCGAGCUUUUUCUCGGGCUCGGCCAAUGCCUUUUCUCUAAAAAAACGUCAAUGCCCGUUAACCCAACGAGGAACCCACCAGCUAGGUCAUGGACGAGCUUCGGACACGCUGAUGAAGCUAUGUACCUAGGGUAGGGUCAUGGACCUGUCCAAACUAACCUACCCAAGGUCAUCUCCAGAAGAAAUCAUCUUUCAAUCGACUUGAAGGUGUCUCACUCGACAGACUUGAAGAUACUCGACCAAGACCAAGCCACUCGAUGGUCAGGUGACCUAAAGGUGCUCCGCAUGCUAACGGUCGGUUAUUAAGUAGCUUUUAUGGUCAUCAUAGCACUUUGUUACUAGCGUUACCAGUAACGCCCUGCCUUAAUGUACAUUGAACCCUUUGUAUCGUGGGCUGGCUGGGGUCUUGGCGCACUCUAUAUAAGCCACCCCCUCCUCUGAAACAAGGGUUCACACCCCUGUAAUCCACACGCACAUAAUCCAGUCGACCGCCUUCGGGCUCCGAGACGUAGGGCUAUUACUUCCUCCGAGAAGGGCCUGAACUCGUAAAUCUUGCGUUCCUACAACUGCUCUAUAGCUAAGAUACUCCCUCUCCAUACUUACCCCCUUACAUCACUGUCAGACUCAGAACCACGACAGUUGGCGCCCACCUUGGGGCAGGUGUUUUAGCGUUUUGUUGGAGGAGUUGCCAUCUUUUCCGACCCGAAUCGUCAUGGUUUUCGGCGGAGUUUUGGUGGAGGGCCGCGAGAUCCGUCUCGGCGUGCUCACGUUCAUCGCCGACGACUCCGCUUGGCUUCAGGAGACUCCGCUUGGCUUCAGGAGGCUCCGCAAGUUGAUCACCAAAACAUACAUCAAGUGAAUCACGUGGUAUCCCAAUGUCACCACAGAUACGCACGGCAAGACAUACAUCAAGUGUUCUCAAAUCUUUAAAGACUCAAUCCAAUAAGAUAACUUCAAAGGGGAAACUCAAUCCAUUACAAGAGAGUAGAGGGGGAGAAAACAUCAUAGGAUCCAAAUAUAAUAGCAAAGCUCGUGAUACAUCAAGAUCGUAUCACCUCAAGAACACGAGAGAGAGAGAGAGAUCAAACACAUAGCUACCGGUACAUACCCUCAGCCCCGAAGGAGAACUACUCCCUCCUCAUCAUGGAGAGCACCGGGAUGAUGAAGAUAGCCACCGGAGAGGGAUUCCCCCUCCGGCAGGGUGCUAGUACGGGUCUAGAUUGGCUUUCGGUGGCUACAGAGGCUUCUGGCGGCGGAACUCCCGAUCUAUUGUGCUCUUCGAUGUUUUUAGGGUAUAUGGAGAUAUAUAGGCGGAAGAAGUAUGUCAGGGGGGCCACGAGGGGCCCACGAGGGUGGAAGGCGCGCCCCCCGACCUCGUGGCCUCCUCGAAGCUUCCCUUACAUGCACUUCAAGUCUUCUGGGCUUCUUUCCUUCCAAAAAUGGGUUCCGUGAAGUUUCAGGUCAAUUGGACUCCGUUUGGUUUUCCUUUUCUUUGAAACCCUAAAACAAGGUAAAAACAGAAACUGGCACUGGGCUGUGGGUUAAUAGGUUAGUCCCAAAAAUGAUAUAAAAGUGUAUAAUAAAGCCCAUAAAACAUCCAAAACAGUAGAUAAUAUAGCAUGGAGCAAUCAAAAAUUAUAAAUACGUUGGAGACGUAUCAAAGGGUGAUAGUGUGUAUAAUCCAUGGACUCAACAUUAGUCAUAAAGAACUCACAUACUUAUUGCAAAAAUCUAUUAGUCAUCUAAGCAAAGUAUUACGCGGAUGCUCCUAGGGGGAUAGAUUGGUAGGAAAAGACCAAUGCUCGUCCUCGACCGCCACUCAUAAGGAAGACAAUCAAUAAAUAAAUCAUGCUCCGACUUCAUCACAUAACGGUUCACCAUACGUGCAUGCUACGGGAAUCACAAACUUUAACACAAGUAUUUCUCAAAUUCAUAACCACUCAACUAGCACGACUCUAAUAUCACCAUCUCCAUAUCUCAAAACAACUAUCAAGUUUCAAACUUCUCAUAGUAUUCAACACACUCAUAACAAAAUUUUAUUAUUAAUCUUGAAUGCCUAACAUAAUUAAAGAAAAUUACCAUGCUGUUUUGUAGGAAUCUCAAAAUAAUCUAAGUGAAGCAUGAGAGGACAAUGGUUUCUACAAAACAAAUCCACCAACGUGCUCUAAAAGAUAUAAGUGAAGCACUAGAGCAAAAACUAUAUAACUCAAAAGAUAUAAGUGAAUCACAUAGAGUAUUCAAACAAUUUCCGAAUCAUGAGUGUCUCUCUCAAAAAGGUGUGUGCAACAAUGAUCAUUGUGGAAAACUAACAAAUAAAGACUCAAAUAAUACAAGACUCUCCAAGCAAAACACAUAUCAUGUGGUAAAUAAAAAUAUAGCUCCAAGUAAAGUUACCGAUAGAAGUCGACGAAAGAGGGGAUGCCUUCUAGGGCAUCCCCAAGCUUUGGCUUUUAGGUGUCCUUAUAUUAUCUUGGGGGUGCCAUGGGCAUCCCCAAGCUUAGGCUCUUUCCACUCCUUGUUCCAUAAUCCAUCAAAUCUUUUACGCAAAACUUGAAAACUUCACAACACAAAACUUAAAGUAGAAAAUCUCGUGAGCUCCCUUAGCGAAAGAAAACAAAACACCACUUAAAGGUACUGUAAUUAACUCAUUAUUUAUUUAUAUUGGUGUUAAACCUACUUUAUUCCAACUUCUCUAUGGUUUAUAAACUAUUUUACUAGCCAUAGAUUCAUCAAAAUAAGCAAACAACACACAAAAAAUAGAAUCUGUCAAAAACAGAACAGUCUGUAGUAAUCUGUAGCUAACGCAAGAUAUAGAACCCCAAAAAUUCUAAAAUAAAUUUAUGGACGUGAGGAAUUUAUCUAUUAAUCAUCUGCAAAAAGAAUUAACUAAAUAACACAUUUCAAAUAAAAAUGGCAGCAGUUCUCGUGAGCGCUAAAGUUUCUGUUUUUUACAGCAAGAUUAAAAAGACUUUCCCCAAGUCUUCCCCAAUGGUUCUCCUUGGCACAAACACUAAUUAAACACAAAAAACACAACCAAAACAGAGGCUAGAUAAAUUAUUUAUUAAAUAACAUCAAGUAAACAUAUUGGGUUGUCUCCCAACAAGCGUUUUUCUUUAAAGCCUUAUAGCUAGGCAUAAGAUUUUAACGAUGCUCACAUAAAAGGCAAGAAUUGAAGAACAAAGAGAGCAUCAUAAAACACGUGAUAAACACAUCUAAGUCUAAAAUACUUCCUAUGCACAGGCAUAUCAUAGGCAAACAAAUUAUCAAGGCAAGCAAAAACUAGCAUAUGCAAGAAAGCAGAAAGAAAUAGUAGCAAUCUCAACAUAACGAGAGGUAAUUUAGUAACAUGAAAAUUUAUACCACCAUAUUUUCCUCUCUCAUAAUAAUUACAUGUAGGAUCAUAAGAAAAUUCAAUAAAAUAGCUAUCAUAUAAAAUAUUUUCAACAUGAUCCACAUGCAUGCAAAGUUGACACUCUUCCAAAAUAGUGGGAUUAACAUUAACUAAAGUCAUGACUUCUCCAAACCCACUUUUAUCAAAAUUUUCAUAAGACUGAACAUUCUCCAAAUAUGUGGGACCUAAAGUUGACACUCUUCCAAACCCACUUUCAAUAAUAUUGCAAACACUAUUAUCAAUCUCAUAUUUAUCAUGGGGCUUAAAUAACAUUUCAAGAUCAAAAGAAGAAUCACCCCAAUCAUGAUAACUGCAACAAGUAGUAGACAUAGCAAAACUAGCAUCCCCAAGCUUAGGGUUUCACAUAUUAUUAGCACAAUUCACAUUAAUAGAAUUUAUACUAUCAUCAUCGCAAUCAUGCUUUUUAUUCAAAGAUUCAUCCUGAAUCACUCCAAAAAGUACUUUAUCACAAUUUUCAGAUUCACGAAUUUCAAGCAAAACUUCAUAAAGAUAAUCUAGUGCACAAAACUCACUAGCAAUUGGUUCAUCAUAAUUUGAUCUCUUAAAAAGAUUAGCAAGCGGAUGAGGAUCCAUAGAUGUUUAGGUUCUCUGUUUAGUAAUAAAUAAACAGCAAUUCCAACCAAACAAGCAAACGAGCCAAGUAAUACAUCAAAGCAAAUGGAAAGACGAGCAGGAGAAGGGCAAAUAAAACUGCAAGGGUGAAGUGGGGGGAGGAAAAUGAGAGGCAAAUGGCAAAUAAUGUAAUGCGGGAGAUAAGGGUUUGUGAUGUUGACUUUUGCGCAGACUCCCCGGCAACGGCGCCAGAAAUGGCUCGUUGUCGGGAGUAAAAAUCUUGACUUGACUUGGCGCGAAUCUCCCCGGCAAUGGCGCCAGAAAUCCUUCUUGCUACCUCUUGAGCACUUCGUUGGUUUUCCCUUGAAGAGGAAAGGGUGAUGCAGCAGAGCAGCAUAAGUAUUUCCCUUAGUUUUUGAGAUCCAAGGUAUCAAUCCACUAGGAGGCCACGCACGAGUGCCUCGCACCUACACAAACAAAUAAACUCCUCGCAACCAACGUGAUAAAGGGGUUGUCAAUCCCUUCACGUUCACCUACGAGAGUGAGAUCUGAUAGAUAUGAUACGAUAAUAUUUUUGGUAUUUUUAUGAUAAAGAGAAAUAAAGUUGCAAGUAAAAUAAAUGGCAAAGGAAAUAACUAAGUAUUGGAAGAUUAAUAUAAUGGAAAAUAGACCCGGGGCCAUAGGUUUCACUAGAGGCUUCUCUCGAGAGCAUAAGUAUUACGGUGGGUGAACAAAUUACUGUUGAGAAAUUGACAGAACUGAGCAUAGUUAUGAGAAUAUCUAGGUAUGAUCAUGUAUAUAGGCAUAACGUCCGAGACAAGUAGACUGACUCCUGCCUGCAUCUACUACUAUUACUCCACACAUCGACCGCUAUCUAUCAUGCAUCUAGAGUAUUAAGUUCAAGAGAACAGAGUAACGCGUUAAGCAAGAUGACAUGAUGUAGAGGGAUAAACUGAUGCAAUUUGAUAUAAACCCCAUCUUGUUAUCCUCCAUGGUAACAAUACAAAAUGUGCCUUGUGUCGGUGUCAAAAUCGGCGGAUCUCGGGUAGGGGGUCCCGAACUAUGCGUCUAAGGCGGAUGGUAACAUGAGGCAGGGGACACGAUGUUUACCCAGGUUCGGGCCCUCUUGAUGGAGGUAAAACCGUACGUCCUGCUUGAUUGUUCUUGAUGAUAUGAGUAUUACAAGAGUUCAUCUACCACGAGAUCAGAGAGGCUAAACCCUAGAAGCUAGCCUAUGGUAUGAUUGUUUGUUGUCCUAAGGACUAAAACCCUCCGGUUUAUAUAAUAGACACCAGAGGGGGCUAGGGUUACACAAGGUCGGUUACAAAGGAGGAGAUAUCCAUAUCCGUAUUGCCUAGCUUGCCUUCCACGCCAAGUAGAGUCCCAUCCGGACACGGGACGAAGUCUUCAAUCUUGUAUCUUCAUAGUCCAACAGUCCGGCCGAAGGAUAUAGUCCGGCUGUCCGGAGACCCCUUAAUCCAGGACUCCGUCAGUAGCCCCUGAGCCAGGCUUCAAUGACGAUGAGUCCGGCACACAGUGUUGUCUUCGGCAUUGCGAGGCGGGUUCCUCCUCCGAAUACACCAUGGAAGAGUUUGAAUGUAAGGAUAGUGUCCGACCCUGCAAAAUAAGUUCCACAUACUACCGUAGAGAGAAUAAUACUUCCACAAAUCUAAUCUGCUGACAUAUUUUGAUAGUAUGACAUCACUUAUGGCCCGGUUAUUAUUCGAACCGCUUUUCUCAACCAGCUCCGCACAUAUCGCGAGGCGGUUUUCUUGAUACGUCUUGUCAAAGCAGAGAUCGUGUUCCCCUUAUCACGGGAUUCUCAUCAAUGCGGACGUGGGUAACCCAACCACGCCAUCAAUUGUGGCACCUGGGGAAUAAGCUAUUUUGCCAGGCAAGUGGGGAGACUCAUCGCCUCCUCCGCCCUUAUAAAGGGACAAAGAUUUACUUUUUACACCCACGCCUUCUUCCUUCUCGCUUACCCAUUCCCGCACACUCGAGCUCUAGCGCCCAAGCUCGCGUUCUUCCUCUCAAACCACUCCAGGCAUGUCUAGAGCAGGAGGCCAGUGGAUGGUUUCCUCCGUCACAGAGGAAAACAUCAAAAAGUUACGGGGAGCCGGAUACCUAGCUGCGAAUAUUGCGCACCGGCUGCCGAAUGCGGGGCAGAUCGUCCCCACGCCAAAACCCCAUGAGAGGGUAGUUUUUCUUACCCAUUUCGUUCGCGGACUGGGAUUUCCUCUCCACCCAUUUGUCCGCGUGCUCAUGUUCUACUACGGGCUGGAUUUUCAUGAUCUGGCCCCCAACUUCAUCCUCAACAUCUCGGCGUUUAGCGUCGUGUGCGAGGCCUUCCUCCGCAUCAGGCCCCACUUCGGCCUAUGGCUAAAAACCUUCAAUGUCAAACCAAAGGUGUUGGGUGGCCAGCAACCAGAGUGCGAAGGCGCCAUGGUGGGCAAGAUGCCUAAUGUCACCUGGCUCGAGGGUACCUACAUGGAUACCAUAAAGGGGUGGCAAUCCGGGUGGUUCUAUAUCACCGAGCCACGCGACUCCAACUGGGUGGCAGCCCCCAAAUUUCGAUCCGAAAUCCCCACGCGGCUCACCUCCUGGAAAAAGAAGGGUCUGUCCUGGGGUUCUUCGGUAGAGCUGACCGGACUCCAGACCUGCAUCUAGAACAUGACGAACAAGAAAACUAAGCUCGUCAACGUGCUCCAGGUUAUGCUCUUCCGCCGGAUCCUUCCAUUCCAACGACGAGCAUUUGUUUUGUGGGAGUUCGACUCGGCCUAGCACCAGAUGCUACGAGAGCUCUACGACACGACGCACGAGGACGUUUGGAGGGUGCUGUUCAAGGGCGCCGAGAUGCCUCCCUCCCUCACCGAGGACCGCAGACUCAGCACAAAGAGCCGCGCCCAUUCGGUAGGCUUUUUAUAUCUCUCAGGGUAUUUAUGUGCCCUGGUUUAGUUAUGUGCUGGAUCUAAGCUCUUAUGUCAUUAACAUGACUGGAUAAAGAUAGCGGAGCAGCUUGAUUGCCCUGCCCCCCUGCCUGAAGAUCCUGCAAACGCUCUUCUAACGAAGAUGCUGACUCCGGCACCUUACGAGGUGCCGGAAAAGACGGCCAAGAAGAAGGCCACGGGGACCCAAAAGGGUCUUCGGCACAAGGUUCUAUCGGACUCAUCGUCCGAUGAGUCCGACACGCACUCCACCCACGGAAACGAGGAGGAGGAGAAAAGUUCUCCCCCAACCGGGGGAGACAAGAAAAGGAAGGCCGACCCAUCCGGGGAGGCUGAAGGGUCCAAGAAGGGAAAGACUCUCCCUCCGGACUGUGCCACAACGGCCGCCGACAGCGGCGAUGAGUGGCUACCCAAGGACAAGCCCCUGGCGAAGUCGUAAGUGUCCGAACACCAUAGUACUUCAUGGUAUGUUUUAUUGUACUGCCUUUGCUCAUGCCGAACAUGAUUAUGCUGUCCGGCCCGAGCUCAUCUCGACGUACCCUCGUCGAGCGGCUCUUUGGGCUCGUCAAAUAUGAACAGCGGUUCUCCUCCGACGGCUUCCACCCCUCGCCCUACGGACAACGCCGAGGUGGUGCUCAAAAGGCGCCAACCCAAGGGGAGGUGAUCCUGGGGGCGCCUCAUGACGACCUCCUGGACCCUGAGUACCAAGGGAGCGAGGCUCCUACGGGCAUCGAGUUUGGGCCCCAGCCGGACACUGCGCCGGAACCUUCGAUGGUUCCGGACUCCGGCAGGCGGUCCCCCAUUAAGGGGGGCCAACCAUCCAUGCCGGUGUCCUCUGUCCAACCAGAUGCACCGGACAACUUGCUGGAAGCGCUUCACAGCGCUUCCAUCGAUGAAGAACACCACACUAUCAUGAGUGCGGUGGUCAAGAAGGUUCAGUCCGCCAAAAACGGACUGAGCGAAGCUUGCGCCAGCCUCCUAACAGGCUUUGAGGUAAGCAUUCAAAAUAUAAAAAUAUUACCGCAUAGAUAGUAGCCCCUGAUGCUCUGUUCGGCGUUCGCGAAGAAAAGAUGAAUAGAGUAUCAAAUGAUAACUCAGGAGUCUAAUUAGAGUAUGUCUAUGUGUAUGUGUAGGCUUCCCUGCUGGCCGCUGCCACACGUACUGCGGAGGUCUCUGCGCUGAAGCAGGCCCUGAAGCGGUCCGAGGACGAGCUCGAACUUACCAAGGGGCAGCUCGAAUAGAGCAAAGGUAAGAUAUACCCCGGUUUAUAUAGGUAAAAAGUAGUUCACUGUAAAGUAAUAGGAUCAUCAUGAAUUUGUCAGGGGCCACGACCGAGGUAGAGACCCUGAGGAAGGCGUUGCCCGCGGCCGAAGACAAAGCGGCCAAAGAACGCAUUGAACGGGAGAAACAAGAAGCCCGAGUGGGCGAGGUGCAGCAAGAGCUCGAGGCUCUCGCCAAAAAGCACGAGUCCUUGGAGCUUGACUCCAAGACGCGAGAGUCCGAGCUCGCGCAGGCGCUUGAAAGCGUCCAGAGCGCCAAGGCCGAAGCCCACAAGGCCCUCUAGGAGAUUGAUGCGGCGAAGAAGAUAGCAGCGGGUAAGGCAUUCAAUAUGCAAAGCAAGCAUGUGAAGGAGACUUUCCUUUUUAUUACCCGAGUUCAGAGCUCUCCAGGAGCGUUUGCAGAUCUUCCCCGCAGUGUGCUGGAUACCGCGGAGUUUUACCGGGCUGAGGAGGGGAGCUCAACGGAGAAGUUGUUCUGGUCUCAGUAUACUGGGACCGAACACCCUGUGUCCUUGACCGACCAGCUGAAGCAGUUGGUCGAACUUCACAAGGCGGCCGAAUAGGCCAUGAGGGGCCUUAUAGUCCGGAUGUGGCCUGGCGAGCCCCUGUCCGGCAGAUACUUCGGUCUGGUGAGGCUGCUGGUGGAAGCCUGCCCACGGCUUGAGGUCAUCAAGCGGUCCGUCUGCAUCGAAGGUGCACGCAGGGCUUUUGCCUGGGCAAAGGUGCACUGGGCGAAGCUGGACGCCGUGAAGCUUGUGAAGGAGGGGCCACCAGAGGGCAAGGAGCAUCGCUGCCGCGAGAAUUACUAUGAGAGCAUCCUGAAGGGUUCCCGCUUAGUGGCAGAUGAGUGUGCCAAGGAUGUCAUCUUUGAAUGAACAUGCCCAUGUGAUCCUAUAAUAUGAACCAAGUUCUUUUGCACCAUGCGACGCUUUCUUAAUUUAAAAUAUUACCUUCUGUGCGGCCAUUUAUAAAAUCUGAGAGUUGGCCAGUCGUCGGCUUCUGGCCCCAUGUAACUAGUACUGGGGUGUUCGGGGUAAAUCUGAACACUCUUUCCCCCAAUUUUGGGUCCUUCAAGGGAGGUGCUCAGCACAACGAACCAGGCAAUCGGACUAUAAUGCUUUAUCACUCUCACUUAGCCAUAGAAGUCUAUGAUUUUUAAUUUUUGGCGAAGCCCCUGGUAUUCGGAGGGCCGAAUUUGGGGCGCUAUACAUGCCUAAGCCGGACAAGGCCGACUCCUCGCCCGAAGCGGAAAAAGUCUUUAAGGACUUGAGACCUCUUGAACAGCGACCAGUCUCUCGCCUUAUCAUGACAGUCAGUUUUUGGCUUUCUCUACUGAGGUGCUCGUCUGGAAGAAUCGGGACACAAUCACAGUAGUUCCCCACCGCUACCUUAGCCGAUAUAGCGGAACGUAAGGUACCAAAGCAUGGGAGCCGGGCAACCCAACAUUUGACCCAAGACAUGAUUCGAAGCUGAUGCAUAUAAUGCUAUAAGUUCGGGGUGCCGCACUGUCGAAAGUGUUCGGACUUCUUGCGCCAUAUUAUGGGGUAAAUGAGAGCCCCUGGCGUACUGACUACACCCGACCGUGCAGGUGCAGAAUGUCAUAAAUGGACAUAUAAGAGAAAGAGAAAAACUAAAAUAAUGCAAUGACAGAUUAAUAAUAUGCAUUGUUAUUUGAAUAAUACGUCGAAGCGUACUGGUACAAGUAGUGCAAUAAGCAUAAAGUAGGACAAUUCGAAAUGUCCUAUCCCAAGGCAAGCUACGCAUAAAUAGUGAAAAGCGGGUAUAUCAAGUAUUACUAGAGACCACCUGGCGGUUCCCGUGUUCAUCCUAGCUUCUUGCCGCCUUGGUUGUUGCUUCCGGAAUGUGUCCAAUAAUCGGACUGCCGGAAAGGGCUUCCGAAGAGUUAGGCCCUGAAAAAGAAAAGGAAUGUCAAAGGUAUACAUCCCCUGGUGUGGUUAAGGCACAAUGCGGGGCGUGUCCUGAUUGUGCCCCCGCCUAUGUCCAUGGUAUUUUCAAUGCGUAGUUAUGUACGCAUGGCACGAAUUUCGUCGCUGCACUGGGACUGGGACUGGGGCUGGAUUGCUAGGCGAGCGCUGAUCGCGCUAGGCGAUCCUGUUGCAGAUUGUUCCGGACUCGCUUGAAGGUGUCCGGGGGCUGUAACACCGAAUGAGUGGUCUGCCUGAACAGGCUGCUUUGUGCCUCUGCUGCAAGGGCCGCAGUGUGCUCUUUUGUAUGGAGCGAGCAUUAUGUGUUUCCAUUUACUAUUAUGACCCCGCGGGGUCUUCGCAUCUUGAACUUGAGGUAUGCGUAAUGCGGCACUGCGUUGAAUUUUGCAAAUGUUGUCUGUACGAGCAGUGCAUGAUACCCACUGCAAAACGGGACGGUGCCGAAGAUUAACUCUUCGCUUCGGAAGUUAUCCGGUGAUCCGAAGACCACUUGCAGUGUGAUUGAGCCUAUGCAAUGGGUCUCUACACCUGGGAUGACGCCUUUAAAGGUGGUUUUGCUGGGUUUGAUCCUUGAGGGAUCGAUACCUAUUUUUCGCACUGUAUCCUGAUAAAGCAGGUUUAGGCUGCUGCCGCCAUCCAUAAGGACUCAAGUGAUAUGAAAUCCGUCAAUGAUGGGGUCUAGGACCAGUGCGGCGGAUCCGCCAUGACGGAUGCUAGUGGGGUGGUCCCUGCGAUCGAAGGUGAUCGGACAAGUAGACCAUGGGUUGAACUUCGGGGCGACGGGCUCCAUCGCGUAGACGUCCCUUAGUGCACGCUUCCGCUCCCUCUUGGGAAUGUGGGUUGCGUAUAUCAUGUUCACUGUCUUCACUUGUGGGGGAAACCCCUUCUAUCCUACUGGGUUUGGUUGCCGGGGUUCCUCCUCGUCAUCGCUAUGCAGCCGCUUGUCCUUGUUUUCGGCAUUUAACUUGCCGGCCUGCUUGAAUACCCAGCAUUCUCUGUUGGUGUGAUUGGCUGGCUUGUCAGGGGUGCCGUGGAUUUGACACGAGCGAUCCAGUAGGCGAUCCAGACUGGACGAAGCCAGAGUAUUUCUUUUAAAUGGCUUUUUUCGCUGACCGGAUUUAGAGCAUCUGAAUCCGGCAUUGACUGCCGUAUCUUCGGUGUUAUCGCCAUUAUUGCGGCGCUUUGGUCUAUUACGACGCUGCUUACCAUUAACGUCUUUGGUAUUCGAGGUAUCCGGAUUCCUUGAUGUGUUGUUGCUGCGAGCCAGCCAGCUGUCUUCGCCCGCGCAAAAGCGGGUCAUGAGUGUUGUGAGUGCUGCCAUAGAUUUCGGCUUCUCCUGGCCGAGGUGGCCGGCGAGCCACUCGUCGCGGAUGUUAUGCUUGAAUGCCGCUAGGGCUUCUGCAUCCGGACAAUCUACAAUUUGAUUUUUCUUAGUCAGGAACCGUGUCCAGAAUUGUCUGGCCGGUUCCCUUGGCUGCUGGGUUAUGUGGCUCAAGUCAUUAGCAUCCGGUGGCCACACAUAAGUGCCCUGGAAGUUGUCAAGAAAUGGAUCUUCCAAAUCCUCCCAACUGCCAACGGAAUCUGCUGGCAAGCUAUUCAGCCAAUGCUGAGCUGGUCCUUUGAGUUUUAGUGGGAGGUACUUGAUGGCAUGUAGAUCGUCACCGCGAGCCAUGUGGAAGUGAAGGAGGAAAUCCUCAAUCCAUAGAGCGGGAUCUGUUGUGCCAUCGUAUGAUUCGAUAUUUACGGGUUUGAAACCCUCCGGGAAUUCAUGAUUCAUAACUUCAUCAGUGAAGCAUAGGGGGUGCGCGGCGCCUUUGUGCUUGCUAUAUCCCGACGUUGUUCAUAUGUGUCUUGUCUGCUGUAUUGGGGUCGGCUGGAUUUACUCUUGGUGUAUCCGAUGCGACGAUCAUCGUCCCAUGUGGACGCACAUGCUCGUGUCCCGUAUAUUGACCUUGCGGUUUUUUCCUUACUGUCCAAGAUGUCUUGCAGGUCCCCUGUGUUGCCCCAGGCCUUAGUAUUUUUGACUGAGUGGUGAUGGGGUGCAGUCUGAACUUUAGGCUGAAACGCCUCUCUGGCUCGGCCGCGUAGUGGCUGGUCAGCCGCAUCAUACACUGGUGAAUGAGGUUUCAAUGCUUGCUUCUCGAGGUGAGGUAGCAACCUGCGUUUUGGGGAACUCUUGGAUGGGCGUUCGAGUUCAUGCUCCUUGGCCGCAAGGACUUCGGUCCAUCUGUCUGCUAGCAAGUCUUGAUCAGCUUGAAGCUGUUGCUGUUUCUUCUUUAGGCUACUUGUCGUGGCCAUAAGCCGGCGCUUGAAGCCCUCUUGCUCGAUGGGGUCCUCAGGCACGAUAAACUCGUCGUCGCCGAGGCUCGCCUCGUCUUCGGAGAGAGGCAUGUAAUUGUCCUUCUCCGGUUCUCCAUCUGUUGCCUGCUCUGGGGGGCUAGCUUGUUCGUCCUGUAGCUCUGCACCGUGCUAGAGGGGAUUGUUGUUGUCUUCGGCGCUAUCCGGAGUGUUAUUAUCUCCUGUGCCGGUAUCACUGCUCUUGCUGUGGCAGGACUUAGACCGGCGCCGCUGACGUCGGCGCCUGGGUUGCUUCUUGGAGGGGUCAUCCUCCGCUUUCUCGUCGCCAUUGGCUUCUUUUGGGGUGUCCACCAUGUAUAUAUCAUAUGAUGAGGUGGCGGUCCAGUGCCCCGAGGGCGGUGGAUCCUCUUCGUCUCCGGCCUCAUCGUCCAUACCGUCGAAGUCUUCGGAGCCGAAGUCGAGCAUGUCGGUUAAGUCGUCGACAAUGGCUACUAAGUGGGUGGUGGGUGGGCAGUGAAUUUCUUCGUCGUCCGCAUCCCAUUCUAGCCGGACAUAGUUCAGCCAAGGUUCUCCUGACAGGGAGAGAGUCCUUAAUGAAUUUAGCACAUCCCCGAAGGGUGAGUGCUGAAAGAUGUCCGCGGAGGUGAACUCCAUGAUCGGCGCCCAGUCGGACUGGACGGGCACGGAUAUGAGCGGCUCGGAGUCCGUGGCCGGAGAUGAAUCCAGUGGUUUGGCGACACGGCUCUCGUAAGGGGUGAAGUCAGUAUCUGGCUCUAUCGCCACUGAGAGUGCGGCCUCCAUGGCGGGGUCCAUCCCUCCGCUCUCAGAUGGUGCGACUUGCUCCGGAUUGAUGGACGGAGUAGCUGCGGAUGCGAUCUCCCGAACAAUGUCCGACAACAGAGUUACGUCAUGCCCGCCAAGACUAUACGGCGCAUCCGACAUGGGCCCGAAUCCGUCGAAGAUCAAGUCUCCGUGGAUGUCGGCCGUGUAGUUCAAGUUUCCAAAUCUGACCUGAUGGCCAGGGGCGUAGCUCUCAAUCUGCUCCAGAUGGCCAAGCGAAUUGGCCCGCAGUGCAAAGCCGCCGAAUAUGAAGAUCUGUCCGGGGAGGAAAGCCUCACCCUAGACCGCAUCGCUAGCGAUGAUCGAAGGAGCCAUCAAGCCUUAUGGGGACGACACAGUGGAACUCUCAAUGAAAGCACCAAUGUCGGUGUCAAAACCGGCAGAUCUCGGGUAGGGGGUCCCGAACUAUGCGUCUAAGGCGGAUGGUAACAGGAGGCAGGGGACACGAUGUUUACCCAGGUUCGGGCCCUCUUGAUGGAGGUAAAACCGUACGUCCUGCUUGAUUAUUCUUGAUGAUAUGAGUAUUACAAGAGUUGAUCUACCACGAGAUCAGAGAGGCUAAACCCUAGAAGCUAGCCUAUGGUAUGAUUGUCUGUUGUCCUACGGACUAAAACCCUCUGGUUUAUAUAGACACCAGAGGGGGCUAGGGUUACACAAGGUUGGUUACAAAGCAGUAGAUACCCAUAUCCGUACUGCCUAGCUUGCCUUCCACUCCAAGUAGAGUCCCAUCCGGACACGGGACAAAGUCUUCAAUCUUGUAUCUUCAUAGUCCAAAAGUCCGGCCAAAGGAUAUAGUUUGGCUGUCCGGAGACCCCUUAAUCCAGGACUCCCUCACCUUGCUGCCCCUACUGUCACUGGGAAAGGACACCGCAAGAUUGAACCCAAAGCUAAGCACUUUUCCCAUUGCAAGAAAGAUCAAUCUAGUAGGCCAAACCAAACUGAUAAUUCGAAGAGACUUGCAAAGAUAAGCAAUCAUACAUAAAAGAAUUCAUAGAAGAUUCAAAUAUUGUUCAUAGAUAAACCUGAUCAUAAACUCACAAUUCAUCGGUCUCAACAAACACACCGUAAAAGAAGAUUACAUCGAAUAGAUCUCCACAAGAGAGGGGGAGAACUUUGUAUUGAGAACCAAAAAGAAAGAAGAAGCCAUCUAGCUAAUAUCUAUGGACCUGUAGGUCUGAAGUAAACUACUCACACUUCAUCGAAGAGGCUAUGGUGUUGAUGUAGAAGCCCUCCGUGAUCGAUAUCCCCUCCGGCGGAGCUCCGGAAAAGGCCCCAAGAUGAGAUCUCGUGGAUACAGAAAGUUACGGCGGUGGAAUUAGGGUUUUGGCUCCGUAUCUGGUAGUUUGGGGGUACGUAGGUAUAUAUAGGAGGAAGGAGUACGUCGGUGGAGCAAUGUGGGCCCCACGAGGGUGGAGGGUGCGCCUGGGGGGGGUAGGCGCGCCCCCUACCUCGUGCCUUCCUGGUUGAUUGCUUGACGUAGGGUCGAAGUCCUCUGGAUCAUGUUCGUUCCGAAAAUCACGUUCCCGAAGGUUUCAUUCCGUUUGGACUCCGUUUGAUAUUCUUUUUGUGUGAAACCCUAAAAUAGGCAAAAAAGCAGCAAUUCUGGGUUGGGCCUCCGGUUAAUAGGUUAGUCUCAAAAAUAAAAUAAAAGUGUAUAAUAAAGCCCAAUAAUGGCCAAAACAGGAUAUAAUAUAGCAUGGAACAAUAAAAAAAUUAUAGAUAUGUUGGAGACCUAUCAGUCUCCACCUUGGACUGGUGCAGCGCAAUGCAGAGGGCCAGCUCCUCCUCAUACUCGAGUUCGGAGUCGGAAUCGCUGCCGGAGCUGGACAUCAUAGUGGAUGGGAUCAAAAUCGGAGAGGGAGAGGAGAGGACGGAGAGAGAGAGAGAGAGAGAGAGAGAGAGAGAGAGAGAGAGAGAGAGAGAGAGAGAGAGAGAGAGAGAGAGCUAGGGUUGGGAGCGAGGCGCCCAGAUUGGGUUUUUUGUGGGACAUGUGUGGGGUCAGUGGUGGGCCGGGCCUGUAAGGCAGACGCGCCUAGGCGUGCCUGGGCCGCCCCUUAUCCGUUCUAUAUUUGAGUUGGAUAUGAGGCGCGUCGGUCAGACCGGACAUUUAUCCACGGUUUAAGAGGUCCGGUUGGGUCUAUUUUUUGUGACCGAUCAAUAACCGGACAGCCUGCCCGAGCGUUUGAGACGAAUAUAAGAGGCCCGGAUAUAGAUACCAAGCCAAAUGACCACGUUGAUCGACUCCAUGUUAGCUAGACUAGCCGUUGAAUGAAGGGAAAAUACGAAGGAGAACCUGGGUACCGGCGCACCCUAUAUGCAAAAAAAUAGUAAUUCAAAAAAGUUCAAAAAAUUCCAAAUCUUUUUUGGUAUCAAACUUGAUCAAGUAUUGUAGUCGUAUAAAAAGAUUCGUCAGAAAAUGACAUUCGUUGCAUCCUGUGUCGAAGAUUAGGUAAAACACGCUAUAUACAAAUACUAUACACGCUAUAUUGUCGUCAUAAACUUGUUUUUUUUGCCCUGAAGUCAAUAGGAAUCAUUUCUUGUCCAAACUUUUUAUACGAGUACAAUACCUAAUCAUGUUUGAUUCUAAAAAUGUUUUGAAAUUUUUUGAACAUUUUCUGAAUUACUAAUUUGUUUUGCGCAUAUAUGAUGCACGGGUACUCGAGAGCACCAAGUUCUCAUCCCUGAAUAAAGAUGUUGCAUUAUUAGGUUGGCACGCCCUUCAGAUCUGGGCGUUGAAUCACAAAGCGCUCAACGAUUUUUUUUUGGGAUUACUUUUUUAGGAUUUCAGAAUCUCACUCGACUGAGGACUUAACAAAGUUUUAGUCGAUGCUAUAUUCGUUAGAUCUUACAUGGUGAUUCAUGUAAAAUUUUGUUUUAAUUUUUUUCUUUCGCAGUUUCAGUCGACUGAGAUCUAAUCACACUCUUUUAUUUACCGAAACAUAUGUAUAUGCGUUUUGCAUUAGAGAUGGCCUUAACAUAAUUUGUUUUCUACGACGAGUUCUCUCAAGAUUUUUUUUUCAUGUAAGCAACUAUGAGUUGCCAAUUAUUAUUUGUGUUUUGCUCUUACACUGCCAACAAUGUAAUUGCACCAAGAGCUAGUAGAAGGUUUUUUUUUUGGCGGGGUAGCACAAGCUUUUAUUUAGACACACAUGAUUAAUUACUGGAGAUAGAUACUAUACACAAAUGCUUGUAUCCAAUAUUUGGAUUUCCAUAUCCUCUAAGACAUUACACAAAUGCUUGUAUCCAAUAUUUGGAUUUUCAUAUCCUCUAAGACAUUACACAAAUGCUUGUAUCCAAUAUUUGGAUUUUCGUAUCCUCUAAGACAUUACACAAAUGCUUGUAUCCAAUAUUUGGAUUUUCGUAUCCUCUGAGACAUUACACAAAUGCUUGUAUCCAAUAUUUGGAUUUUCGUAUCCUCUAAGACAUUACACAAAUGCUUGUUUCCAAUAUUUGGAUUUCCAUGUCCUCUAAGGCAUUGAAUGCAUAGCCAAGAGGAAUGUAAUAAAUAGCACUCAAACCCGGUUCUUCUCCUCACACCAUCAUUCCAACAACUUAUUUUGAGCACUUGGCCAUGGCGUUCAACGGCGCCCAGAUGCUCGCUGCCUUCACCCUGGGCAUUCUCCUCAUGGCCUUCUGUAAGUUCAUAUAGCAGAUUUUACCGCAUCGCAAUCCCAUGCAAUUUAAGAUCAAAUCUAUGAAACAAUUGCUAAUAUAAUUUUCUGGUACACACGCUAAUUGUAUGCCACAUGCAGGUGCGGAGGCUCGGGUAUGCAUGUCCCCUAGCAAGUGGUACAAAGGGGACCCUUGCAAGAACCUGCGUUGCACCAAGGCUUGUCACAAAGAACACUUCAAGGGUGGGUUUUGCUCCAGUAAAAAGUCGAUCGUUGAUGACGAGCUCAAUGAAGACAAUGGCGACAACAGCUUUGGCAAACGGCCUAAGAAAAAAUCGAAAAAAUCGUGCAUGUGUACAUUCCCAUGCGGUCAAACCCCACCACCACCGUCGGAACCUGAUGUGCCAGAGCCGCCCGAAGUGCCAGUGCCCGGGCCACCGCCGAGGGCCGGCCAUAUUUAUUGAGUGAGUAAAUGAUCAUAUGUAUGAACCUGAGGUCUCGAGGAAAGAGAGGAAACAAUCACUGCUUAAUUUGUACACAUGCAUGAUUGAUUGCAUAAGAAUGACAAUAAUAAUAAUCUAAAGUGAAUCAACAGUAAACAUAAGUGUCUCUACCAUGGAUCAUAGUGUGGAGUAACUUAGACUAGUAACAUGCAUAUAUUACUGGUCUAUAUUACUACCUCUAUAGUGGAGAGUAACAUUUCUGUGGUGUCAUACAACACUUCAUUUAUUAGGUUGUAGACUUAUCUUGUCUUGGUAUAUGUGAUGUUACUCAUAAUGUGAGUAACAAGCUAUGUUACUACUUAAUUUGUCUCUUUUCUCAUUAAUUAGUUGUUACAUUAUUUAUUUAAUUUUAGCUUUCAUUUAUGUUACUUUCAC